rnacentral:lncRNA from 1 species
ACAAAACAAAGUCUAAACUUGUGUUUGAAAAUAACGGUAUUCAUAUUAUUCAACCCACCAUGUCUAUGCCAGCCAUAAUGCUUUGUUGAAUCGACGAAGUGUAAUUAGCAUGAGGCGGAUUUGUCAGCUGGUCAAUACCCAUAAAAUCUGAGAUCACAAAUCCCUACAAAACAUCCAAUAAUAAUAAAACAUGAAAACAUCUAUGUAUAUGAAACCAAGAGGAGAAAUUAAAGACGAGUUCUUAAUUUAUACUCUGAAUUUGAGAGUGUUCUUUAGAAAUCCAGUUAUAAGUGGAGUAUUUCUAUGCAUUUUGACUCCGUUCAAGCUAGAGUAAGAAAUCAUGAUGGUUGUAACACCCUUCCGUACUGCAUCAAAGUACGGUGGCAUAUGAAUGCUCAAUAAACCAUGAAAAUCUAUGACGGUAUUGUUCGCAUUGAUGCCUUUUGUCGUUCCACCAUCACCCACAUAAUGUUUGGCGCAAGAUGCAACUUUUUCUCUGUAAAAUGAAAAAUGUUAAACCCAAUUAAUCCACAGUAUGAACGCUGCAUUAAAUGAAAAAGGAACAGAAGCCACAAAGAAUCCUAGUGAGCUGGCAGGAGGGCUUGCGAAUGAAUACUUACUGCCCGCUAACAAAAGGAACACCUAAUCGACCAUCACUAGGAAUGCUUCCUUGAAGUCCAGGUAUGAACUCAGUCAUGGCUCGAACAAUAUUAGGAUCUUCACCAAAGCUCUCGAAGCAACGACCCCAUCUUGGAUCUCUACAUACCGCAACACAAGGUGCAAACGCAUAGUUGAUGCCGGUAGCUCGAAUUUCAAGAGCAGUCGCUGCUCCAAUUUUCUUCACCAAUUCAACGUCCCUAUUCCACAUGCCAAAAAGAAAUCUCAUUAUUAAAGAAAAAACCUUGUUUAAAAAGGAUUCAAACGUUAAACAAAACAAAAUUCCACUUGCCUAGUUACUCCAAGGCCAAUAUUAUGUGGGAAAAUAGUGGCGUUGUAAACUUUACUAUUGCCAUGGACAGCAUCAAUUCCAUACAUCAGCGGUAUACCCAAACGACUAGACAACGAUUCUCUUUGGAAAUUGUUUACCAUAUUAAUCCAUGCCUCUGGAGGGUCUUGUGUUGAAGGGGUCGAUGCAGUGGUCAAUAAACUCCCUACGGAAGAUCCAAGACUCGUUAAAAAAAAUAAAAACGUAACCUUUACAAUGGAUUUAAGGUAUUUAAUACGAAAAAACGAUUGACAAAUUUCAGAAAGUACCUAUGGAGAAAUUCCGCAUUACUUCUAGUGUAGCUAGACUACUAUCAAUCUGCGUCAUUUGACCGAUCUUUUCUUCCAAAGUCAUCCUGUUCAUCAAGUCCCUUAUUCGAACACCUAAUGGUUGUUUCGGAUCUUUGUAUUUUAUGUCGGAUUCAGCGAUGGUAGCCGUAGCCCAAGAACAUAUUGCCAGAAUUGUGAAAACACACAAAAAGAGUUUCGCCAUUUCUUGUCAACUUCAAUCACACAAUGUAAUUGUUUUUUAAUAUAAACACGAUGAAUAAACACUCGAUCACAAUUAAAUAUUUACUUAAACAAAUAGAAGAACAGUGACCAUCAAAAGCUAAAAAUCAUAAACCAUUUGUAAAACAAAGCACAAACAUAUACACCCAUUCAGCCUCCUGGUUCUUGAAAGAUUGUAAGACAAAGAAGAGUAAAGAGAGAAUCCAGUGCAACUUACAUGAAUGGAAGGAGUGGAAAGGAGUUAUGGGACAAGACUCAAUAGUAGGUGGUAUAUAUAGACGACUGAAUUGUAAAGGCUGUUGCUAUAUAUACUCAUGUAUGUAUCAAGGUAGCAUAUAUAUAGCUACAAAUACCCAUUUAACGUGAUCUUUCAAAAUUCAAAUUACUUCAUCUAGAUCACAUCAUUAAUGUAUUUUAUCUUGUUUUAAUUUUUAUUACGAAUAGGUAGUGCCGUGGUGGACGAACAUAUUUAAGAAAAUAAUACCUUUAUUAUGUCCGGCACGCCUUAGAUAGUUUAUAAUAGAGGUGAACAAAAGUUUCAUGGGUACCGAACACACACCAUUUAUAUUAUUAUAGGACGACAUUCGGUACUCUGAAAUCACUAAAUUUGGGAUUUGGUACAAUGCUAGUACCGAAAACAGUUGUACCGGAUACUAGUACCAAUAAGUUUAAUUCAGACUCGUUUUUACACAUAGUUCGAUACUUAGUAUUCAUGGGUUGAUACAUGCUUGGUACCGGUUUGCUACCAUUUUCAUCCCUAGUUUAUUUUUCGAGUUUUUUUAAAUUGUCAUGUAAAACCAAAAUUUGAAGUUUGUAAUAUCUAUAAUGAAUAUUAAAUUGCAAAGUACCGAGUUUGUUUCUAUUGGCUAUUUAUUAAUUGUAACUAGGAUUUGUCUAUUGCACUUUGUGACGACGCCAAUUAACUCCAAUAUGUAUCGUCAAAUGAAAACGUAUUAUAUGUGACCAAACGUAGGAAAUGUACAUAAAAAUAAGUAGGAAAACGUAAAAAAUAAAUAAAUAAAUAAAUAAAAUUAAAAAAAAAAAAACUAAACUAAAAUUUAUACUAACACAUACAUAAAAAUAAAUAGGUGAGAUCUCUUUUUUGAAGUUAACAAACGGAAGUUUAAAUAAUAAAAAACAUAUUAUAUGUGGCUCGAUUCAUACACAGGAAAUAUAUAUAAAAAUAAUCACGAAAAAUAAAAUAAAAAUUACAUCGAAACAUAGACAAAUCUGAAUUUAUACUGACAUGUACACAAAAAAAAAAAAUACUAAGAUCUUUGUUAUUAAUGUUAACAAUAUGUGACCCGACUGGUACAUAAAAAAUGUAUAUAAAUAUAAGCAUGGAAAAUAAAAUAAAAAUUACGUCGAAAUCCGUAUUUAUACCGACACGCAUAAAAAUAGCAAGUAAGUUUUUUUUUUAAAUAACGAAAGAAAUUACUAAAUUUAUAUCGAAAUGUUGACCGCCUCGAAUUUAUACCGAUACAUAGAUAAAUAUAAACAUAUAAAAAUAAGUUUUUUAAAUUAACAAAACGAAAGAUAUUAAAGAAAAUCAAAUUGUAUAUAGUACAAAGGAUAAACAUGAAAAUUUACAAAAUAAAGGGAAUGAAAGUGAUAUUUUAUAAAUUUUAAAAUUUGAAAAAAAAAAUGACAACUUUCAAAAAGUAAAUGGAAAAAAAAAAGUAUAAUUUUAAAAAUAAAUGGUGCCUGCACUGCUCAAAAUAUUUACCGACAUUGGCAUUUGAUAUAAAUUUAGUUUUAUAAAUGUUUGUUCUAUCGGGAUACUUUAAAUCUAAAUAUUGCUUCCUUUUUAUUUAGGAUAGAUAGGUUAGAUGUCUUUAUAAUCCCUAUAAAAUAUAAAUGUUAUUAUCAAAAUACAUGAGAAUGAAUAUUAACGAUGAAAACCAUUAAAAUUCACCAAUCGGCAUCUAAGACAUUUUUUCCCAUUACAUUUAACAUAUGAUCAUCUUACACAUGCAGUCCAUAGUCUUUCAUGUAUUUAAAAGAUAUAUUCACUCAUUUGGAAUCGAUGUUCUUUCGUUAAUCCAUAUCCAUUACAAAUUACUACUACUUCACAAGACAUAAUCAUCUCACAAAAGUCAAACAUGGGUGGACCUAAUUGGCAAAAGGAAUUUUGAGUUUCUAAAUCUCAUGGUGUUGUCCUCAAAAUCCAAAAUACGUCCAAAUGUUGUGUUCAUUUUUAGAAAUAAUUUUUCUAAUUAAAAAAUACUCAUCUCAUGUCUCAUCUACUUUGUGUACCUUUAUUCUCCCCUCUCAUUUACUUUCCAAUUUUCAUGUUUGAAGUAAGCUUUUCCUUUAGCUCUAAACCUGUUUUAGAAUGUGUGGAUUUUCAGGUUUGAUGUCAUUUAUUAUUUGUUUAAGUAAUAUAUUUUGGUUAAGUUCCCUACUCUUCUUCAUCCAACUUAAUAAAACACGUAUCUUUUAAAUAUCUAGGAAAUCGAUAAAUUGUAUGUUUCUUUCUUUUUACCUUUUUUUUUUUUUUUGCUUUCUUGCUUCUUAUGCCUUUUCAUUUACGUGCCUUAAUGUAUUUCUUUUACCAUAUUCUUGCAACAAAAUGGAACGUGAUGCAGAAGAAACGGGUGGCUUUAUCUUUAAAUCUCAAUGGUUAGCAUAUGAAUCACUUCAACUUUCAUUGCACAGUGGCACUUGCACUUGCACAAUGCACAUUUGACACUCCAUUUGUCAUAUUGGGUUUAUUUUGGACUGGGCUCUCUAAUGUCCUCCAUUUACACUGGUCCAAUUGAUUUUAGUUAAGACCUUCAAACACUAAGCCUUAUUUGGACUGGAUUGGACCAAAAUCUUUUUUUUAUCUCUCUUCUUCUUUUUAAUAAAGUAAUUUGAUUUAAUUUGAUUUAUAAACUUUGAAAUGGUUCUUAUUGUUAACUUAUUGUAAUAACAUACACAUUGUGAUAUAAAAAAGGGGAGCCUAUUCUUCCAUGGGUAACUUUCUAUUCAUCAACUGAAAAUAUUAUGCAUUGACAUUCAUACCCCUCACUUCUUAGUCCAAAUAUGGGCGAAACACAAGGAGAAACUUGGGAAGUCAUUAAAAGAAGACUUAAACACAUGGAAUCAUGAAAGCUUUGUUGCUUUACCACUUGAUUUCUUUUUCUCGGUUUUUUUGUUGAUAAAAUCUCAAAUCUCAUAUGCAUAGUAGGGAAUUUCAUAGUUUUCGUAGUAGUAUUGCUAUGGAUUAAGAUGUAGUGGCGCCACCGUGGACUUAGUUGUUAGUAAUGUCCACGGGUUCCUAUAGUCAGUUAUCUUGUUCUAAUUAACUAACACUAUGAUUGUUAAGACCAUUAACAAAAUGGUCAUGUAAUUAACUAUCUAAACAACUAUUAUUAAGUUCAUAUCAUGAUAGAUUUGAUUGUGUCACAUGAUCCCAAAAGUCAUGGUAAUCAGUUUGGUGCAUAGAUUUGGUUGUUUAAUACAUGCAUACACAUUAAAGUUAACAACUUUAUUAACCUAGCCUUAUGAUUUGGUCUAUCUUUGGUCAUAAUUGUUAUUGGUUAUUAACAACUAUGAUUCAAGACAACAAAGUCAGAUUUGUCCUCUAAAUUCUAUUAACUUAACUAUAGACAAUAAAGAAAUCAACAAAUAUAUAUAUAUAUAUAUAUAUAUAUACAGACUUGUAAACAAAACAACUUGAUGAUUCAUCCAUCUUAUGCNCUGGACCAAUCAUUUUAAUUAUUUUAAGAAAGUAAUUAAUGCAGAUUAAAUGUUGAAAAUAUAAUGAAUUUUAAUUACAUCUUCAUCAUUUAAUAUGCAUUAAUUACUUUCUUAAAAUAACUAAAAUGAUUGGUCCAGAAUCAAUCAUACAUGCACACAAUAGAUAGUGAAAACAUUUGAACCUAACUAAUAAUUCGAUUAAAGGAAUCAAAAAAUCAUGAUAAAUUAAAUAAAACUAAUAACUCGAUUAAAAGAAAUCACACCAAAACUUUUAGGGUUACAUCUACUCUCGUGAAAGCAAAAAGGUUUUACCAUAUAACCAACCAACUGAUAAAAACAUAAAAACAUCAAAAACUAAUUGCUAAACACGAUCAUGAAGCAACCGAAGUGAAGUCCUAAUGCUCCUAGCUUCUGAUUCUUCAAAUCUCCGCUACAAAGUGAUUCUCCAACCUUGAAAUCGAACCAAAAGGGUUUCUGGACGUGAAAAACAAUUUCUAAUUCCUUGGACAAGACUGCAUAUUGAAUUAUGGCAAAAAGAUCAAGUAUUUAUAAAACUCAUAUAUACUGACAUUUGUAGACUUUUUCCCAUAAGAAAAUAUGGACAUAAGUUGUUUAUCACUUUUAUAGAUGAUCCUUCAUGUUAUAUAUAUAUAUAUAACAGUGUUGUUGAGAGAACCAAUUUAGUAAUUUACCAUGUCAGAAACUCCUCAGCAUAAUGAGAGAAGAAAUUGAACCCUUAUGCAUAUGGUAAGAAGUAUGUUAACAAACACAAGCAUACCUUAAUGUUUAUGAAAUGAGGCACUAAAGACGGCAUUCUAUAUACUUAAUAAGGUCCCAUCUAAAUUCAUUCGCAAGACACCUAAGAAAUCUAGACGAGAAGGAAACCGACUUGAGAUAUAUAAAAGAGGAUGGUUUCCCUGUCGAUGCUAAGUUCUACAACCCUCAAUAAAGAAAACUUGGCAUGAACCUGUUAGUUGUUUCUUUAUAGGGUUUCUCGAGUGAUCAAAGAGAUUUAGAUUAUGUUGACCUUCACAUUCCACUCACAUAAUUGAAACUCGUCUUGUCGAAUUCCUAGAAAACGCUAAUGUUUAGGGCUGUUCACUAUUUAGAUAAAACCGAAUUGUCCAAUUGGACAAUUUGGAUCGGACUAUUUGGUUCGGAUAUUUGGAUUUUUGGAUUGGUUUUUUAGCAAAACCGAAUUAUUAUUUUGGAUUUCGAAUUAGUUUUGGUUUACAUUAUAAAAACCGAAUAGUCCAAAAAAACCGAAUUGCAAUUUAUUAUUUUUGUUCUUUCUAAUAUAUAUCUUUAAUAAUUUAUAAAUUUACUAAAUUAUUCUUUUAGUAUAUAAACAAUUUCCAUCAUUUAUAAUACUUUAAUAUCUACUUCUUAUAAAAAAAAUUGUCUAUAAAGUAGUAAUAUAUAAUAUAUUUUUCUUGAUAGUUAUUUAUAAGUUUUAAUUCAUAACUAAUUAAACAAUAUUUUUUCGUUUAUAUUAUAAAGUAAGUUAAUACUAAAGUUAUAUAUUUGUUGAAAUGUCUUGAUUCUUGAAAACCAAAUUGUAAAAAACCAAUCCAACCGAAUUAUAAUUUAGUUGGAUCGGGUCGGAUUUGAAUUUAGUUUGGACUAUUUGGAUCUACGUUUUGAAAACCGAAAUUAUUUUGGAUUCACUUGAUCGGAUCGGAUUAAACCGAUCCAUCCAAACGAACAUCCCUACUAAUGUUAGUGGGAGCAAUGCAUAUUAUGAUUGGCGCCAACUUAUUGAUGUGCAAAAGGAAGGGCCAAUGACCCAUUUUCCUUUUUAUCGUGUUGCACCUCAUGUAGACAUUCUCACACACAUGCCUCUCUUGCGGAUAAUAUUUCUUCAUAUAUGCCAUUAGAUUAAGGCACGUCCAACCUGCCAGACAAAUUCCCUAAAGUUAUCAUUUAACUUCAAGAAACCGAAACUUCAUUAAGGAUGUCAUCAAGGUCGAUAAGACGUGCUAACUUUGAUGAUUAUAUGACCUACCUUAACUAAACUAGCUUGGAUAUGGAAAAGUGAAAAGAUCCAACCUCUUAUAGUCAGGCCAUUAGUAGUGACCAAUCCUGUCAAUGGAAUGAAGUUAUUGACUAGCUUAAUUCCAUGAAUAAAAAUUACCUUUGAGAACUCGUUGAAGUCUCUAAAAGGGUUAAAUUCCUAGGGUCUAAGUGGAUCUUUAAAACUAAGUUAGACCCAUGGAAACUUGUUGAAGUCUCUAAAAAGGUUAAUCUGGUAGGGUCUAAGUGGAUCUUUAAAACUAAACUGGACCCAAAUAGAAACAUUGAACGAUAUGAAACACUUUUGGAGGGUCUUUGUCAUGAUAUUUUCAUAGCACCACACCCUUUAGUGUUACUAGCCCAAUACCACAAGUCCAGCUUGGCCCUUUUAUUUGAUCCAUUUGAUGACUAAAGUGGGAAAAACCUUGAAAUGUUUUGUACCUCCUAUGUAGGACAGGGUCUCAAUUUUUCUUGUGCAGAUAUCAAGUUCCAACAAAAAUAAUGUUUUGAAUUAUAAUAGAAUAUGAAGAAAACGAUGAAUGUGCACCCCAAAAGGGUAAAUGUUACAGCUUUAUGCCAUUUACAGCCUUAACUCACUCAAAGAGAGCUUCAUAAAUCAGGUUUAAGGAUGUUGUCGUUAACGCUAAGAAUCCACCUAACUCUCUCCCUAGAACAAACUGAAUGCAAUUUGAAGGAUUCUACUUGAAGAGAAUCUGAAAUUAAUGUACAACGAAAUAUCUACAGUUGAUUUACAGAAAGAAACAUGACACGAGUUAAUUUUUUAUAAAAAGACCAAACCAGACCAGAGCUGCUAUUUUAAAUAAACCCAGCCACCCACCCUUGUUCUAAAACUGAUUCUUGACAACCUUAACGCUGCUAUAAAAACGUUUAAGAUCCUUCAUAGCCUUCUCCUCUAUCUGAAUUGACCUUAUAGAAGACGGUGCUUCAACCUCCGGCUUGAACCACCGGUUCACACCACCACCACCACCACUGGAAUCAGAUGGUGAACCCUGACCGCUGCUCACAGCAAACCCAGUCGUUCUUGUUUUAGGACUGUGCGAUAAUGUCUGUUGCUUUUUCUCCUGAAUGAAUAUACAUCAUACAAAAUCAAAAACUAUUUUCAAGAAUAAAAAAAAAAGCUCAAAACUUGGAAACUUGAAGAAACAGAAAUGAUGUUGGUGUCACACCUCUUGCAACUGAAUGCCCCUGAGAGAUGGCCUACUACCAAUACCUAUACCAAGAGGUGGGGUCCCUGAAGAAACUGAAACCCAAGGAGGGGUGCUUUUUUCGACAUCUGGCAUGUGAGGGGUCAGAUUGGGACCCAUGGGGUUCGAGUUUGAGUUUGAUGGCAGAAACGAACUCAAUGAGAGUUUUCCACUUGUUUUCACAUCUACAACUUCCAACUGAUCUUUCUUUUUAGCAAUGGACAUGGGCUUACUUCCCAUGGUUUUUUCCUGCUCAUCUUGUAUCUCACGAAGAGAAGUGGGACUGGGUCCCUUUGAAAUACUUGUGCCUCCCCAUGCGGGGCCCUCAUUUUUUGGUGAAGGUGGUGGAAGAGGUGCAACGAUCUUGGGGGUGUCAUCAAGAGCACCACUUAAGAACAUUGAAAGCCCGCCUUUCCUGUUUUUCUUCUUUGAUGAUGUUGAUGAUGAUGACGAUGAUGUGUUCCGGUUUUUUGAGCUUGCAAGAUCUUUCUUUGAGUUGCUAUUCGGUGACACCUCGAUAACCAGAUUUACUGUUUUGCCCUUGUCAUCUAUCUCCUUCUCCUGUGAAUUACAAGUAUCCAUGUUAAGGGCAUAUGUAUAUAUAUGUGUCCUACAUAUGUUCAAUGUAGAUCCAAUUUUACCUUGUGGUCAACUGGAGAAGCUUCAGAAGGUGAGAAACCUUUCACUGUGUUCAAUUUAGCAUCAGAUUCAUGGCUACAAGGUGCCUCUUCCCCUUGUGUUGACUUUCUUCUGCUCUUUUUCUUCUGUUUCUUAGUUCCCUGGUCAACCGGUGAAGUUGACUUUGCUUGAAUCGUUUCAACAGGAACACCAAGCUCAAUAAGUGACUUCUCCAACAGUGGUCGUGUCUCAAGUUUUGUAAGCUGUUGGCUAUCGAGUUGAUAACCUUUGGCUCUUUUUUCCUCCAAUAUCUCAAUCUGCUGCAGUUUUUUUCUUAAAGCCCGAACAUGCUUGCCAACUUCUUGAUUCGCAUCAUCAUAUGGAUGUAAAAAGCUAUCAAAUCUUUGGCUUCUUUCCUUGUGAGAACCCAUGUUUCCACCAUUGUUGUUAUCACGAGUCCUGAGAAACUCAUUGUCACUAUCAUCCUCUUCACUGUUAACAACAGCAGGAAAAGUAGCUGUUGGGGUUGGAAGUCUACGAUAACUCCAUGCUUCAGAUGACUUUGAAUCCAAAGCUUUUUCAAGAUUCACAAGAACAUCCAGUGAAGCACUAGCAACUGCGUGUGUGGAGACUGUAAGCACGUAGUCAAGAUUAUGUAUCACAAUUUCCUGCAAAAGUUAUCAACAGGGGUUCAAUUGUCUAAAAUACCCUUUAAAUUAACAAAAGCUCAAAAUGGAUACUACCUCGCAAUGCUUCCUUAAAUCAUGUGCCUCUAGUGAGUCAGCAAUUUCAACAAGUUGUAAAGCACUUCUUGGCUCCACCAAAUGCUCGGCUGCCACUUUCUCACAAAGACUUUUCAGACUUGGUAUUUGCUUACUUCCAUUUUCACUGUUACCCUUUUCUAGACUUGAUGUCUUUUCAUCAAUUUCAAUAUCAUUAUAAGCAAAAUCUUCAUCCAGCUCGCUUAAAUCAUCACUUAGUUUUUUCUUUAAACACCGAGGGGUAUCUGGAGCCUUGAGAGAAUAUGGAGGAUGAUAGAGGGAACUAAUCACCAACAGAUGCGUUUCUCCAACUGAAACUGAAGUAGCCCUUUUGAUGCCAUGUAAUCGAGUUAUGACCGGAGCUUCGUCUUUUCUUUUCUUUGCAUCCCACAUGUAAACAUCACCAGAAGCUGUAACUCCAGCUGUCCAGUACUUUCCAGCAGACACACUAACCAUACUUUUCCCACAAAGCCCGUAUAACUACAUCAAAGAAACAAUGAAUAAGAGAGGCAUGAUGGAUGAUGAUGAUGAUGAUGAUGAUGAUGAUGAUUGAUGAUGAUGAUGAUGGACCUGUUGACAUUUAAGAUCAGGAUCAGAAGACACCCAAUAGAACAAUGCACCAUCAUGGGUAAGAGCCAUGCUAUGCAUCAUCCCUGCAGCAAUUGAAACCACAUGAAGGCGUUCUGACCGGUGGAACUUUAAAGGAGUGCUUCCAACUUUUUUCAAAAUCCUUGCAACAACAACUCGUCUUGGAGUUACAAGACGAUGACCCCAAGUAAAUACCUGAAAAAAAAAAACCUAGAAAAUUAGAAUCACUGCAUCAAUUUUCAUUCUUGCUUUUAUCAUCUAAAAAGGUACCUCUCCAUCGGCUCCUAAAACCACAGUGUGAUACUUGGCUGCUGACACACGAAUGAAAACUUUUCCUUUCAAAUACUCAACGAGCCUCGGGGUGUAAUUUGAGCCAGAGUUUGAAGUUCCAUAACCAAGUUGACCUUCUUUAUUGCAACCCCAAGUGAAAACCUCACCCGAAUCAGAAACAACAGCAGUGUGCUUGUUUGCUGCAGCAAUAGCAACUAUCUUUGACUUUAAAGAGCUAACUCUUCUUGGGGUUGCUUGAGUAUCAACAGAAGUAUAACCAAGUUGACCCUCUGCAAAAAUCACCAUGAAACAUCAUCAAAAUAACUAAAUCACUCUGUAUUGUUUUAGGGUAAAUAAGUAAGUAAUUACCUCGGUUGGAACCCCAGGUGAAGACCUCACCACCCUCUGUGACAGCAACUGUAUGAUGUUUAGCAGCUGCAAUUGCCUUGACCCUGCGGGCCCCUAAUCCGGAUGUUACCUGUCUAGGAGUUAUGACUGCCGCCUGACCACUAUGGAUGUCAAAAUCAGGGUGGCCAAGGCGACCACCGCGACCAAAUCCCCAAGUGAAAACUUCACCAUCAGCACUCACAGCAACACUAUGAAACUUGGCUGAAGAAAUGGACUUGAUGAAGGAUCCAUGAAGUGAGUCAACCUUGCAUGGGAGCUUCUGUAUGUGAGCAUUUCCAGUCCCAAGUUGAUAAUUAACACCGCUUCCCCAACUGUACAGCUCUGUCACCACUGAAAAUGCACAACAAACAUUCCUUCAGGAAAUUGUAUCAAUGGAGUAAUAUUUAUUAUAAGGAUGUGUUUGUUCUUUGUUGGAGUACCUGAACCAUCUCCAUUGCCAUUAGCCUGUAGAACAGGCCCAGAGAGAAGGUCAACAGGUGUUCUUGACUUGGAAUCUUCAAUUGCAACAGAGGCUUCUGAUUUAAGAAGAAUACUAGCAACAGCCAAAUGACCAAAAUGUAAAGCCCGAUGAAGGCUACUCCAUCCAGAUUCUCCAUCCUGAAGAUUGAAAAAGUUGUUAAACUUUUCAUCUGAUAUCUAAAAGAUGAGAAGAUAGAUGUACCCUGGCAUUAGGGUCUGCACCAGCAGCUAGUAGUCUUCUGAUAAUUGGAAUGUGAUUUCUCCAUGUUGCAAUAUGAAGAGGGGUAAGGCCAAAAGUGUUUCUUGAAUUGAUGUUUCCUCCAUUUUUCUUCAGUGAGACCAAGGCUGAAUCUACAUCUACCACAGACCCUCCAUGCACUGCCAGCCAUAGAUCUUUGGAGGACCCACUUGUUGAGGACUUGCCACCUGGACCUUGGAGGUUUUUUCUUUGACUGUGAAGUAAAUUUAUCUGAUCCAUCACUAGCUACAGACACUUUUUACAGCACUACUACAAUACUUGUUAACUAUAAUGAUUAAGACAGUCUUAAAGAUAAGGGUUCAUCAAACAACUGCCAUCAUCGCCAUGUUUACUGUAAACAAACUGGAUAAAGAUCACAUUCACAAUCGCGCCAUCACAUAUUUGGAAGAACACAGCAACAAUGAAACUAGUAGACUGAGUCACCUGCAAGUAAGAAAAUUUUAAAUAUGUAAUUAAGAUCAUGGAUUAUUUUCCAAGUAGAAAAGUAACAAAGUUUUCAGCUAGCAAUACAAACCAAGAUAUCACAAGUCAUGAAAUUUAUCAAAUUUUACAUGGCAACACUGGAUUUAUUCUAAAUGAAAUGCACUUACCAACUCGUGGAAAGAUGAAACAUAAUGGAAAUGUUUUAAACAAAACUUUCACCAAAGAGACUUUAAUUGGGAAUAACUUGAGAAACUAUAAAAAAAGAAGAUGAAAUAGAAAAAAUGAUGCAUCAAGUUUGUACUUUGUACUUUACAUUGUUUUCCUCAUGCUGCUGACACAAUCCUCUUUAUGGAUCAAAAGAUUAGUUUGGGCCCACAAAUAUUUCCGCAGUUUAAAAACAUGAUAUCAAACUCCUCGUUAAAAUCUGAUCUUAUUCAGUCAAUAAGAAGGCAAAAUCGGAAAGUAAAAGUGUCAAAAAUACCAGGAUCUUUGAGCCAUGUAACAUAAUCGAGGACAAAGUUCAAGCAGAGACAAAAAUCAUAUUAUUGACUGAUUUUCAAAGACAAAAUCUAUUAAAGCCACAUAUUGUAUGAAUUACAAACUAGUGCGAUGCCAGCAGUUGUAGAUGUAAAUAGUUAUGAAACUGUAAACUAUUGAAACAUCAACAGUUAAUUCUCAAAUUUUGGCUUCUUAUCAUCAAAGAGCAUAAUUUCGAUCUCAAAUUAGACUUAUUCAAAAAUGCACCUUAGCAGAGGGCUCAGAAAACUCUUAUCGUCUCGUGAAUUUAUUACCCAAACAGCAAUUAAAAUUACCCCGUAAGCAACCAAGUAAACGGCCAAAGAUUCGGAUCAAAUGCAGGUUUGCAGAUCAUAAUAUAUCAUAAAAAGAUCGAUAGAACAACAAAUUGAUUCAUUAUGAUCUCUAAAUUACAAUGUACGUACGUCCAUUUUUUGAGUAGAGAUGUACACGUUUAAACAAAAUGGACCCAGAAUCAAUCAUAAUAAAAGUCAAAACUAAUCCCAUCAACAUGAAAAGAUCGCGUCUUUUUUCAAAAGAUCAGAUAACCCCACAUACGUCUACAUGAAAAAAUAAAUUAGAAACAAGAGAUACGAAGUAAAAGAAAAUACCGAUAGAUCGAAAUCUGAAACAGGCGGAACAAAAUGGUCCAAAAUGGCAAAUACUGGUGGUUACCCUAUCGAAGAUCGAACCAAAUCAAGAAAAGAUAUCGAAACGCACCAGAGAUAUGGAGCGAAGAUGUGAUAAUUACCUUAAAUAUUAAGUCAGUUUUGAUCUCAAAAACCAAACCAACUCCCAAAGACACACACACACUCCCUCUAUCUCCCAAACUUCUGGCCUUUUGAAUGCGUUCCGUUUUGGGGGAAUUUUCCUAGGGCAGGUGGGAGAUAAGGGAUCGGUUUGAAGAAUAUGCCGAAAUGCGCAGAGAGAAGUGUGGGGGAGAAGGAGAAAGGGUGAUUUGGGUAUUUCACCUGUCGUAAAGGAAAUCGUUGAAUUGACGGAAAAAAACCAUGAGAUUAUCUAGGAAAGGACGCUGGUACAUACGAUGAGCGGUGGGUCUGAAGAGAUGUGCAUCCACGUAAACCCGAUCGACAGAUUUGACACGUUAGUCAGGUUGCCGUUUAACACGUAGAUUUCCUUCCCAUAACGCCGUUAAACUCACAUUUCGAUACACACGUUCCGUUGAUCCUUUCUUCACAAGAAUAAACUCACUCCAGCCAAUUUUAUUGACUUAACGGAUACGUCUUGAAUCCACAUGGGAUCCUGUAAACGAUCCUUAUUUUUGUGGAUUUGUCGUGUGAAUAAAGUUGAUUCAAUUUAUGACGAACGGGUUUUAAGCCAAUGUUUUAUUGUUACCUAAUAAAGAGGUUAUUUUAGUCGCAAUAUGUAUUAAACUAUAUAUCCGUUUGUUAUUUAAUAGUUUGUUUCUCUUCAGUUUUUUAAGGAACAAUCAUGUACUAAAUUUGUAAAAUACUCGAAACUUAAUUCUGAAAUAAAAGAAAAAAUAGUCUUAAUGAAACCUUGUACAAAUAAUUUAGGCUUGCAUCAAUAAUAGAAGUUUUAAAUGAAGUCCACAUCAUUAAUGACUUAUGUCCUAGAUGUUACACACUUGAAAAUCACUGGACCUUAAUGCACAAUACCCUCGAGUUUACAUAAGAAUAUACCAACAAUUAACAAAUAUAAAUGAAUUGACAAAACUGCCCAUAAACACACUACAAAGUAGAAGAAGAAACAUGUACUACUAAACUAUCCAAUUCCAAUCCCACACAAAGCUUGCAAAUCUCAAACAUCUCUAAUUAUACACCUCAAUAAUCAUCAUUUUGAUGAUUGAGAAAGAAGUAAGAACCCCAUAUGGUAUGAUCAACAAGAAUAUGAAUAUGCAUGCAUGCAGCUGUCUAUAAAGUAUAAACUCUCAUCAUGCAGCAAUUGGUGAAUCCUGCAAGCCAUAAAUAAACACACUACAAAGUAAGAUACAUAUAUAUAUAGUAUAUACUAGAAGCAAUUAAAACACAUUGAUACAUAUAUACCUUUGCAGUUAAAUUUGAGACUGCUAUGUUCCAUUUUUGUCUAGUUUUCGUUCCUGCAACUUGCCCAGCCUUUGCCACUUUACCAAAAGCCCCAUUCAGCCAAGCUGUUCCAGCAGUCACAUACCUAAACAGUAAACACAAUCAAGAGGGUAAAUUUGGAAACAAAAUGGAGACAGAUAGCAUUUGAAGCUUUAUUACAAACCUGCUUGAUUUGACAGCUGAUCCAGUGUUGUUUAGUUUCCUUUCAGCUGCCAUUAUUGCAGCCAUUGUUUUGUCUGAUACUUGCAGCCUUUGAUCCACUGACUUAACUUUUUCAUUUACAACUGAAACCCCAACACUAAAUUUCUCUGUAAGCCCUACUCUUUUGUCUAGUGAAUUAACCCUAGCAGAUGCAUUGGCUCUUAAUUGGUGUUUUUCAUCAAAUGCUUUAGCUUUAUUUAAAGCAUCUUGCCUGAUUGCUGAACCUUUAGCAAGAACACUUGUUACAACAUCUUGUGCUUUACUCAUGUAUACUCUUCCACUCCUAGGAGAGCUACCAUUCCCCUGUUUUAUUUAUUAAAAAAAAAAUCAAAUUUUUAAAAGACUGAUUGCAACUUUUUCAUGUUCAGUUUUGUUGUGAUUAUUAUUCUAAAUUUACCUCUGCAUUUGGUGAAAGGUUUUCUGGAGACAUACUCAUGGCAUUAUCUACUUCACGAACUUCCUGCAAGAAGUGACAUCAUGAAAAAAAAUUGAAUAUUGUAAAAUGAAAAUAUAUUUAUAUACCGAGUAAUAACCAUUACCUGGAACUUGGGUUGUGGCACAUAAUUUUCUACAGGUGUGAUGCUAACAAUCUGAUCCACUAUGGUUGCUCCCUGUAAAGAUUUAAAUUAGAGAUAUCUUUCAAUUUUGAUAAGUUAGGUUGUUAUAUAUCUGCUUUAUAUCUAUAAAUAAAUAAAAUUAUAACUAACACUUAACCAAAAAGGGGUCAAACAAAUCAAGAGCCAACUAAUUAGUGGUACAAGUGGGCCCAAGAUGUGGAUAAACAAUGAUAUUAAUAAAUAAACAUAAUUUGUGGUGUCACAGGGAUAAAGACAAACGCAGGCUGAUUAAUAAAAAAGUGUGUUAAUAUAAAACAUAAAAUAUAUAAUAAUUAAUUCUUUUGAGUGUAAUUGUGGAAUUUUUCUCAUGUAUUCCAAAGUAGGACCCAAGAGUCUCCGCUGGACAAAGUGGAAUUAAUAUGCAGCCACAAUUUUGUGGUCGUAGUUUGUUGACUUGAGUAGCUGCAAAUUUGUCAAACACUGUUGGAAAUUUCAAGUUUCCAAGAAAUCGCAAUUGAAUUUUGUAUAUUUCUAAUACAUGCAAGCAAAAUUGCAUACACACACAUAUAGACCAAUAAGCAAAUUUUGAUACAUAACUCAGCUGAAAUAUAAAGAUAUCAGAUAUAGAAGGAAAUUGCUACCCUUGACUAAAUACACAUUAAGAUGAUGAAUCUCCAGAAGAUCUACUUCAGGAUAUCAUAAACUUCAGAAUGUACAAAUCGGAAAUCAGAUUCUGUUUAUUGGCCAAUUAAGAAAAACAGAGAAAUGGAUUUUGGAUGGAAUGAGUGCUCUGGGCAUCCUACAUCAGUUAUGCUAUAGUUUAGCAAUCAAACAAACUAUUUUCAAUUUUGAAAUUGGUAUUUACAUUUUUUUUUUAUUAAAAAUCCUAUAACGGCUUCAAAAGUUCCAAUAAAUAUUAUAUAUACAAAAAGAAAACAAUGUCAAAACCCUAAAAUAAUGAAUACUAACUAAAAUUGAAGUAAUUCUAAGUUUGACAUUGAAAGUUAAAAUGUCACAGUUAACAGAGGAGGAAGUAUCAUGUAUCAACAGUUUUAGGUCAUGAAAAUCUUAAACAAUCAUACAGAAUAUCCACUUCAAUAGAAAAAGGGGAAAUAACUAAAUUGAAGGAUUACCGAUAGCAAUAAUGCAAUUUCAAGAGCCUUUGGAUCUUUAAACGUGACGAAUGCAGUCUUGUUUUGUACUGAAUCGCUGCAAACCUCAAAAAGAAUCAAAAUCAGGACAACAUGCAUAAUAGUAACAAAAUUUUAAUUCAAUUUUAAUCUUGAUAUGGCAGUAACGAACCGGCAGAUCUCAACGUGCUCUAUGUCGCCAGAAAAGGAGAAAAACUCGUGAAUUUCUCUCUCGGUAGCUAGAUCUGAAAGAUGCCCAACUUGUACUGUUCUUGUCUGAAAGAUAUUCAUACGAAAAAACAUAUAUUUCUUAAAAUCUCGACAUAUUACUUCUAGGAAAUCAGAUUUUAGACGGAUAUAUGAAUCACAAAGAAGUUCAAACUCACCUGCAUUUUACUUACAACGCACAACAGGUGAUUGAGCUCUGUGUUCAAGAAAGGUUACAAAAGCGUAUGAAAUUCUAGGUAGAGAGAGAAAGAGAGAUAGAAAUAGAACAGAUGUAAUUACGCAAUUAACAGAUAAGCUGUGAAGAUGAUGGUGAAUGGCAUUAUAUUUCGCCUUUUCCCCAAAUUUAUAUAUUAUAAAUAAUAAAUAAUUUAGGGUUUGAAAAACUUUGAAGGCACAAAGAUUCUUGCUGAUGUGUUGCUUUCCCUCUUCAAAAUAUCUUCUUAGCCCUCUAAUUUCUCUGAGUCUUACAAAAUACUCCCUUCAUCUUUAUAUAAAAUCACAUUCGUUUAAUACGUCUAGUUAUAAAAUUAGUCCUUCGUCAUAGAAAUGAUGUUUCAGAAUAGCUAUUUUGGAUUAUAUAUGAAAACAAGUUAAUAUUUUAGUUGGAUGUAACUUUUCAUUUCAGUGUCUUUAUAUUAACAGCAAAUUCCAUACUUUGAGUUUUUUUUCAGUUUACCUAUCAAAAGAUUCUUUUUCUUUUCUAUUUUUUUCAUUGCAAAUUUAUUUAACUUUUUAGAAAAAUCAUUACAUAAAACUUUAAAGUCUAUAAGAAAAAAGGUAAAUGACACAAAAAACACUUUUUUUACACAGAAAAUCGAUUUUGACACCGUGUUUUUUUUUUGUCAAUUUUGACACUGUGUUUUCCAAUUUGUUACAAUUCUGACCACUUGACCGGUUAACCAGGUUACAUGCUGACGUGGCAUGAUGAUGUGUCAGUUUUGAUGACGUGACAUGCUGACAUGAUAUGCUGACGUGUCAAAAUUGAUUUUUUUUCCACAAAAAACACUAAGUUUUCACUUUUUUCGAUUUUGACACUAAGUUUAAUUUUUUAUUUCAAUUUUGACACUAUGUUUUUUUUGUUUCAAUCGAACAUCAUUUAUCAAAUUUUGUUCAAUUUUGUCUAUUAUCCAUUUGAAACCGUAUAAAUAUAUUUUUUUAUUACAUUUUAAACCGUAUAAACAUAUUUUUUUCGUUUAAAAACCACAUUUUAUUUAAAUACAAUGUGUCUUUUUUCUUACAUCCAAAGCAUUAGUUAUAUCAUGAGAAUCAAACGAACCAUAAGCUUCUAAUAAGAUGUAAAAAUUUGAUGAGUUGCAAACUUGAUAUCCGAAUUUUGAUCGACUACACGCCUCCAAACCUCCAAACACAUUUUAAAGUUGCAUAUUUAAUAUAAAAUACAAUUUUUAUAUAACUAAUACAUAUUUAUACAUAAAAAUAUGGUUUGAGUGUAAAAAAAAUAUAUUUAUACAAACUAUGGUUUUUAAAUGAAAAAAAAAACAUAUUUAUACGGUUUAAAUGUAUUAAAAAAAUAUUUAUACGGUUUCAAAUAGAAAAUUGUCAACAUUGAACAAAAUUGGAGAAAAUGAUGUUCGAUUUGGAACAAAAAAUAUAGUUCAAAGUUGAAAGAAAAAAUUAAACUUAGUGUCAAAAUCGAAAAAAAUGAAAACUUAGUGUCUUUUGUGAGAAAGAAAAUUCAAUUUUAGCACGCCAGCAUAUCAUGUUAGCAUGCCACGUCAUCAAAAAUUGACACGUCAUCAUGCCACGUCAGCAUGUAACCUGGUUAACCGGUCAAGUGGUCAGAAUUGUAACAAAUUGGAAAACACAGUGUCAAAAUCGAAUUUCUGUUUAAAAAGAGUGUUUUUUGUGCCAUUUACCCUAAGAAAAACAAGUAUAAUUUAUAAUUUGCUCAGGUUAACUACUUUGAAAAAAAAAUCGAUCAAACCAUUGAAAGUGGAAAUUGAAAAUAUUAAUAUUUCAUUUGAUUUUUGAAGCUCGUUAAUUGAAAAAACUAAGAGUGUCUUUUUUAUAAAUAAAUUUUAAAAAAAAUAAACUCUCAAUUAGGGAAAAAAAUUUGGCUAAACAAAAAAUAAAUAAAAACAGACAAGAACAUGCAUGAACGUAGGCCUGAGAAGAGGAAAUCGUUACAAAAUCAUUGCAUAUUGAAUUCUUUAGCUACGCGGGGGAAAGAGGACGGUAUUGUCACAUUAGUUGAAAAUAUGUUCGACAAUGCAGGUCUUGGCUCAUCGGGCCAAAGAGUUAAUCACUUUCAAGAUGGCAGAACUAAGGACAACACCAACGUUAGACAAUGUCUCCGUAAGGUUGUUGAUUGGUAUUUUACGACAGCGGUGAAAGUGUUGUGCUCAUCGGUGUUGCUUCACAUGACAGUGACACCAUCAAAGCUUUAGAGGCUAAGCAUCCAUACAAGUACCCAUCCAUGUCGAGCACCAUUUCUUAUGAGCCUCCCCUUUUAGUAGAUAUUGGCAAUGUCCUUGGUUGUAUUAAAUCGUUUCCUAAAGGAACUUCGUGUGGGAGAGACGGCUUGAGAGCUCAGCACAUAUGUUAUUAUAUUGUUUUAGAUAAAUGUUAAAUAAUUAAACGUAAAUUAGGUGGUUGAAAAUAAUAAAGGUUGUUACUUUUAAAAAAAAGUUAUAUAUGUAAAUUCCUUAUGAGAUAAAGGGUGUAUUCGGUACGGAACGUUUGUGAGCAUUUCAGAGCUUCUAGCUUCCGGCUUUGACAUAACGCUUCGUUUGGAACAUAAGGCCUCAUUUGACACUAUAAGCUUAUAGAGUUUAGGUUAAACAAAACGCUCUAAAUUCUAAUACUACUUCACGUAACCAGAGGCGAGCCUACCCUUAUAUAAAGGGUGUCCAUGGACACCCCUAAAUUUACAAUUUUAUUUACAAUAUAUAUGAUAAAUUUUAAGGGACACAUGUUGGAAAACAAAGCGGACACCCUUUGAAUGUGGGUAAAGAAUAAAAGAUGAGAUGCGAAUUUGACCUUUAUAACUUGUAAACAAUUCAGGAGCAAACAUUUAGGAGGUAGUUAAUUAAACAAUAUAUUUUCCAUAGAUACAAUAACAAAGAAUCUUUCAAACUUGUAUAACUGUGAAGGAGAAAAUGGAUGAACCGGAAAAACAAAAAUCUAGAAUAAAAUUUACGAUUUUGAUCGGACGCCUCCUUCCUAAGUGCCUCUUCUUCUCAAUUUCGAAUCCACAUCGGCCGCCGCCGAUUCUCUGGUGUCACUGACGAUCACAAUUUUGGUUGUAUCUAAUCUCCGGUGCUUGCAAUAUGUUCUCGACACUUCAUGGGGUCAUAGUUUUGGCCAUCUCCCAACUCCCACCAUGUGUUUUGCUCGCAUCGUAUACAUCUCUGUCAUUUGGUUACCGGACAACAACAACCAGCCUGAGUUGCGAGCUGUUUUGUUCCUUCUCCUGCACUCUCGAUUUAUUUUGGGGUAAAAAGCUUUCUCUCUUUUAGGGCUUAGGUUAAUUUUUGUUUUGUGAACUUGUGUUGUAGAAAGCUAUUAAAUAGUUGAUGAUGUCUAUGUCUAAAAAGUUAGUCGAAAGUACAACUUCAUUUUUUUGUUUAUGUUAGUUUUUGUUUAAUUUACAUUUAGGAUCAUAAAUAGUUGGCUAAUAUGUGACAAAAUUAGUGGUGUUAAAAAAAAAAACUAAAACCGAAAAAUGGAAUCGAACCGAAUGAUGUUUGGUUUAAUUGGUAUGAGUUAUUCUGUUUUCUGUUUAUUUGGUUUGGUUAACUGAAUAAGUAUGGUUGCGUAAAUCAAAAGAAUACAUGGGCAUUAAGAAUCUCACUUUGCUAAGUUCAUAUCUUUGUUAUAUGUUUAGUAAUUAAUAGUAAUAAGAGCAUCAUUUUUCUAAGUUAUAUAUUUGUUAUAUAUUUAAUAGUUAAUGUUUUUUCUUUAUUACAUAAAGAUUUUAUGGUUAUUAAUUUAUUUGAUUUAGUUUAUUUUUAAUGUUCUUGUUAAUAUGUUUACACAUAAUGGUCUUGUUUUUCUUUAGUUUAAUUGAUAAACCGAUCCGAAUAAACCGAAAUCGAUUAAACCAAAUAUUAUUUGGUUUGGUUAUGGCAGAUUUAGAGAUGCUAAAAACCCGACAAAACCAAACCGAUUAAACCGAAAACCUAUAAACUGAACCGAACAAAUACACCUAAGCAAACCGAUCUGAUUACCAAAAUUUUUUACUCGUUUAUUUAGAAGGUGUUUGGAUAAAUAAGUUUUUAGCUUAUUAGCUUAUUGCUUAUUGCUUAUUGUGGUGGGAAUAAGCAUUUUUUUAAAAUGUGUUUAGAUUAGUUUAUUGCGGUGGAAAUAAACAAUAAGCAAUAAGCAUUUGAAGUGUUUGGCAAACAAAACAGCUUAUAUGAGUAAAAUGACUAAUAAGCAAUAAGCAAUAAGCAAUAAGCAUUACCCCCCUUGCUUAUUAAAAUCAGCUUAUUUAGCUUAUUCCCACCGCAAUAAGCUAAUUUUUUAAGCAUCCUAUCCAAACACUUAAAUUAGCUUAUUGUGGUGAAAAUAAGCAAUAAGCAAUAAGCUGUCAUUUUUUUCCCUAUCCAAACACCCUCUUAGUCACUUCAUUUAAUGGGACACUAGUAAGUUUGAAUCAUGGAUUCGCCACUACACAUAGCGUUUAAUAAAACGUUACAAACUACAAUCUACCCGCUACCAGUUAUUUUUGCCGAACACACCAAAAGUUACGAUUAUUUCACUUACAUAUAUGAUUGUUUAUGAUUGUAACACAAAUCAAUUGACCAAGAGAAAAUACGUUGAUAUUAUUUUACAUAUAUUAUAUGAUGUAAAUCUGAUUUAGCUAGAUUAGUAAUAGUUUUCUUUUAUACAAAACGACGUGAUUUAUAUUUAUUUGAAAAUAGUUUUUCAGAUGAACGUAUUCCAUUAUGAAAUUAGUAAAUAAAUAAAAUUUUAGUUUGUGGGUAGAAAUAGGGUGUUGUAAAAAAUUUGGUUAGAAAAUAUAUAAAUCUGGUUUGUGUAAGUUAGUAAUGGCGUCAUUUCUAUUUUUUAAGAAAAAGUUUUUCACAUGAUCAACCCCUGAAAAUAGUAGAACAAAAGUUUUUAAUUUAUGAGGAGGGCUACAACUAGCAAUAAUACAAACUAGGAAAAGGACCCAUGCUCCGCACGGGUCGAAAAUGCUUUUUGUUGGAGGCUUCGACCUCGCUGGGACAGCCUCUGCAAGGGACUGGAAUUAGGACUAUAAAUUGUAAAAACGGCGGUCGACUUUAAAAGCAAGACAACUCCAAAAAAAAUUCCAUGGUGCAGAACGGAACGGAGGAGACGCGGAGAAAAACGAAGACGAUGGAGAACACAUUCUCCAACCACCGAUAGAACAUAAAUGAAAUGGUGGUGGAGAUGGGUGAUUGGAACGUAGAGACGGUGGAAUUUUAUGCAAAGCUUCUAUAGGAAUUUGAGUCGGUGAUGUACCGCCUCACACAUGAAACAAUAUUGACUCGGUCAAUGGAAGAAAUUUGACAAUCUAUUAUUAAAUUUAUGUGGCAAAAUUAAAAAACAAAUAAAAAAGGCACCAAUUUAAAAAACAUGUGGCAAAAAUGAGAAGUUGAAAACGUUAUUGUGAAAUUUGACAAUCUAUUAUUAAAAUUAUGUGGCAAAAUUAAAAAACAAAUGAAACAAAGGACCAAUUUAAAAAUCAUGNAUAUAUAUAUAUAGAAUAGUUGUGACCAAUAAGCCUAAAAGUCAUUCCACAUUGUCAUUAUACAUUUUCACCACCCAUUUGCUAUUGUGGUGGUGUUAACCGGUGAACAAGAGCGAGACAACGGUGAGAGAUAGAGAGAAAAAAGAAAGAGAUAGAAAGAAAUAUUUUUGAUUGGACGUGAGAACUUGUAAUUAGCUUCAAUUUAUACCAUCAUUACUUUCAUUGGAGGCUGUGUUCACUAUUGAAUAUCUCCUCCACGUAGGAUCCACAUAGGAUUCUUACACUAGAAAAAAGAAACAUAUCACAUGGCCUUAACCAAGAAAAGUUAAUUUUAUAUUUAUCACUUUUAAAUAAAAUAUUUAUAUUUAUAUUAACGUUUUUACAUUUUUCGCAACUACUAAUGAUUUAUUUAUGUAUUAUUGAUUUGUAUAAAAAAAAAUUGUAACUUAUACCUUUUAAAAUUCAAGAUNGUCCCCUGAGACAUAUGGACCGGAAGGUCACGGCCUGGAAAGGCGUAUGUGUGUAAGUAGUAUUUGGGGAACUCACUAAGCAUUUAUGCUUACAGUUGUUGUGUUAUGUGUUUCAGGUACUAGCGAGGACCGUGGAAAGGCGCCGGCGUGAUCUGUACACACUGACGGAAGAUUUAUUUGAUGAUCUUGGGAUUUGACAUAUUUGUAUGAUACGUUGGAUCUUACGGUCUGCUUUGGAUGAAAACAUGUUUUAAGAAAUGAAAAUUUUGUUAUGAAAAUUUACAUUGUUACAGUUGUGAGGAGUGAAGCAAUCAUGUGAAAGAAGAAAGAAGGGGAAAAAUUUUCAGGGGGAAAGGCGCAAGAACAAAAUCUGGUACUCAUGACUUGAAAUCCCUCCAAUCCGUAGAACAUUGCUAUUCAUUACCUUGAUAUUCGUCUUAUCCGAGUCAGAAAAAAAAAGGAAGAAGAAGAAGAAUCGGUGGUGGUUUCAGCAUCGAUAGGUUUAGUGAUACAUUUUAAGAGAGAAAGGAAAUAUUGGUGACAUCUAUGAUAUUAUCAAGCAAUGGGAAAUUGAUUAGAAGGAGAGAAAGGAAAUAAUUUUGUAGUAACAUCGGUACUGAUGUUGACCGACAAUGGAAAAAUGGUGCAGGUGCCUGAGAAGGAGACACAUGUCUCUAUAUCUGGAAGACAUGCAUUGACGGAGAAAACGGUUGAGAAGGAUAAAAUACCAACGAUUAAGCCUCAUGUUGUAUAUGACGCGCCUAAAAUAAUCCAUUCGUGAAAUACACGCAUAGACCUUGACCUUAAAGUUAGAAGGUUUUUGUGUGUGUGUAUAUAUACACACACACACACUAGCCGUUUACCCGCGCAAAGCGGCGGGCGACAAAUAGUUUGUUUUGACAAUUAAUUUUUUUCGAUGGAGAAUGAUUAUUUUCAAUUCAAUCAUUAGUUUGUUUUAGGAAACAUGUGAUAUUAAAAAUAAAGAAAAUUCAUGAAAUGACCAAAUUAUAGGGUGUUGAGUAUUUAUUUGGAUGAAAAAAGAUCUAGUCAAAACCUUGGAAGAGAAGAUUUAUAGGAGUUUGUUUAAAUUUUAAUAUUAUUUUAUUAGUGAUUAGUUGUACAAUUAGCUUAAUGAUUUGGACGUCUUAAAAAAAUAUUAUUAUUUUAUUCAAUCUUUUUUUAGAAAUAGUGGGGUUUGUUUUAUAAGAUAGUAAAGAUAUAUCAAAUGAGAACGCGAGAACAAUUGUAGACCAAUCAUUCUAUAAGGGCGUAAAAGGAAUUUUACAAUGUAAUUAAAUAUUGAUAAUUAAUGAUUUCCUACAUUCAUGGGAUGUUGUCUAAUUAAUUGAUUAUUUACCUAAAUAUUAUAAAUGCAUUUAACCUAUUUUUAAUCAAAUAGAAUAUUAAAAAAAAAAACUUUUUUACCAUGAUUAAAAAACGUUUUUUUUUAUUUUUUUUACCAGUAUAUCAAAAAAAAAUUGAUGAAUUUAUCAUUUCAACCGAAUAUGUAUAAUCAUACAAAAAUAAAACAUAUUUGUAAUCAUAUAUGAAUCUGCUGUAAUCGUAAAUGAAUAGAUGAAUUAAGUUGUAAUAAUAAACGAAUAUGAUGCAAUUUAUAGAGAAAAAUCACAAUACAACUAUAAUCAUAAAUAAAUAAAAAACAUAUUGGAUAUAUAUCUAGAUUAUACAUCUAUUCAUAAUUAAUAGUAACACGAAAAGUUACAAUGUAAUUAACUAUUAUUAUAUAAUCAUAAAUGAACUAUUAUUAUAUAAUUGAAUAAUGCGAUAUCUUUUCCACUUUGUAUUGUUUGGUUGUAUAUUAGCACUCAGACAUCUUGUUUGUAGAUGCAUCUCGAUGUCCUCUACACACUGUCAAAUAAAGAAAUAAAUACAAAUAACAAUCAAUUAGAUGAAAAGGAUUUAGAAAAACACAUAUGACGUCAAAUUAUAAAUGAAGAGACAUGAACAAAAUAAAAAAUACAUAUGAAUUCCUAUAAUUGUAAUUAUAUUCAUACAUGAAUAUAUCACAUAUGAAUACACUUCCAAUAAUAAAUUAAUAUGAGACAUGAACAAAAAAUAAAAUACAUAUGAAUUCCUAUACUUGUAAUUAUAUAUAUAUAUNNNNNNNNNNNNNNNNNNNNNNNNNNNNNNNNNNNNNNNNNNNNNNNNNNNNNNNNNNNNNNNNNNNNNNNNNNNNNNNNNNNNNNNNNNNNNNNNNNNNNNNNNNNNNNNNNNNNNNNNNNNNNNNNNNNNNNNNNNNNNNNNNNNNNNNNNNNNNNNNNNNNNAUAUAUAUAUCAUUAACAAAAAAAUGAAUACACUUCUAAUCAUAAAUUAAUAUCAUAGUACAAAUUACAUUAGGUUCUAAAUUUUUUUGAUCCCUCUAAAUCUUUAUAUCAAUCAAGAAACAACUGAGAAGAAGUGAAGGGAAAACAAGAACUAACUCACCUGCAGAAGCAAUGCUUCGAACAGUUAAACAAAACAAUAAGCACUUAAAACAAGAAAAUGAUUAAUCAUAAAAUGGAAUACUUCAAAAUCAUGCACAUUCAAAAGAAAAUCAUAGUUAGGCAUUUCAUCAAACACUUACUAUGCACAACAAUCAUUUCCAUAUCACCUGAUAUUAUUUCAAAGCAUGGCCAGAACCUGGUUCUAAGUUAAAAAAACUGACUAGGUUUUUGUAGAUAGUACAAUAUAAAAAAUUACCUAGGGCCUGACAAGCGACAAGUCAGCUGUCUGGAAAUUAUAUUCAUAGACAUAAGGGAGCACCAUAAGAUGAAAAGGGGAACUUGUUUCUGCAUUAAUCAAACCACUCAAAUUGAGAAUUUAACAAGAGCAUCAAAAAGGCACUGAAGAUUAUAACCCAAUCCAUGAUGGAGGCGUAAAGAAGAAGAAAACAGGGAGAGAGGUGGUGGAAUAGGAGGCUCCGGUAUCGAUUGAAGAUCAGAAGGCGGCUCAAAAAAUUGAAAUAACUAGUAAACAUGUAGGUUGGUGGUGGCUCUGGUACCGAUUGAAGAUCAGAAGGCGGCAAUUGGCGGUGGUGACAGAAGAUCAGGAGGCGACGAUUGGCGAUGAUGAUUGAAGACCAAGUAGCGGCGAUUGAAAGUGUCGAUUGAAGUGGAUGUCGACUGAAGUUGAUGAGAGGAAGGGCUAAGAAAUGAACGAGGAUUGAAGAUAGUGAUGAUGGCUGCAACGUAAGAUACGAUAGUGAAAAGAAUCGAGUGGUGUAUGGAUGAGCCGAUGAGGAGGCGGAACUAACCAUGAAGCCCUAGGUAUCCAAGGGAGAAAGAAAAAGACGGGAAUAUGAAAGGAAAUAUACGAGAAUUGAGAAAUUUUAGGAGUUAGUUAAAGUUUUAAUUAUUGUUGUACCCUUAUGACAAUUUCAAAGUUACAAUUUAAUUCCUUUAAUUUUUAGAAUUUACAUAAAUGGUCCAUUCGAUAAUAACCUUAAAUUUAGUUUUUUAAAUGGUUCAGAUCUGUUUUCGCGUUCUCAACCUUUUAGGUGCUCUCAUUUGAUCUUACUCAUAUANUAUAUAUAUAUAGAGAGAGAGAGAGAGAGAGAGAGAGUUAGGUUCAUAUAUAAACUUUAAUUAUUGAAUGGAUGUAUAACCAAUUGUGGACCAAUCAACAGAUAAGGGUAAUUUUGGAAUUUCAGAUAUAUUUAUUUUAGUAAACAAUAAACGAAACCUAUAUUUACCUAUAUUUUUCUUAAAUCAUGGUUUAGUUACCAAUUUUAAAUAUUUAUCCUUUUCUAAACCCUUUUAAGAUCUCAGGUCAUCAUCUCAAUUUCACGUUAUCAAGCCCCAAAUCACCACUUCAUAUGGAUCGUUGAAAUUUCCACGAUCGUACUAAAUGCCAAUGGUACGCGAACCAAGACACAAUCGAUAACGUCUUCAAUUUUCUACUGAUUGGGUUGUUUAUCAUUAUUCAACGAGAUAGGUAAGUGUAUUUGGAACACUGAUGGGAGCGACCGGGCUAGUUAGGUAUGUUGAUUUCACAAAAUCGAUAUCGUUCGCUACUUGGUUUUUCCAUCAUAUCAAUUGCUUGUUGAUUUCUCAAAAUCGAUUUCAAACCCUGAUUAUUUUUUUCAUUUUGAUUUUUUCGAUUGUUAUUUCCUUCUGGUUGUACCUAUUAAAUGAGGAGCAUUCAAGAAUUUCGUUGAUUUUUGUGUGAUAAUUUUACAUGGAGGUUAAAUUUGUUUUAUUGUAAUUUGUCUAGGUUGGAAGAGAGCGAAAACAAUUUAAAUUUGAUCAUUUUGAUGGCAGAAGUUCAACACAAACCUCAAUUUUCGGGAGGAGAAAUUACAGGUAAAAAAAAGAGACAACAUGAGUUUGUAGUUGCGUUUACGAAAUCUCCCUUGAUCCGAUUCAUUCUAUAUAAGCAUACCAACAUAUCUGGAGCUUGGUAGAAGAUAGACGUGGAGAAAAAGCCCAAAGAGAUGUCUAGAGAGAUAGUUAUGUUUAUCAUGUUCAUAGUCAAAAUCCUAUGUUCUUAUGAUAGUUGCAUCCCUUAAGGAAGUUUCAUGAUUUCUCUUAAUCAUUGUCAAAUUUGUUGUAAACUAAUUUUUUAUGUACAGACAUGAAUACUAAUUACCGCUUUGUUACGUAUUAAUUACCAAUUUGAUUGUAUGGAUGUAUAUGUAUGUUAAAUUCUUCUUCAAAACACUUGUAAUUAAUUUCUUAUUCUUCAAGAAUGUUAAUCUUAUUCUUAAAGAAUAUCAUUAAAAACUUGUAAUUCAUAUAAUUAUUCUUCAAGAAUAAAAAUAGAAAUUUUACCAUGACUUUGAAGUACUUCAAAACAAUCUCUAACAAAAUCGAUAUGAAAAGUUAAUUUUUAAAAAUAUCAACUUCUAUUCUUACAGAAUGCAUGUAAUUUAUUAUAAAUUUUUGUAUAUUCUUUAAAAAUGAUGAAAAUUUCUUAAAAAAUGAUGAAAAUAUAGAUAUUUGAAUAUCUUGCAAAUUAACAAACAUUUUGAAAGAAUUAUAAUUAAAGCUUUCCAUAUAGUUGAAUAUCUUGCAAAUUUUAACAAAAAUAUAGGUAGAUUCUUAAAGAAUAUCAUAUAUUCACUACUUUUUAAACUAUGUUUUACCUAUAUGUUUGAAAACAAUUAUUUUUCAUGUCAAAAAAAAAAAAAAAAAAACCGUAAGAAAUGUAUGUACUUUAAAAACAUAAUGAAUUCUUGAAGAAUUUACUAUAUUCAAAGAAAUUCUUUAAUCUUCAAAUAAAUAUUCUUCGUACAUAAAGGUUUACUAUUUUUUGAUUGAUAUUUUAAUUUAUUACUAUAACUGAUUUGUGAUUUGGAUAAUCAUAAUUGUUAACUCCUAAAUUCUCUCCAAUUUAAUGCUUAUUAAUCAAAAUUGUCCACCAUACCUUUAUUAACCUUUUUUUAAUUAGACUAGUUAAUAAAAGAAAUGUUUAUGUGUAUUGUAUUCCACUAUAACUAUUGUAUACCAUAGAAUCUUAAUCAUUUAUAAUUGUAAUCUAGCGAUCCACAUCUUGUCAUACAAUCAUACAAUACUUGUGAUUUAUAUUUAAUCCUAACCCUAUAUAUAUAUAUAUACACACACACACACACACACACACACAUAGANGGUACUAAACCUAUAAAAUAUAUCAUUUUAACUUACUAAUUAUACUCGAUUUGGUUUUCACAUGGUAAAUAUAUCGUUCCUAAUAACAUUUUUUUCCUCCAUUAUCAUUUUACCAUCCUUGUUUUCUUUCUUUCAUUAUCGUUUAUUACUUCAGCCUAGUGAACAAUAUUGUUUUCCAUCAUCAUGAAGGAAGAAGAUAAUCAAUGUUCUUGCUUCCUUAUCAAAACUAUUAUGGACAUCGUGCAACUACAUCUUCAAGUGUUAAUCAUGAAUCCUCUAAUCGUAAUUUUUAUAUAGUAAAACAAUGUAUUUUCAUGAGGUUUAGUUCCUAAGUUUAGGUGGGGUUGUAAUAUAUAUUUAUUUUUCCAUAUAUANNNNNNNNNNNNNNNNNNNNNNNNNNNNNNNNNNNNNNNNNNNNNNNNNNNNNNNNNNNNNCGUGAUAUAUAUAUAUAUAUAUAUAUAUGUGUGUGUGUGUGUGUGUGUGUGUGUUAUAUUAUCAUUCCGAUAAAAAAAAUAGUAGACUUUACAUCAAAAUGGUACGUAAAAAAUUUGAUUUGAAUUUGGGUCGGAGCCUUGAAGGUGCCAUAUCUUAUUAUUUAUUUAAUAUAUUAAAUAUAAUAUUUUAAAUGUAAUAAAAAGUUAAAAUAAAUAAAUGUAAUAAAAAAUAAAAUAAAUAUUAUUUUUUGUAGAUAUCCUAUCGCUCCUUUCCACUUCAUUCGUAUCUGGCAAUGUUUUGACUAGGAAUAAGACACCGUUACAGUUUACAUCCUUGUGCUAUAUUAAAUUUCAAAAAGCACCCUUUACUCAUAUUAUUUCAUUUUGUGCCCUAAGAACUUAUUAUGCAUACACGAUGAUAUGAUAUACUACACGUCGUUAGUAGGCCUGUCGAAAAAAACCGAAACCCGUUUUACCCACUGACCCGUUUCGAAUUCGGGUAUAAUGGGUCGGGUAGAGCGGGUAAUGGGUUUAAACAUUCAGGUAAUAGGUUAACCCGAUAAUAAUAUAGAUCAGGUUUAAGAUAUGAAUAUUUAUUUUCGGUUAUACCUGAAUACCCGAAUUCGUUUUUUAAAUAAUACCAAAUAUACAAUGUAGUCACGUAUGUACGCUUCAAAAAAAACCCUUUCGUUACCUUCUUAUGAACGACGGCUCGACGCAAACUCGCAAAGGAAAUACGACGUUGAAGUCCUGAACCCUAAUAUACAAGGUAAACAAAAAUAAAACCAAACAUCGAUAAGAAGUGUUUUCGUUAUAAAAUGAUGAACUGUUGUAGUCUAUAUUAAUACACCACAGUUCUUCAAAUACACUUGAAACUCUUUAAUUAAAAAGAAAUCAAAAAGUAACACUUAAGAAAUUUUCGGGUAUACCCGAUAAUUACCCGACCCGGCCUUAAACCCGAAUACCCAAAACCCGAAAACCCGAAUUACAAUAUAGAUCGGGUAUCAGGUAUUAUUAUUUUAAAGAAAUAUCCGUUCUACCCGAAACCCGAAAAUUUUACCCGUUCGACACCCCUAGUCGUUAGAUCAUAACCACACACAACCCUUCGAUUCUAGUUAUUUAAUAGAUCCACCGAGGGCCUAUUGUUUUAAGGGGUUCAAAAACUUUAUAGGCUAUAUAAUAUUAACUAGUGUAGUUCCCAUGUUUCAUAUGGGCUCGAAUGAUUUUGUAUUUUUAUGAACUGUGUGUAUUAGGUAGUUGUUUGUGAUGGUGAAUGUUAACGUAUGGUCCAUUAGCAUGCUCCUUACGUCAAGACUUGACGCGCCAGCCUUGUCUGACGCUCUCCUACCAGCCUUGUAUGACGCUCGUAUGCCAGCCUUGUCUGAUGUUCGUGCCUGACCCUCGCCUGGAACCCGGGCAUUCUUACCCAACUCCCUGCUAGUUGGGCAUGAUUUGGGUCGACCUAAGGCCUGAAUUAACUCUCCCUUGGCCUAAGUGUCCAAUAUAAAUUACAUAGGAUCUCUUCCAUGAGGAAGGAUCUAAAAUCCUAGAGCUUCUAAUAAGCUUCUAGCCACCUUCUCUAACCUAGAGCCUCAAUGGCUAAACUAUCACCCAACACACCAAGAUGGUCAUCUCCAGCUAGAGAGAACCAUCUCAUCUCUAUCAACCGAUCUAACUUGAUCGUCGGAGUUUUCCCCCGGGGCACAGUCCCUGGGGCAACUCUAAUGACUUUGUUGUGACUGCACCUUAGGUAUCUCGUCAAAAACUCGCUGACAACACCUCUUCCAAAUCCUCGAUCUGGAUCCAAGACAUAACACCUGACACCCUGAGCAUAUGUCGCAACAUUUGGCGCCAUCAGUAGGACCAAUAGCGAAUAGUUGUCAUCUCUUGGUCUCAACCUCAGUUUCGCAUCCGAUCCGUUCAGAUCUGUUGUUCUUCGCCCCAAAUUUUCUUAGAUAUGUUCGCUUCAACCAUUAUUUGUUCAGAUCGGUUUGGCUCUCACCAAGAUUUGUUCAUAUCUGCUCCCUAAAUGUUUAGAUCUUUAGAUUUGCUUCCUUUCUUCCCUAAGAUCUCUAGAUCUGCUCCAUUUCUUGCUCAUUUGAGCAUUUCCAAGCUCGCAAAGAUCUUCUCAGAUCUAUUUUCGUUUAUGCUUUGGUGGUUUGUUCAAGCAAGUUGGGAAGAAAAUAAGUUUCUAUGAGCUUUUACCCAUUAUUUGUUCUUAUUUUAGUGUUUUAUUCAAUAAUUUGAGAAGAACAUAAGUUUUCAUAAAUUUUUACACAAUCUUCAGCUCAUAUGACAAACAGAAUCCAAUUUUAGCUCAUCAAAACGUUUUUCAAGCAUAAGAAAGUGUUUCAGACCAAUUUUUGCCAUAUUUUGGUGACUUAUUCAUAAAGUUGAGGAGAAAAUAUUUUUUAUCUCUUUUAUUAUUUCAUUUUCAUGAUUUAUUCAGAAAAUGAGGAAGAAAGAAAAUUUUAUGGGUUUUUCCACCUUUGCUAGUUCAUGUCAUAAGCAAAAUCUCUUUUAGUUGGUAAUUUUCCAUGAACAACCUCAUUCUUUACAAAAGUUGCUUGUACAUACAGUUGUAAUGCUUGUACAUCCCAAAAGCCCUCAUAAAACUGUUCAUCUAUUUUACCCAAAAUACUUCAGAUAUUUUGGAGUCUAUUCAAAAAUUUACCCACCAAAAAGGGGUAUAAGAUACGCAUGAAUUUUACCUCUCAUUAGCAGACAAAAGCAAAAAUAAUAAUAGAAAAAAAAGGAGAGAAAAAUGAGCACAAAUACUUGUGUCUCUUCUUAGCCGAGAAAACAAACAGUGAGGGUAUAGUAAAGUGUACAAAAUAUCGCAACUCUUUAAUCAGGUCCCACACACAUUGAAAGAUGAGCCAAUAGCUGGCAAAAGUCAAACAUAGGCCCAACCACUUCACACCUCCUUAGAAAAAAAAUGUUGUCUUCCUCCGGCAGCAAGUCCGACCAACUUCAACGGCGAUCGACCUAGAUCAUCGGAGGUCGCCUCCAAAUCCAAGGAAUCGGCUUCGGAGGCAACAUUCUCUUCACCGACAACCUUAUCCAUACUACAGCUGGACCUCGACAAUGCAUCUCCAACAGCUCCGUCUGUAACAUAUUUCUCAGCGACAACUUACAGUCUCUGAACACCUAUGGGCACCGCCCACCUUCAAACGGUGACACAACAAAAUAGUACGAUAACUCGUUGUCAUCUUGAUCUAUCGCCAGAUCGACUGAAGUCGACAACAUCUUCAAUAUCAAACACAUCCGAACGACCUCCAACAACCCUCAAGAUUCUUCGAGAUGGCACAGCUGUGACGAAGCAACGUCGUCGAUCCCCGUUUUCUCGAUAUGUCGCCGUCAACAGAGCCAUAUCAUCACAGGACCCCGUCUGUCGGACUCACUUAACGUGUCGUUGGUGGUGAGCAUUAGCAUAGUCGGUUGCUGCCUUCUCCUGUGAUCCACCUUCGGAUGCCGAACAAGGUAAACACUGACGAGGAACUGCCGCGGUAUCGCUGGACUUCCGGUCGUUGAUGUUCUCUUUUGCACAGUCUUUAGAAACAAGAUUAUGAGAAGUAGCCAAAAAGUGUAUUCCAAAAAGAUAAAGGUGUAAGUCCCACCCCAUAUGUGUAUUGUGCAUCCUGAUACUCAAAUAUGGCUCGCAACCUCACACACAUUAAAAGAAUAGUUUGGGCUGAUUAUUAAACAAAUAGAUUGCAAUUUCAAAUUUGACUCCUCAUAUAUCGAUAUUUGGUCCUCUCAUAAAAUAAACUUGGGCUCCCUUUAUUAAAAGUGGGAUGCCAUUUCUCAACUAGGGCCCCUUUUAAGUUUUUUUACGGACCAAUCCAUAAGUGAGCUAAUCUUGCAAGACAAGAAUUCAAACGCUCAACGUGCCAUUGUUUCGAUCCCGCUCAACAAAAUGCGUAUUCAGAAUACGUAUUGCGGUCCGAUCCACUUGACGUUUUAAAAAAAUCAUCCAUUUAUGAUCGCCUGCUGCCGUGCUGCAAGCUCCACUCAACAAAAUACAUCUUCAGAAUGCGUAUUGCAAACCGAUUUUGCUUGACAUUUUUGAGAGAGAGAGAGAGAGAGAGAGAGAGAGAGGAAUUGGGCCAAGUAUUUUAAAUGGGAUCCAACAACUCGUUUUGAGCUCCUUAUAUUUUAUGUUGGGCUCCUCCAAGUCGGCUGGACAAUUCUUUUUUGAGCUCAACGGUUUUUUGGGCUCCCAUUAAAUCACAUUUUUAAUCGGUUAGCUUAACAACAAAAAAUGGGCUAAUUUUUUGGGCUUCCAUCAUAUUAGUUAUUUACACACAAGUGUUGCAAUUCCGCUCGACAAAAUACGUAUUCAGAAUCUACGUUGCGAUUCAACCCCCUGUUUUUUUCCCAAAAAAGGGGGAGAAGAGUAGUGCACCACUGCUACUACUCCGCAAAAUGCUUCGAAGCGAUCACAAUCUUAAUUAGUCUACGAUUUCAAUAAAACAUACUAAAUAUCAAACAUGAGUGUGUCGUCUUUUCAACAUAACCGCUCCACUCCGCGACACUCAGCACGCAUCGUCGGCAAGCUCGCGGAGUAAAGCUCGAUCAGUAAAACAUUUGCAGGGAACCCGCGAAUUGUGCACUGCUGACUAGUCACCCAAAGUUCCCCCGGUGGGCAUAGAAAUAUAAUCAUCUACCUAGUGUUGGUUCCGGAUCUCAUCUCCAUCAUCGGGGCACGUGUAGAUUUCCUUCAAUAGUGUUUCUAUGGACAACUUUCGAAUGUGACGGAAUGAUAAGUGCAUUUUAUGCACCUAUUUUGCAUGUUUAUUUCCGUCAUUUCAUAGGUUUCUACUUCAUAAUUCUUUCAUUUAGUUAAUUCAUUGGGCAAUUGCAUAUUUCAUUAAGAAUGUCUGGCACUUCACUAUUUUUGAUUUAUUUUGCAGGCAUUAUAGAGUGUGGAGCAUUCAACAUGGAGUAUGGAGCAUAAAGAGAAGAUGGAUCGAUCAUGCCAUGGAAGAAAACAUGAAGACAUAACCUGAGUCAUUAUUGCAUUAUCAUCAUAGCAAAAGACUACGUUUGAAGCACGGUUCGUGCCACACCGACACAGGUUGUUUUUUCCUUUCUCGUCUUAUAUUUGAGCAACAUGACUCGUGGUGAAGCUAGACUUAAGAAGGAGCCAACGUUGAAGACUUAUUGGAAUUUUUGUAAAAAGAAUGGGGCAUGCUAAAAACACAUGGUCAAGACACAUGACCAUACCAAAAACACAUGGGAAAAAGGCAUCGCCAUGCUAAAAAUGCAUGGUCUUAUGGCAAGCACGUGAGCAGUUAAUAAAAUAAGGGAGGUCGCCACUUAUCAUACAUAGACGGUUUUUAGAGCAACUUUGGGCUAUCUUGGGAAAUUUUGGGAGAUUUCUUAGAGAUUUUGAGAAGAAAAAUCAUUGCAAUCACCUUUGAUUUCAUUUUGUAAGCAUUACACAUUUCCAAUUCCAUCUUUCUUUUUGAUUGAUUUGCUCUUAGCCAUGUGUGGAUAAGAAACCCUAAUUUCUAGUUCUUGUUCAAAACAUGUUAAUUGCUUAACUUGAAGCAUAUGAUUUGAUGUUUGAUUUGUGAUUAUAUUCCAGUGAUUAUGUUUUUGUUUAAAUUAGAAUCCUUGAAUUUGAUUUGUGUUUGAUUGGCCACUUUCAUGAAUUGAAUUUUUUUUUGUAGUUCAUUAACUUUUAGGGCACCUAAUCGUUAUAUUUAGUUACUAAUUCGUAACAAACAAUAAGUUUUCUUAUUGUAAAACAUACAUCACAUUUUUUCACAUGUUCGAGCAUAUGAGAAUAAAUGAACAUUAUUGGAAGCUUGUACAAAACUUAAUGCAAUUUUUCAAUACAAUUUAAGAGCGUGUUUAGGUUGAAUUAGUAAAGCUAGGUCUAGUCAAAGAGCGUGUUUUGGUUAGAUAAUUUGGAAAGCGAGAGGUAUUAGAGCGUGUUAAUAUCUAUUAGUACCAACUUAGAAUAACAACAAUGAAUUACAUCAAGUCAUAAUCAAGUUGAACAACAACAUUGAGAACUAGAACUAUAACCCUUCAAUCAAACUGUUUACUAGUUUAUUACAUUUUCUGCAUAUUUUUGAAUUAGACUAUUAUUUUAUUAUUUUACUUUUGCAAACAAAACCCCCCUUUUGUAAUUAAGGCACCUUGCGUAAAGAGGUAUAGACUUUUAUUCCGUGUCUAUGUGGUUUGACCCUGCUUGUAUUGUACUACUUUUUAGUGCAAUAAAACAGUGUAUUUGGAGUCUGUUGUACCACUAUUUGUAACGUCCGUAGAUCUGGGCUAGUCAAUUGAGAGAUAAUAGGGGUUGAAAAUGACUUUUCGACAAAAGAUUAUUUAUAAUAAAUAAUCUUAACCAAGUUGUAGAAUAUGUCUCAAGGGUUCCGUACAUAUAAAGAACGUUGAAAUCCGAGUUAUAACGAAGAAGUUAUGGCCCGUCGAAGUUUUUCAGCAAAACCGACACGGCACUAGGAGACGUAAAUAGUGAAUUUAAGAUGGAGGACUUUUUAGCCUUAGUGAUCUAAACCAAAGUUGUAGUAUACGUUAAACCGAGAACAUCCAUAAAAACAACGCCCAAAUCUGACUUCGUAUGCGGAAGUUAUGAUUUUUUCUAAAAUUUGGCUUAGCAAUACACGACCCGAAACUCGAAUUUUAGUUCGAGCGGUUUUUGGCUUACGCGACCUAAAUGAGAGCUUAAGAUCUCAUUAAUAGGAAAUCAACAGUAAAAAGAUAGACAAAAACGGAUUCCGUAUGAAGGAGGUACGAAUUCUUCGCGGUCAUUUAGCAGUCUAAACUCCUCCUACUGUUAAAUUUGAGAUCGGUCGAGAGUUAGCCGAUGGAGUCUAAAUGAAAGUUGUAGAUAUUGAUUUUACCUACGCGUUGAAAAAAGAACAUCGAAAACGGAGCUAUUAUGCGAGAGUUAUGAUUUUUCUAAGUUUGAAGGCUAAUACGCGAUAGGGGGUGACGUGGCACCACCAGAAGGCUGCCACAUGCCCCAACUCGGCGAGUAGGUCCUCCUACUCGGCGAGUCCAUCAGUCAGCACACCUAUAAAUAGAGGUGUCGGGUUCCCUCACUUCCUCACACCUUCAAACCCUUAUUUCUCUCUCUAGUUUCUCUCUCUAAAGCCCCAAACCCCCCCNNNNNNNNNNNNNNNNNNNNNNNNNNNNNNNNNNNNNNNNNNNNNNNNNNNNNNNNNNNNNNNNNNNNNNNNNNNCCCGAUUUUCUUUAAAAUCCGCUGUAAGUGAGCUACGCUUACGCAAUUUUUAAUAUAGCUUUCAAAUAAUUAUAGUAAUGUUAUUAGGUCCUUAAAAUAAUUAUUUGGGCUAUUAUUAUGAGUUAUAUUGAGUGUUAUUUAACGCUUAUAUAAUAAUAAUAACAACUACACUAUUAAUUAGUCGCGGUUAACGUCAGACUAAACCUUAGUGAUAUUGAUACUAGGUUUUGUCUAGGAAAUUGUUUUAAGAGUAACGAAGUGUUGUCCGAGUGCCGAGUCACCACCUAAACAGGUGAGUGCAUAGUCCCUUUCAUCUUACACAUAGAAAUGAAGUAUUUUAAUAUAAAUUACGUGCUAUGUGUGCAUAUUGUCUGAAUACUUGUUGUCUAUGCUGGUGAAAGAUUUUUAUACAUGUUUUAAAUGAUGAAAACUGUAUAAAGUAUUUUAUAUCUACAAAAUAUGUUAGGUAAAACAUGGGUAGAUGAAUGAUGAGGGAUAAAAUCUGAAAUAGAGGAACAUUAGUAGUAUGGACCUAGUGCCCUAUAGGUAUACAUUGGCAGCAAUGGACCUAGUACCCUAUAGAUGAGCACUGGCAGCUGCGCCACAACCCGUAGAUGUUUUAGAUCUACGGUAAACGUCCUAGCAGCUGCGCUCUAAGGAUAGUAUCGGCAGCUACGCCUAAUAGGGAGCCUUAUGACCAUGACAGUAGCGUUUAAAGGUCAAUACCAGCAGAAACGCCUCAUAGAAAAUGUCCCAAUUCUAGUAGCGGCGCCUAAGUGAUAGAACUAGCCGCUGUGCUUGACAGCUUUGUCAUUGAAAAUAAUGGACUUCAUAUAUAUUCCUUAGGAUAAUCCUUAGGAAUGAAUGAAUGAGAAAUAGCUGAUCCUUAGGGUAAAUCCUUAAGAAGAUAAUGGGAAUGGGUAAUUGGGUUGAUUGUUUGAUGUUUAAAUAUAAUAAUUAUAUUAUUGUGGGUUGAAAACCCUAUGUACUCACCAAGUUUCCCAACCUGACCCACUCCAGCUUAUUUGUAUCACAGGUGUCGAUACGAAGCUACUUUACAUUGAGAAAUUUAAAAGAGAUGUAGAUCACUAUUGUAAAUGAAUGUAAGUUCUGUUUCUGCUUAUGUUCAUGUAUUGACGAUGACAUCCCAAUGUUUUAAAAUGAAUAAAAAAAUACAUUUCUUCGAAAAUGCUUUGAUAACGUAAUUAUCAUGUUUUUCUGGGGACAAAUUCCGCAACACUUUUAUUAAAAAAAGGUACUCUGAUUUUUAUAAAGCAUAAACAAAAUCGGUAUUUUCUAACCGAGAAAAUGGGGAUGUCACACUACUAUUUGUUGGGUUUGACACACCUAACACGGAACCGCGGGAACCACGGACCAAAAACGUUUCAAUUAUCUACGGACUUCGAAGCUCGACGCAACAACCACAUCGAAUAACAGUCUCAAAGGUUGCACAUCGAGAUUAUGCUUCUGGGAUACCUUGGCAUGUACCCAGUACAUCCUCACUACCCUACGAAGCGUUCCUGAAUACUAUCAUGAUAGAAAGGCUCAGACUGAAAACCAUGUUGUAACAUCCAUAAAAUUCAUAAAAAUUUAAAACUUUUUCAAGCAUUCAAAAAUCAUCAUUUAUUACAAACUGUUUUCAAAAUACUUUCAUACCAGAGUAUCCCAGAAAUCAAAUCAUAAAAAUGUGAGGAGGUGCACGAUCACGCCUUCGCCUUCCUGCGAUCAUUUGAAGCACCUGAAACAAAAUGCAAAAUUGUAAGCUUGAAGCUUAGUGAAUUCACCCAAAAUACCAACGCCAUACAAAUCAUAACCAUAUAAUAACAAACAAACAACAUGCAUAUAGAGUCUAUAGUAUGACUGGACCGCCCUCACUGGGCCUUCAGUCUGUCUGGCCCACUCUCAGAACCUUCAGUAUGUAUGGUUCACCUCACUGGGCCUUCAGCCUGUCUGGACCUUUCUCCGGGCCUUCGGCCUAGCUGAUAUGCCUCCAUGGCCUGCAGUCUUUCCGGACCACCCUAGGUAUGUUGGCAUACAGCACAAAGCAGGUCCGCCUCAACCCACCCCUAAUCAUACAAUCAACACAUAUAUAACAAAUGCUAGCAUAUACAAACAGACAAACCGAUCUAACAGAUCACUAAUCAUGACAUCAUCCUAUAUACCAGGAUACCGACCUAACUGGUCACUAACAUAGCAUCAUCCUAUAUACCAGGAUAUCGACCUAACAGGUCACUAACAAUAUCAUCAUGCAACAACCAGGAUAUCAAUCCAAAAGAAGGGACGACAUUGGUGCCUUCGACCCUGUUAGUAUAGUGAGGACAACUCACCUCACAAGUAGUGCUGAACUGGACUGAAAGUCUUCGAUCGCUGUCUCACCGAAGAUCCCGGACUAUCCAAAAUAACAAAUACUAAGUCAACAACUGGGAUAGCAAUCUUAACCAAGGAUCCCACAUAGGAUAAUAGUCCAUUUUUUUCCUUUUCUCUAAUUUGGGCCAAGGCCCAAUACCGAAUCCAUGAUUCAAAAGUCCACAUAUACAAAGCCCAUUAUUGGCCCAAUUUUCCAAAUUGGGGCCAACUCCCUAAUUGGGUCUCACUUUAUGAUCCAUUACAAAAUUUGGCCCAAACACACCUAAUCAAAAAAGUCUAGCAAGGCCCAAGUUAGAUUGGCCUAAAGGCGGCCCAAUCCCGAAGCCCAAAUCGUUAAAAGCCUAACAAAGAGUGUACGCGGGGGCGUACUCCUCUGGUACGUUGGGCGUACUCUGCCUUGCGUUGAACACCAUCGGGGUGGUUUAUUCAGUAUGAUGGGCGUACAGAAUUUACACAGGACGUACACGACUAUUUCCAAAAACUCUAAUAAGUGCUUAUUGGCUUAAGCACUUAAGUCCAAAUUCCAGAUCCAUCGACCAAAUGUGUCUUAGAACCAUAAAGUCUCAAAAUUUAAGACUUUGUACAUCUAGGAAGUCUUAAUACAUGGUCUUAAACCAUUAAGACCUUUCUACUACAUGUAUGCGACACUUUUAGCCAUUAGGACAUCAUUUUUAUCACUUAGGACCCUUCCUAGGCUCUAAAAGGACAACUUAUCACAUCCAAAAAACCACAUGCACAAUAUUGAGACUUUUUGGGACAAGAAAGGUGUCAUGAAGCUAAUAAGGCAAGAUCUACAUCAUACAACCACAAAGGUUGGAUCUUUUUACCUUCUGGAGCUUCUAGAGCACAAAGUAACCUUAGAUCUACAAGCUUGCUUUCCUUCUCCAACUUCUUGAUGCAAUACUUUCUUAUCCAACUUACUCAAUGUAACGCCCGAUUCCUGAUAUGUAAUUAAACAAAAUUCAUUCACUUCUGCGUAGAAAAUCAACGAGUUGGAGGCCGCAAACUCGUCAAGUAGGAAAGGAAUUGGACACAGGUUGUAAAGUCUACUCGACGAGUUGAGGAGCCUCAACUCGACGAGUAGGCUGGCUGAAAUGAAACCCUAAUUCCAGGGUUUUGUACCCUAUUUAAGGACUUUAAUGCGUCAUUAUGGCCUCCCUCAUCGCCCACUCAGUCCAGUAAAACCCUAAUUCAUGAGCUUGAGCCUUUUUAAGUGUGUAGGAGUGAAAAGAGAGUGAUUCUUUGGUAUUUUCUUGAAGGAGUUGAAGUUGGAGGUGCUUGGUUGAAGGAAGAAACUUGGGAUCCAUGGAUUUCUCUAUUAAAGCAGCCAUAUUAAGGUAUAAAGUCUAUACCUUGACUAUGCAUUUAGUAGAUCUCUUCAUGGAGGAGUUUAGGCCUUUUAGUAGCUUGUUUUGAAACAAUUCUUGAAUUUAAGCAUGCUUUGAGGUCAUGACUUCAUAUCUAGACGUUUGUGGCCUCAUUAUACUGAAAGUUGUCAGCUUUAUCAAGUCUUGUCCCUUCCCCAUGCCCUAGACCUCUUUUGGAGCUCGGUUUUGGUGUUUUUAGCUUCUUGACACCAUGCAGGGACGUAAAGAUAGCAACUUUAUGUGAUAUUCCAGCAUUAGGGGACCAGAUCUGUAACAUCCCAAGUUCAGGAGUGCAAAUUCAGGGUUCAAAGUGUAAGUAUGAAAGGGCAACUCGGCGAGUAGGGUCGCGACUCUAGUCGCGUGUUAAGUGGCCGACUCGGCGAGUCGGAGGCUGGACUCGGUGAGUAGGCGCUGAGUGGAGAAAACCCUAAUUUCGGAGAAUGAGCCCUAUAUAAAAGACAUUAUACCCUCUCCCCAACCUCCUUACCCUCUCUUGAAGUCCAGAAAACCCUAAGAUGCGAUUGUGAGGGAUUUGAGUGUAUUUGAACCUUGGAGAAGAGAUUUUGGAGGAGAUCUUGGAGAGUUAGGAGGCUUGGAGCAAGGGGCUUUGCUAAGAUUCGGAUUUCUCUUCUGUUGGGGCUUCCUUUUGAGGUAUUACUUCGUUUCUUGGGCUGUUGUUCAUCUAGUUUCUUCAUUUUGGAAUGUGUGGAAAGUGUAGCUUGUGGUAUUUCGAGUUUGAAGGUUAGAUCUGAGGUUGCUACCUUAGAUCUGGAAUGGAAAAGGUCUAGAGUGCAUUAAAGUCCCUGUUCUUGAGCGUUUGGUGAAGCCAUCUUGUCCCAAACCCUAGCCCUAGAGUGUAAAAUGCCUAGAUCUCUCUGGAUUCACGUAAAGUUUUCCACUUUACGUGAUGGAUGGGUUGUAGAAGGGUAGAUCUACAUUUUGAAUCAUCUGCAUGGCAUGGAAGGCUUCUGUAUGGGUUAAGAUCUAGAGGCACUCGGCGAGUCACAAAGGUGUACUCGGCGAGUUGCUUGAAGAUGGACUGGAACUCGGCGAGUUGGAAGAACAAAUCGGCGAGUAGUUUGAAGAUAGCCUUGGACUCAGCGAGUCUGGUCGUGAGGUCCAAACUUCUUCUGGUUGAGCCAUGAAUAAGUGAGUCAAGGGAGGACUCGGUGAGUUGAGUGCGAGGGGACUUAGUCAUGGGACUCGGCGAGUCUCGAGGUGACUCGGCGAGUCGAGUCGUGAAUUGGGGAAGUUCUGAGCAUCAGGACUCGGCGAGUCAUCGGGUUGACUAGGUGAGUAGAGUUAGUCAGAAGGUUGACUUUGACCAAGGGUUGACCAAUUGACUUCCAGGGGCAUUUUGGUAAUUGUUGUCUUUUGUUUGAGUUCACUGUUGGUGUUGGCUAGUGGUGGAGAUCGUAUUAGUGGUCGGAGCAUCCUAGUUUUAUCUUUCAGUCGGCAGUUGCGAGGUGAGUUAUCCUCACUAUAUCAACAGGGUCUAAGGCACCAAGGCCGGCCCUUUAUCGAAUUGAGAUCCGGGUAUUUGUUGUUAUGUUAUUGCUUUGAUAUGUUUGCAUCCUGGUAGCUAGGAUGGUAUACGUUAGAGAUCUGGUUAAGGUCGGUAUCCUGUUAUGUAGGGUGAUUCUAUGCUAGUGACCGGUUAGGCACUAUUAGAGAAAAUACCCUUUAAUGACGCGCAAACCAUGACACACGCUGUUUUACGAUAAGCAAAAGUGGGUGCCCUAAAAAUAAUGUUAGAUCACCCAAAAUGUGAAAGAUUUAAGAUGCGCAUUUUUACGUGCCCUAAAAUUAGUGUUACAAAAAAAAAACACGGAAGGCACCUAUCACAAAAUGGGCGUCGUGAAAUCAUGUCGUUUUAUAUUUUUUUUAAUGAAACGCGCACAUCUUCAUUUUUAGUAGCAGGAAAAGGAAUUCCCCAAAAAUUAGAAAAGUUGAAAACCCGCCAUGUCAAUUUAGGUCUGGUUCCGUCUCCAUCUCUCGUUCACUUCCAUCUCCACUUUCUCUUCCAUCUACAAUCUCUCUUCAAUCACCCACCUCGCCGACGAUGAAUGUUUCUUGUGAUUUUUUGUUGUACUUACAAGCCCUAGGUCCGAUUUCAACAAAAAUAUCUUUGGCGACUAAUUGCCUCUCCCUGUCGAGUUCGAAAUUGUCACUGGAGGAAGUAAGGGCAGUGCAUGAUGAUGAAGGGCCUUCAAAGGCGAUUUGUUUAUUACAGUGUGGUAGCAGAGUCGACGGUGCUACUGAUAGCCCUAAACAAUAGUCAUCUUCAAAAAAGUUACCAAAUCAAACAUGUCUCUUUUAUCUCUCUCUCUCUCUCUCUCUCUCUCUUUCUCUCUCUCUCUCUCUCUCUCUCUCUGUGUGUGUGUGUGUGUGUGUUGAUCGAUCGGUACUUUAAUCCCCUUUAAUAGCUACGAGAACCCUAACCCUCGUCCCGUCAAACAAGUCAUUGAAGUUGGGUCAUAUACAAAUCAGACAUGGGUCCUCUGAAGACGGCUAUAAGGUGCAAAAAAUCUGAUAAAAUUGAUGGUGAUUCAACUACAUCUCCUGCUGUUUCUUCCGAAUCAAUGAUCAAGGUGGAAGUCGUUUUGGAGAAUUCUGUAGUAGGUGAUGUGAAUAACGCGAUAAAUUAGGGCGAUGAACCAGACGCAGGUGGAGAUAAGGUCACAGAGGAUUUACCGCUAGUAAGUGAGGAUUUUGGUAAAGGGAAGCAAGGAGAAGGAGAUGGAAUCGUUUACCUAGAAAAUGAUGAAUCUGACGAGACCAUAGUCUAGAAGAUAGAUGAUUUACAGCAUGGAAGCGAGAAUGUGGAUCAAGACAAACAAGGAUCAGGCAUCAAUGGUCCCCAAUUGGAGACAGUUUCUCAACAAAGCUCAGGUAAACCGAUUCAUCUGUGAUCCUGUUCAUAAUCAAACCUAAACAUAUGUAACAUCAAUGAAGAAUUUUAAACAAUAUAUGUAAUGUUUGAUCUUUGAUUUGAAGGAUAAAGUUGUUGCUGGAAUUGAAUCAAGGAUUUCUGCUUGGACAUUUCUACCUAUUGAAAAUGGAGAAGCUAUGCAAAUAUUUCAUUAUGAAAAUGGUCAAACAUAUGAACCACAUUGGGAUUAUUUAUGCUAGGUAAUAUUUAUUCCAUUUAUUCAUAUCAAGAUUGUUUGACUUUGUUCUUGAUAUAAUAAAUUAGUCUUGUUAAAUCUGAUUACAUACCAUACAAUCUAUUUCUUUUAAUUUCUAACAUGAUUGUUUUUGAUGGAGUGGGUUGUAAGUUGGAAGUAUGUAAGUGAUAAUAGCUGUCUCAUGGUUUCUCUUUAUUCAAAAUGCAUACCAAGUGUUUGAUGGAUUGCCUCAAUUAAACCAAUCAACAAAAAAAGAACUGUUUAUACCUAAUAGAUUUGGGACUGUCUCCUUCGUCUCCCUUUCAUUCUUUGUUUUUAACUUUUUUUGGUUCUUGUUUCAUUUUUAAUUGAAUAUUAUCACUUUCUUCUUACUGAUAUGGUUUAUGAAAUAUGAAGCACGAAAUUGAGGCUACCUUGAUUUGGUCAAAUUGAUGAACUGUUUUCCUAUGAUCAGAAUAUUAGUACCCUAAUUCCAGAAGAAUUCAAUUGGUUUUCUAAUAUUUCAUAUAUCUUUGUUGAUGUUUUUAAUGAUUUGUUUCUAUGACAACAACAGAUGAAAUGGGAUUCAUAUCUGAAGAUGGUGAACCACAAAUACAAACAGAUGAAAUGGGGCCCAACAUUGCGCUUAUUUUACUUUCGUAUUAAUCUUCUUCCUCUCUAUCUUCCCGUAAAUACAAAAUUAAUCCCACUGUUGAAUAAGUGAAUUAGGGGUUACGGUUUCGAGUGAUUUGGGGAGAAGAUGGGAUUGGGUAGGCUGAGAAGAAAAGGGCAAAAGGUGGAAGAAGGAAUCAACUGAAACAAAUUGGGAGAUCGAGAAACGGAGGAGCAAGGAGAACAUGAUCGGCGACGUUGCCGCUAAUUCACCAUCCAAUACAGCAGACGAGACAGCGGAGAAUCAACAGCAAGAAAAGCCAUGGCAUUCCUACAUUUACGAGGAUCUACCUCGUACGGUUCAGGAAUCUGUUGAUUCCGCCGUUCGCUCCGCCUGGUCGCUGCAGCAGAAUUCGUCCACUCAUAUUCGAACUCUUUAGGUACUCUAUCAAUAUCUAUGUCUCAUGUUCGGGUGCGUUUCAUUUCUUGUGCAGCUUUCCUUAUAGUUAGGGCUUCCGUAUAUACGAUGAAUGUUUAUCUGCGUGCGUUCUAUGAUGGAUUUUAUUAAGGACUAGUAUGAUAAUUUAAAUUUGGUAUUUUGAUAUAUAGUCUAGCUGUUCGUAUGCGUUAAUGCGUAUCUGUAUCUCUUUGCAUGCUAUUUCAGGUGGCUUUUUCAUCUAUGGGAUGAUUGCUUGUCAUUGAGAUUCUAUUGUUUUUAGUAUGAAACUUAGCUAAAUGUAAUCACAUACCUCCGUUAUAUGUAAACAAGAGACAGAUUGAUACAUAAAUGAUCAAGCGUGAUUCAAGUUUGUGUAUACAUGCUUAUAUUUCGGGUAGGUUAAGAAGAUGGUGCACAUUAGAAGCUCUUUUCAGCAUACUACUUAAAUACUCAACUAGAUUAUCAGAAUUGUCCCCUUACAAUAUGAAUUUAAUGUAAGACACUGGCAAUUCUUCUCAAGAAUAUAAGUUUUAUGCAACAGAAGUUGGAGCCAAAUUAGUUAUUUCUCCUUCAUUUAUUCUCUCUGAUUGUUAACUUUAUUACCCUUCUAGUUUGUUCUGUGUGAUUAUCAGUUAACAUCGCACCUCAAUUUCUUAUAAGACACUGGCAAGUCUUACUUUUCAUGUUCAUUUCCAAGAUCAUGUAGUUCAAUACACAGCACAGUAUAGGAGUUAUGAAGAUUUGGUGUUCAGUAAGAUCAAAGGUGAAUUUUUCUUUUUUACAACUACCAAACAUUUAUUUCAUGAUAAAAAAUCAACAAUGAUGCCUUAUUGUAGAGGCUUGAUAAGUUGAUAUUUCUUGGAUUAGUUUUCUCUCAUACUUUUGUGUCUUAACAGAUCAACUUACAAUUAUAAGAGAACACCCAACUUUAUCUGCUGGAAUUGCAAUUACAGCUGCUCUUCUCCUCAUGAGAGGUAAAGAAAGUAUUCCACUUUACAUCUUUAGAACAACAAUAUAUAACUGCAUGCUUUACAUUUGUCGUAUGCACUUAUGAUUUUUUAUUUGUAACCUGUUGGCUUGAAUGAACUCAUUGGCUUGCUAUGAACGAGGUAAUAUUAUGUCUGUGGAUCCCAACAUCAACAUUGUUGUUGAUGAGGAUAUAGGUGGUCUUUAUGCAAUGCUUGGAUCUUGAUAUGGUGAGUAUAUCCACCUAACAUUCAGCAUUUUUUAGUUUAAACAUGAUUUAUUUCCAAAAUGUGACAUUAACAUAACAAACCGUUGUACUUUGCAUUUGUUUAUGGAGGCACCACCAUUGUUAGAGAAAGCUAAAUGAACAUUGUGUUUGGAUGAGGCCUAUCAACCCCAUUGGUUUGAAGAAAUUAAGAGUAUUCUUGGAAUUUCAAGUGGGCAUCAUGUAUAUGAGUCACUUGCUCAAGUCAAUUAAGAAACUGUAGAACAUAUAUUCAGGUGUUUUAUUUAAUCUAUUAUAUGUUUAUAACUAAUUAAUUAUUAUGAAUAUAAAGCUUGACAUGUAUUAUAAUAUUAUAUGUUUAAAGUACAUGUAUUAUAAUAUUAUAUGUUUAAAGUACACUAGAGCAGGUUCGUGAACAUAUAACACGUCUUAGGCAGUGGGUUGGCCAGGUUAGAUUCUGUAUUUUACUUUAUGGAGGUGUGUUUUGUUUUGUGUUUGUUUUUUAAUCUCUCAUUUUAUACAGAGCAAAGAAAAAGUAGAAAAGAAUCAAGCUCUGGAACACUCGAUGAGUGAGAACUCGUGUCAAUUAUGUGCAGUUGAAAAGAUGAGUUUUGAACCCUGCCUAUACUUGUCCAAAUUGUUAUAUGGAAGAAGUUAAAAGAGGAGAGAGGAUGCCUCUACCACAGAGUGUUGUACUUGGAGCAAAAGAUUUACCUCGAACCAUACUCAGUGAUCAUAUAGAGAGCAGGUUGUUUGGAAAACUGAAGCAGGAGAGACUAGAGCGCGCAAGGUUCUAUGGGAAAACUUAUGAUGAGGUGAUGUUAUAAUCCCCCCCCCCAAAAAAAAGACAACUCCAUACAUUAUGAAUGAACAAUAAAGUAUGUAUCUUACAUUUUCUUUAUUAUUUGGUUCCUGGAGCAGAAACACUUGUUGUCAGAGUGGUCUCUUCUGUGGACAAGAUGUUGGAAGUCAAGCAACAAGUUCUUGAGAUCUUUCAAGAGGAAAAUUACCCUGUGGAUUUUGGGUAUAAGUCUAAGGUAUUUCAACCGUACUACUUUCGUUGAUUUGUUUAUUAUAGCAUCUUUCCCUACAUUUCUUCCUAUACAAUAUAUUAUACGCUAAAAAAUCUACCCAGUUAUAUGCGCUGGCACUAUCUUUUGGUUCUGGUAUGUGAAUCCCUAAACUAGGCUUUGUUGUUUUAGGUGGUUCUGUUGUUUCAAAAAAUUGAAGGUCUAGAAGUGUGUCUUUUUGGUAUGUAUGUUCAAGAAUUUGGAGCAGAGUGUCUGCAACCAAACCAUCGGCGUGUUUAUCUUUCUUAUCUGGAUUCAGUCAAGUAAUUCAGGCCUGAGAUUAAGGCUGUGACAGGGGAGGCUCUUCGUAUAUUUGUAUAUCAUGAAAUUCUGGUAAGUAACUUCUCUGUCGUGUUAGAUCUUGCAUAGCAGUUGCCUUAAUUCUUGUUAGGCUAGCUGAUUAAAAAAUUACCAAUUUUAUUUUCCCGCUACUUUCACACAAGGGCAUUUUGGUCUUUUCCUGAUAUCUUUUGUAUGUCUAUUUCAGCAAGCUAGUACAGCAAAAUCUUUUGUAUGUCUAUUUCAGCAAGCUAGAUAAGUCCAUAUGUCACUCAAUUUUGUUCUUUUUUAUUUUUAGUAUGUGCAACAUAGCGAGACAUCAAUGUCCUUCAAAAAUAUGGAUGAUGGCCAAGUCUUACUCUAUGCAGUAAGUAUUAAAGAAAUAGCAAUGCACUUUCAUUCAUUUGUUUCAUAUUUUUUUCAUAGUUCUCUAGGGAUAUUUUUCCUUGUGUCAUAGAAUGAUUGGCUCCUAUCUUGUUUUUUGACAUUUAUACGCAUUUUUUAAACAUAUUUUUUUUAUUGUAUUGCAUGUUAAGUUACCGAGUAUAAAAAAGCUUGCUGGUCAUGUAGGUGUUCAAAACAAUAGAAAAUUUUUAAACAUAUUUCUUUAUUGUAUUGCAUGUUAAGUUACCGAUUUGCCAUGUGUAGGUCUUGUUUAUGUGCAUAAUGUCAAGCAAAGUAGCUCGGAUGUUGUGAAGGUGGGCAACAAGUUCUUGUAGUUCAACUAUUAUUAGUUGAUGACUUUCAUCUUUUUCACAUUUGAUGUAUUACAUUUGUCUACUAUUAGAAUGAUUAUUUGUAUAACAUUACCUUUUGUGCAAUGCAUUGUAUUAUUUGUAUAUGGUAUUUUAUUUUCCAUUAUGAGACAUGAAAUGCAAAUUUAAUAUGAAAAUAAGUAAAUUAAGAAAUAUAUUUUUAAAAAAAAAAAUUAAAAUUACGAUACGCGAAAAUGUGUGUCAUCUUCAUUUAUGACAUGGCCUUUCUUGACGGGGGCUUUCUUGAUACACAUUGCGUGUCAUUAACACGCGCGUCGUAAGCUUACGACACAUGAAUGCGUGUCGUCUUCCUUAAUGACAGGGCCUUUCUUGAUGCACAUUGCGUGUCGUAAACGCGCGUCGUAAAUGCGCAUCGUAAAUGAGCGUCGUAAAUGCGUGUCGUCUCUCUUUAUGACAGGGCCUUCCUUGACGCGCAUUUGCGCGUCGUCUGAGCCUUUUACGACGCGCAAUGAGGGUCGUAAAAGGCUGUUUUUCUAGUAGUGAGGUCGGUAUCCUGGGUAGGAUGAUGAUAUGUUAUGUGAUCUGUUAGAUCGACUUGUUGACUGUGAAUUGUUAUAUGAUUGUAUGUUUAUGUGCACAUGGUUGUUGGAUUGGGGUUGGGUUGAGGCGGGUCCUGCUUUGUGCUGUAGGCCAAGAUAACCAGGGCGGACCGGUUGUCCCGAAGGCCCAGCUAGCGGUCCGGAUAGACUGUAGGCCCCAAGAGGGCGGACCAGAUAUGCCGAGGCUCGGAGAGUGGACCAGGCCGACUGAAGGCCCGGUACGGGCAGACCAGUCAUACUGUAGACUCAGAGAGUGGACCAGGUGGAUUGAAGGCCCGGUGCGGGUCGACCAAUCACACUGCAGACUCGAUGUAUAUGGUUAGACUCGAAGGGUGGACCAGGUGGACUGUUGGCCGGAGUGGCGGACCAGUCACACAGUAGACCCGAAGUGCAUGGUUGUUCUGUGAUCGGAUAUGAUAUGGCAUGUUAUGCGUGUAUGGUAUAUGUGGUUGGUAUUUUGGGGGUAUCUCACUAAGCUUUCGGGCUUACAGUUGUGGUUUAAUGUUUUUCAGGUUCUUCAGGAGACCGUGGCAAGGCAAAGGCGUGAUCGUACCGCUCCUCAUGUUUAUGUUGUGAUGUGAUUCUGGGAAUACUCUAAAUAAAUUGUAUUGAAAACCUUUUUGUAAUAAUUUAAUGAAAUCGGGUUGUUUUUGAAAAGUUUAAAUUGGUUGGAAUUUUUCGGUCGUUACAAGUUGGUAUCAGAGCCUUGGUUUGAGUGAAUUGGAGGAACACUCGUGUGACUCCAGUCUCAAAUCGAGGAGGGUUUUCAAAAGAGAAUUUAAAAUGGUUUUCAAAAUGAGUAAAGGAGGACGCGGAGGUACGAUCAGCCGGAGCCAGUAAGUAACCCCAAAAUACCAUACAUGAUAUUUGUUUUUGAUUUUUGAUAGAACAGCAUGCUAGUAUUAGGCUAAAGAUCUUCAGGGUUUCAUGAUAGUGUUGCCUGAUUUAUGAUGCCUGCUAGCCUAGGGUCCUAUGUGGGAGAUUUCUGGUGUUCCUCUGGGAGUGAGGGUUGGGUGCUUGUUAUAUAUGUUUUUCACUAGGGUGUUGUGGUAGUACUUCAUACAAAUAUGGGUAGGUGUGGAAGGUAGUAUGGGCCCGUACUACUGAAAGCACAGGACCCAUACGCGUAUCAGGGAAACCAUGACCUCUAGGGUUGGGCUGAGAGUUGGUUCCUGGGUUUGUGGGAAGUAUCUGAGAUCUUGUGGUGUUUUUCAAUAUGGAGGUUCCGAGGCAUGCUGGGAGUGGAUCUGGGUCAGGAUCUGGAGCCGAAGAGGGCGGUCAGGGUGGGUCAGUAUCGCCCGAGGUUAUUGGUUAGAUGAGCACAGGCGAGUUGGAUGCUCGUAUUCGUGAGAUCCUGCAUGAUGAGGUUGUUGCGUUGUUCCGGGCCGAGCUGCCGGAACUGUUUGGGUCGAUCAAGACCGUCAUGGUUGAGUAUUUUGAUGAGCGCUAUGCAGCUCUCACAGAGACGGCUACCGCGGCNCAAUGGCUGUAGCAGCGGCAUGGGGAGGAGCCGGUCAAGGUUUUCAGUAUCGGGACUUCGAUAAUACGAAGCCUCCUACCUUUGAUGGAGUUCAGGACCCAAUUGUUGCUAUGAGAUGGUUGUCGGACGUGGAGGGGUGCUUCUUCACGUGUCAUGCACUGCUAAUCAGAGGGUGAGGUGUGCUCUGAACCUGUUGAGACUCGGGGCAAAGGAUUGGUGGAGAUUGACCACGGGGUCAUAUUCGGAUGCGCAGAGGGUUGCGGUUACAUGGGAUCAGUUCAGAGAGAUGUUCAGCACUUGUUAUGUUCUGCGGGUUGAGAGGGAGAGAUUGGCUCAAGAGUUCCUUGAGCUGAAGCAGGAUUCGGAGUCGGUGACGGAGAUCACCAGGAUGUUCACUGAGAGGGCGAUGUUUUGCCCUGAGUUUGCUUCGGAGCAGGCUCAGAUGUCACGAUAUCUAUGUAUGCUCAAGAGAGAUAUCAGACAGUUUGUAUCUACGCAGAGGUGCGAGACUUUGUUGCAAUUGCAGGAGGCCGCCAGGUGGCGUGAGUUGGAGAUUGAGUUGCAGUUGCGUCAGCUGAGGCAGGCUCCGGUUCAGUCGCAACCGGCACCGAAACGGUCCAAGACCGUUGAUUCUAAGGCGGGAGAUCAGAGCAGCCACGCUUGUGGGAAGUGUGGGAAGGGUCACACCGGAGUUUGUAGGUCCGGUGGUGCAUGCCACAAGUGCGGAAAGGAGGGGCAUUAUGCGAGGGAUUGUUGGCAGUCAGCCCCGGUUCGGGAUUUGAGGAUUUGUUAUCAUUGUCAUCAGGUUGGGCAUUUGAGGGUCAACUAUCCACAGCUUGCUGCAGGAUCGGUGCAAGCUCCAGCACCGGCCACUUUGAGGAUCACGGGUGGAGGUCAGGGUGGAGUAGAGCCCCCAAGGGCUCAGGGUCGUGCUUUUCAACUUACAGCAGGGGAGGUCAGAGCAGUGUCGAAUGCAGCUGCGGGUAUGUUUCUUUCUUGAUGUCUUGUUAUCCUGUGAUUAUUGUGGAGUAUUAUUUAUCUGCUAGUCUCGUUGUGUGGUUCUCGGUAUUGUAUUCGUUGUUCUUGGAGGGUUAGUAGUGGAAAUCUGGCAUUUGGUCUGAAUGCCGGGUAACAUCUGCAGUCUGAGGAGUGGUUAGCUGAGAAUUGAGUUUCUUUCGAGCUCGGGAUGAUCAGUGUUGAUAUGUGAUUUUGUGAAGGUUGCUAAUGCUAGUGGGAAUCAGUUCGCGUGCAAGUGAUUGUGUUGUCUAGGGUUCUUGAGGGAGGUCGGUGAUGGCGACCGGUGGUUGAUAGUCAGUGCUAUAAGUGGGGAGAAUAGGAAAAUUCUCCGGAAGAUCGAUGAGCAUGUGAGGGUGUUUAGCUGCUUGGGAUUCAGCAGUGUUUCUGUCAGUCGAGAGCGUAGGCUGGUAUGAGUAAGUGGCAGGCAUGUGGGGCGGGAUGCAGACCAAGAGUAUUUGAUUGUGGAGGGCCUAGAAUCAGGUCGGGAUUGAGUAUGUAUGAGGGAGAUAGAGUUCGGAACCCCUUGAGGGCUAGAACAGUAUGCAUGGGGGGGGGGGGUUUCCCGGAGAGAUAACUCGGCAGGAUGGAUGCUAGUUGAGCGGUCCGGAUAGCCUGAAGGCCGGUAGGCGUACCAGUCAGGCAGAAGGCUCGGAGAAUGGUCCAACCAGACUAAAGGCCCUGGAGGGUGGUCCAGAUCGGAUGAAGGUUCUGAGAGUGGUCCGGAUUGGCUGAAGGCUUGGUAAGGCGGUCCAGUCAUGCUGAAGACUCUGCAGGUGUCGUUAGAUCGGUUCGAGGAAAUGGAUUAAGUAUGUCGCGAUGUGUUAGCAUUAGAAGGUCUGGCCCCAGGUAUUGAUCUCGAUUAGUGGAGAUAGUGCAUGGACUCGAGAUUCCUUGCGAGCAGAUUCAGAGCAUGUGUGUUUCAUGGAUAGCGGUUGUUAUAGGGGAAUGGUGUAGCGUUGGGCGAACACCGUGGCACUUGUCGUAGUGACAAGGCGGCCAAAUGGAUUUCCUUGAUAAGGAAAGGGAGAGGAAUGUAGCUCCGGGAGAGAGUGUAAAUUCACAGAAGUGAAAGCAGCAGUGCAGAGUUAUGAUGGGAGUGAUCCAAUUAUGGUCAUUGAGUAACGUGUGCGGCAGUGGUAUGGAAUCACGUUCGGAUUGGAUGUCUGCUGAGGUCGCGGAAGGAAUUCCGAGGGUGUAGAGCCAGGAGGCUCGGAAGGGAUGCAGGGAUGGAGUCUUGAAUUCCCAGUUUGAUUUGAUCAAGGAAUCGUGUAUGUAGUGGUAAUUCAUCAUGGGGGAUGUUUGGAGGUGUCGUCAAUGUGACGGGUUUUCCCAACCCGAGGGUGCUAGAGCUAGUUCAGCAUGUGCAUGCGAUUGCAAGAGGAGAACUCAUGGGAGUUGCUCUGAGGCUGAAGAAUGUGUCAUUCUAUCAGCAUGGAGUGGAUAAAGUCGGACUCGCAUCGGGAAUUCUGGUGGUUCAUGGUUAUUUCUAGCUCAUACGGGUCGAGUGACUGUCGUGAUUUGGAGCAAGUGAUGUAUCAUGGAGUGAUACCCAGUAAUAGGUGUGGAUGAGGCCGGUGGCCGGCUUGAAGUGGUGGUCAGGACAUCGCGAAAGGACAAAUUGGGUUUUGGGUUUCGCUGGUUGUGCCUUGAGUAACCUGGUCUGGUUAAUGCCAGGUGGUGCGUUACGAGAGUAGUUCUGGAGUUGAGUUGCCACAGGCUUCGAGGAAGAAGCCUAAUUUAAGUGGGGGAGAAUUGUAACAUCCCAAGUUCAGGAGUGAAAAUUCAGGGUUCAAAGUGUAAGUAUGAAAGGGCAACUCGGCGAGUCCAUGGGUGGACUCGGCGAGUAGGGUCGCGACUCUGGUCGCGUGUUAAGUGGCCGACUCGGCGAGUCGAAGGCUGGACUCGGCGAGUAGGCGCUGAGUGGAGAAAACCCUAAUUUCGGAGGAUGAGCCUUAUAUAAAGGACAUUAUACCCUCUCCCCAGCCUCCUUACCCUCUCUUGAAGUCCAGAAAACCCUAAGAUGCGAUUUUGAGGGAUUUGAGUGUAUUUGAACCUUGGAGAAGAGAUUUUGGAGGAGAUCUUGGAGAGUUAGGAGGCUUGGAGCAAGGGGAUUUGCUAAGAUUCGGAUUUCUCUUCUGUUGGGGCUUCCUUUGAGGUAUUACUUCGUUUCUUGGGUUGUUGUUCAUCUAGUUUCUUCAUUUUGGAAUGUGUGGAAAGUGUAGCUUGUGGUAUUUCGAGUUUGAAGGUUAGAUCUGAGGUUGCUACCUCAGAUCUGGAAUGGAAAAGGUCUAGAGUGCAUUAAAGUCCCUGUUCUUGAGCGUUUGGUGAAGCCAUCUUGUCCCAAACCCUAGCCCUAGAGUGUAAAAUGCCUAGAUCUCUUUGGAUUCACGUAAAGUUUUCCACUGUACGUGAUGGAUGGGUUGUAGAAGGGUAGAUCUACAUUUUGGAUCAUUUGCAUGGCAUGGAAGGCUUCUAUAUGGGUUAAGAUCUAGAGGCACUCGGCGAGUCACAAAGGUGUACUCGGCGAGUUGCUUGAAGAUGGACUGGAACUCAGCGAGUUGGAAGAACAACUCGGCGAGUAGUUUGAAGAUAGCCUUGGACUCGGCGAGUCUGUUCUUGGACUCGGCGAGUCUGGUCGUGAGGUCCAAACUUCUUCUGGUUGAGCCAUGAAUCAGUGAUUCAAGGGAGGACUCGAUGAGUUGAGUGCGAGGGGACUCAGAGUCAUGGGACUCGGCGAGUCUCAGGGUGACUCGGUGAGUCGAGUCAUGGAUUGGGGAAGUUCUGAGCAUGAGGACUCGGCGAGUCAUCGGGUUGACUCGGUGAGUAGAGUUAGUCAGAAGGUUGACUUUGACCAAGGGUUGACCAGUUGACUUCCAGGGGCAUUUUGGUAAUUGUUGGCUUUUGUUUGAGUUCAAUGUUGGUGUUGGCUAGUGGUGGAGAUCGUAUCAGUGGUCGGAGCAUCCUGGUUUUAUCUUUCAGUCGGCAGUUGUGAGGUGAUUUAUCCUCACUAUAUCAACAGGGUCUAAGGCACCAAGGCCGGCCCUUUAUCGGAUUGAGUUCCGGGUAUUUGUUGUUAUGUGAUUGCUUUGAUAUGUUUGCAUCCUGGUAGCUAGGAUGGUAUACGUUACAGACCUGGUUAAGGUCGGUAUCCUGUUAUGUAGGGUGAUGCUAUGCUAGUGAAAGGUUAGGUCGGUAUCCUGGUUAGGAUGAUGAUAUGUUAUGUGAUCUGUUAGAUCGACUUGUUGACUGUGAAUUGUUAUAUGAUUAUAUGUUUAUGUGCACAUGGUUGUUGGAUUGGGGUUGGGUUGAGGCGGGUCCUGCUUUGUGCUGUAGGCCAAGAUACCCAGGGCGGACCGGUUGUCCCGAAGGCCCAGCGAGCGGUUCGGAUAGACUGUAGGCCCCAAGGGGGCGGACCAGACGUGCUGAGGCUCGGAGAGUGGACCAGGCCGACUGAAGGCCCGAUGCGGGCGGACCAGUCAUAUUGUAGACUCAGAGAUUGGACCAGGUGGAUUGAAGGCCCGGUGUGGGCGGACCAAUCACACUGCAGACUCGAUGUAUAUGGUUAGACUCGGAGGGUGGACCAGGUGGACUGUUGGCCGGAGUGGCGGACCAAUCACACAGUAGACCCGAAGUGCAUGGUUGUUCUGUGAUCGGAUAUGAUAUGGCAUGUUAUGCGUGUAUGGUAUAUGUGGUUGGUAUUUUGGGGGUAUCUCACUAAACUUUCGGGCUUACAGUUGUGUUUUAAUGUUUUUCAGGUUCUUCAGGAGACCGUGGCAAGGCAAAGGCGUGAUCGUACUGCUCCUCAUGAUUAUGUUUUAUGAUGUGAUUCUGGGAAGACUAGUAUAAUAAUUGUAUUGAAAACCUUUUUGUAAUAACAUUAAGAAAAUGGGUUGUUUUUGAAAAGUUAAAAUUGGUUGAAUUAUUAUGGUCGUUACAAGAUCUAUGGUUUGGAAGUGUUGGAAUCGAUUGAUGGUGACUAAAUGGAUUAAGACUAAGGGGACUCGACGAGUUGUUCAUCCAACUUGGCGAGUUGGAUCGUGGUCCCCCGAUCUUUCGGAUUUCUGAGCAACUCGGUGAGUCUAAAAGAUGACCAAAUGAGUUGGCCAAGGUUUUUUGAGUUAUGAAGAAUAAAGAAAUCGACGAGUUGUAUGGAAAAGUCCCGGUCUUGAUAUAGGAAAGAACUCAACGAGUUAGAAGAGAACUCGACGAGUUGGAACGCGAUUUUGGGGUUUUAUGAUUUUGGAACUCGACGAGUUGAUGUGGUCAACUCGGCGAGUUGAGUCAACCCAUGAUGUUGACUUUGACCAGAAUUUUGACUUUGAAGUUGGCUUUGACCAAGGUUGAUCCUUGGAGGGUUAUGAAGUGCGGAAUGAAUUCUAAAGGGUAGUCCCAUGUAAGGUUCUAAAUGGUGUGAGGCGUGGCGUGGCGGCAAGGCCAAGCCUCAAGCUUAACGAGCCAUGGCAAGCCAUGGCGUUUUUCAAGGCGUGAUGUAAGGCAGUGAUUUUGUAUUAAUUUAAAAUUAUAUUACCACAUACAUAUAAAUUUAUAUUAAAUAUAACUACUUUUUAGAAGUGUUAGAUCAAUAAUUAAUAACAAAAAGUUAACAAAAACCACAAUACUUGUAUCUUCGAUUUCAAAAUACGUAGCAAAGAGCAAAAAAUUGUGUCUCAAACAAAAAAACAUGUGCCAUAACGCGCCAUGGAGCGCCAUAUCACGCCUUGCCACGCGCCACGCCUAACAGCAACAUUAUGAAGCUUUUCGUAACGACAAAACCACGCCUCACGCCAUGGCGCGCCUUUUAGAACACUGGUCCCAUGUAAGGUUUGGGCCCAAUUUGGAAAAUUGGGCCAUUAAUGGGUUUUCAUGGAUUAUAUAGUAUGGACCUCGACGAGUCGGAGGUGAAACGGUCAUUUCACCCCAAGUAAGAGUUUUGGAUCAUGGUUUGAGAUCCAAUUACUAAUUGGGUGAUGUUUUGGGUAUUGAUAGCUCAAGGAGUUGCCAGGGCAGUAGCUAAGAAACUCUUGCAGUGGACUUCAACAGUAUGAGGUGAGUUACAUUCCAGUAGAAGUGGGUCGAAGGCACCAAUGCCGGCCCACUAGUAGUUGAUUAUAGUGGAGAUGAAAUUCUUCGUGAUAAUUGUCUAGUAUGCUACUAUCUGUUAUGCUUUAUGUGAUUGUAUACUAUGAUAUUAUGUGAUAGUGGUAGGAGGGGUAGGUUAGACCCCUUAUCCGGUUGAGAUAAACCGGAGGGUAGGUCAAGCACCCGGAUAUUCUUAACACGGUAGGCCAGGAACCCAGAUACGCCUGAAAGUAGGGUUAUGUUAGUAUGUUAUAGUGGUAGGGGUGAAAUAGUCCCCGUAACCGGUUGAAAUAAACCAGAGGGUAGGUUGAGCACCCAGAUAUGCUUGACAGGGUAGGUUGGGCACCCAGAUAUGCCUGACAGAGUAGGUUGGGCAUCCAGAUAUGCAUUGCAGUAUGUGAUUAUAUGGUAUGAUGGGGGAACUUACUAAGCUUCGUGCUUACAAUUUUCAGUUUUUGUUUCAUGUACUUCUUUUGCAAAAGGAAAGGAUCUGACAUGAUCACAUCGCAUUACACUAUGUUUUCAGCACAUGAGAUCGUUGAGAUUAUACUCUGAUACUGUUCUAUUAUGACAUGUUUUUAUUAUCGAUACAUUGGCUUUUGUUAUCAGUGAUACUAUGAUUGUUUUUAGACAAAUGGAUUUAUCAUUGUUUAAUUUAAAAUGAAAUUUUGGAUUUUGGGAUGUUACAUCAAAACACACACUUUUAGCUCACAAACUCAAGAGAGGAGUUAGGGUUUGGGGAAAAUGGCUCAAAACUAUGGAGGCUGAGAUAAGGAAGGGUUAUGAGCUCAUAAGGACGUUUAUAUAACACCCAAACCCUAAAUAUUAGGGUUUCCAUCUGACGUGAGUACGGCUAGCGUACACAAGUGUACGCCCAACGUAAUAGGGUGCGCCUAGUACGCUUAGUGUACUCUUCUUGAUCCCAAAGUUGCAACUUUAGCCCUUAGACUUCUCUUGGCUUCACUCUUCCAUCCCCAAGGAUUAUAAAUGAUACAAUAAUAAUAAAAAAAGAGAGGAUUCAGAAAUACCUGCAAAAUAUCGGGAUGUUACAACUCUCCCCCACCUGACCUAGACUUCGUCCUCGAAGUCUGCUGUAGCAAACAGGUUCGGAUAAUGCUCCUGCAUCUCGGACUCUGGCUCCCAAGUGCACUCGGAUCCCCUCUGAUGCCACCACUGUACCUUUACCAGAGGUAUCUCCUCGUUGCGCAGAACCUUUAUCUUCCUCUCCAAUACAGCUACUGACUGCUUGACAUAAUUUAGGCGUUCAUCGAAUUGAAUGUCGUCCAAGUACACUACCGGAUCCUCGUCCAAUAUGCACUUCCGCAACUGCGAAACAUGGAAAGUGCUAUGAAUCUGACGGAGCUCCUCUGGAAGGUCCAUUCUAUACGCUACCUUGCCAACCCUGGCAAUAAUCCGAAAUGGCCCAAUGUAUCAGGGACCCAACUUUCCCAUCUUCCUGAAGUGGAUCACACCCUUCCAGGGUGAUACAUUCAACAAUACCAUAUCGCCAACCUGAAACUCUAAUUUGGAUCGGCUCCGGUCGUUGUAACUCUUCUGCCGACUCUGAGCGGUCUGUAACCGUUGUAUGAUCUGCUGAAUCUUCUUGGUAGUCUACAGAACUACCUCGGUUCGUCCCAUCACCCUGUGACUGACCUCACCCCAACAGACUGGGUACGCCAUCUCCGUCCAUACAACACCUCAUAUUGUAACAACCAAAAACUGGUAUGUCUUGAGACCCUCAAGAAUUUAUAUUUUUGCAUAAUUGGUCCCUUGAGUACACUGGGCAUACCAAUGGGUACACGUAGCAUACUCUACAUGAUUGAUUACGGAGGAGCCUCACGUACGCUGGACGUACGUGAGGGUACGUCGGGCGUACGCAUCAGAGGGUCAAAACCCUUAAUUCCGGACUUGUCCCUUAUUUAAACGUCUCUUGGCCUCUUGGACCAAACCAUGUCGGUCUCUUUAGCCCCAUUUCGUCUUCCUAUAGCUGAGCUAGUGUGUGAGUGAGAGUUGGAGCCUAAAAAGAAGGUUUUGGUGGCCAUUUUGGAGUUCUUUCAAUAAGGAGAGUUGUUAAGCAAGCUUGGAUCAGUUUGGUGCUUCAAGAAUCUGCAUUUAGGUCAUCUUGCAAGGUUUCUAGAGGUAAAAAGCUUGCACCUUUCCAUUUAAAUCUUUAGAUCUAGCUAGGGUUUUCUAGUUUGGUCCCUUUGUUGGAUUUUAGACCUCUUUUGGCGAGUUAAGCAACUCCAUGAGAGGAGAAUGGCAGAUCUGAGGUCCCAUGGCCGUUUUGAAGCAUAAAAAUGGAUCCUUGGUGGAAGUAUUGGUCUCAUGCAUGGGUUAAGGACCUUGGAAAGGUCUUAAUGAAUGUUUUGGGUGUAUGUGAGGCAUGCUAAAGUUGGCAACUUUAUGCCUUAGGACGUAUUAAUCAACUCAAAUAUGGCUUUUGGAUGUAAAGGAAUCAGGUAUUAAGCACUUAAUGGAGAAAGUGCUUGAUCUGGAAGGACGCUGGGCGUACUCAAUGUACGCUGUGCAUAGUCCUUAAGACCCCAGUAUGUUGCGCGUACCAGAAUGGUACGCCGAGCGUACGCGCUACAAAUUGGGUCGGAUCUGUUUUGGGCCUUUGAGCUUUUGGGCUUCAUUUUGGUUAAUGGAUUGGUUGCAUUCUAUGAAUCAUGGUCUAUUUCAUCUGUUAUGGGCCAUGGAUACUUUGGUUGGGCCUUAUGUUGGAUAAGGUGUCUAAGUCCAUAACUUAUUUGGUAUAUACUUGACCCGACCGGCAUGGUCCAUUUGGGUUGCAUCUCAUCCAAACUAUUAUGGAUAAUUUUAUGAGAGUUAUACACAUAUGUUUAUUAAUAUAUUAUGAGUUAUAAUAUAUUAAUAUGAAGUUACGUUAUUUAAUUAGUUUUAGUCUUAAAUUAAUUAUGGAUUAAUUUAGAGAUUAAAAGGAAUACUAAUUAAAUUAUGGGCUAUUUGUUUUAUAUAGUGUGGGCUAAUACUCAUUUGUUAAUGGGCUAGGCUUAUGUGGAAGUCCAUGGAUGAUCCAUGGAGCUUUUAACCCAUGGAUCCUUGGAAUAGGAAAAGACAUGGGUUAUUAGGGUUUCACCCUAACCAUGCAUACUAUAUAAGCAUGCUUAUGGAGCAUGAAAGAGAGCCUAAGAUAGCCUAAGAGAAAGCUAGUGUUCUAGUGUGUGUGUGCAUGUGUGUGGCCGAAAAUACAAGAGUGUGUAUACUCUCUCAAAGUUUUCCAAGAGUUUGUGGUGUUUGUGAUUCCAUUUGAGGCAUUCACACUAUUGGUGCUUGGCCCUCAAACUCCUAAGAACCCAACACAACAAAGGUAUGUAAUCUCUUCUAACUCUUUUAUGUUGAAAUGUUCCCCAUGCCAUGUUAGAUAGGUUAUAAACCUUGGAAAAUUAUUAUUUUGCAUGUAUUUAGACAAACAUAGAUCCAAGGUUUAUUAGGGUUGCAUGCACACUUAGGAAGUGUUAGAUUGCUCAAAACCCAACAGUGGUAUCAGAGCCUAGGCUUGCUUGUUUGAUACUUGAUGCAAAAUAGUGAAAAAAGUCGAAAUCGUUGCUGUCUGCAUGCUAGACUCGCCGAGUCCAUUGGGGGGACUCGCCGAGUCCAAGGCAAACUUCAACCUACUCGACGAGUCCGUUCGUGCACUCGGCGAGUAGGAUCGAAAGAAUGCAGAAUCUCGACUUUUGCUGCUGGAAAUGGACUGGAAACAUUACCCUAAAUUGUUUUGGUGUUGUAAAACUUAUUUUAGUUGGUGUAAUGGUUGUUCUAAUCCAUUUACAAUAGCAUAUAUCAAAAAUCCAUGAUUUUAUGUGUUCAUAUAAUUCUUGAAUUUUUGAUGAUCAUGUUCAUGUUCUUAUGAAUUUAGAAAAUGAUAGGAAUUAUUUGCUGAAUUGUUUAGAAUUAAUUCUUAAUCAUUUAUGUGUUUUAAUGGAGUCCAUAAUUUGUCCUCAAGUUAUGGAUUACCAAAGGUCACUUUCAUUUAACACACACUUAAAACACAUAAGUUACAUGAAAAUGAAGAGUCUUCAUUUUUAUGAACCUUUAAUUCAUAAGUUAUGAAAUGAAGAGUUUUGCAAAGUUACAAAACUUGUCCUCAAGUUUUGGAAUUUGUAAAGUUUCACACACUUUAAUAAACUUUAAUUCCAAACCUUAGAGUUUUAAUAGUUAAAAUUCAACCCUUAUACUAUUUAUAACAUUAAUGGUUAAUUAUUAUAUAUAUGUAUAAGAAUAAGUCGUUUUACCGUUAGUAGGCCUCAUUCACGAAGCCGGUCUAUAAGGUGGGUAUAAGGUUGUUGCCUAUAAAAUGGCGACUUAAUGGGUGUAUACUCUCACCCACCGCUUGCUUGAUCGGUGGAGGGUCGUUAGCCGAACGGGUAGAACAACGACUUUAAAUCCUCAUUAAAAGUAUAAUGAAUAUUAUAAAAUAACUAAACUCUUUUAAUUCCCAAUCUUAGUUAUUUUAGGAAAAUGUGAACAUGGUGCUAAUCCAUGGAAUUCACACUUUGUACCUUACCAAGUCGUUAGUGGAGCGUGUGUGGUUAACCGGCACACUAAUUAGACUAGUAAGGAUCACGAAGGGUAACUUAAUGUUGUCAUAGAUCAAUGGAGCGUGUGUGGUUAACCGGCACAUUGAUUAGGUGAUAAUAUUAGGAGUACCAAGUGAGUUAGCAUGGUUAUUCACACCUUGUUUUGUGAUCCUCGGCAUCCCAGUCACAAAACUUGAAGGGCACAAUCGAGAUUGAAACAUGCCAUUGAAAAGUUCAAUGAAUCUCAAAAGAAUCUAGGAAUUUCAAAUCCAAUUAAACCUAAUUAAUCAUUUCGUUUUCAUGGUGGAAAUUGGUGAAUCGUCAUUCGCCUACCUUUCAAAUAUAUUAUUACUUAGAUUACGGCAUCCCUCUUCUAAGUGUAAUAUAUUGUGAUUGGAUCCUAGCCUUAAUAUUACAUUUGGGUGUCUUAUUAAGGAUCCUAAAUAUCUAAUCUAAACUUACUUUCUUCUUUCAGAUGUCUUCCAACACUAAUGCUUCAGGCUCUAACCCAACUGGUUCUUUCUCUCUCAUGAAUCUUUGUGGGAGGGUCAUCUUUGAUGGUUCCAACUUCAUGGAUUGGAUUAGGAACAUCAGGAUGGUUACUCGUUACGAGGACAAGGAAUAUGUCCUCGAUAAGGAGUUAAAAGAACUUGAUGAGUCUACUGCUACUCCUGAGGAGAUCGCUGAAUUCAGGACUCAUGAGAGAGAUGCUACUAAGGUGGCAUGUAUCAUGAUGGCCACGAUGACAGCCGAGCUCCAAAAGUCAUAUGAAGAUUUCUACCCUUUUGAGAUGCACCAAGACUUGAUGGAAAGGUACCAUCAGAGUGCUCGUCAGGAGCGGUAUGAAAUAAUCUCCUCCAUAAUAACUACCCGCAUGAAGGACGGUGAAUCCGUCACGGGCCACAUGCAAAAGAUGCAAAGGUAUGUGGACCGUUUGCUGAAGCUGAAUGUUAACAUCCCCGAGGAGUUAGCAAUUGACAUCAUUUUGCACUCCUUGCCUUCUUGUUAUGAUCAUUUUCGAAUGACAUAUCAUAUGAACAAGGAGGAAGUUACCCUCAGCAAGCUUCAAGGACUCUUGAAGACCGCUGAAACCGGUCUUAAGGGUAAAGCGGUUGUUACCUCUACUACUCCUACUCCAACUUCUACCCCUGUUUUAGCUAUUGGGCAAGGCAAAGGGAAAAAGAGGAAGCACCCUUCGAAGGGUACCAAGGGAAAGUCUCUUGAAGGCUCCUCAUCCAAGACUAAGAACGGUUCUGUCACUCCUUCUGCCAUUCCAAAGGAUGCUGAAUGCUUUUAUUGCCAUGAAAAGGCACACUGGAAGCGAAACUGCCCUAAGUACUUGCAGGAUCUAAAGGAUGGGAAAGUGAAACCCACCUAUGCAGGUAUUUACACUAUAUUGUCUAAUUACUCAACAUAUUCUAACUCUUGGGUGCUUGAUACAGGAUGUGGUAUUCACAUAUGUUCUGAUUUGCAGGGCCUAAGAAGAAGUGAGGAUGUGGAGCACGGGAAGAUAAACUUAAUCAUGGGGAAUAGGAAGGCUUCACCUGUUUCCAAGAUUGGAGUUUAUACUUUGUUGCUUAAUAAUGGGUUAAAAUUAGAUUUGAAUAAAUGUGUAUACUCGUCUGAAAUGGCGAGGAAUAUUAUUUCUUUUCAUGCUUUGUACAAACAAGGUUUUACCUUUUCGUUUGAUAAUGAAUGUGGUGGUAUUAAUGCUUUCUUUAAUAAUGUGUUUUAUUUUAAAGCAUUACCUUGUGAUGGCGUGUAUGAAACUGUGUCGAUUGUAGACAACUUAGGAAAUAAUGUGUUGUAUAUUGAUUCUUCUACUAGCCUAGAUAAAGCAUCAUUGUGGCAUUGUCGUCUUGGACAUGUAAACAAGAAACGCAUAGACCAACUCCAAAAGAGUGGAGUCUUGGAAUCAUUUGACCUCAAAUCAGAUGAUAGUUGUGAAUCUUGUCUACUUGGAAAAAUGACAAAAUCACCCUUCACUGGAACUUGUGAGAGGGGUGAAGGUUUGUUGGACCUAAUACAUACUGAUGUAUGUGGGCCAUUCAAAACCGCCACAAGGGACGCUAAUCGGUAUUAUGUGACUUUUAUUGAUGAUUAUAGUAGAUAUGGGUAUGUCUACUUGAUCAAACACAAGUCCGAAACCUUUGAAAGGUUUAAGGAAUUCAAACAGGAAGUAGAAAAUCAAUUGGGCAGGAACAUUAAGAUGCUUCGAUCCGAUCGAGGUGGUGAGUAUCUUAGUACCGAGUUCCUUGACUAUCUUAAGGAGUGUGGGAUUGUCUCACAAUUGACUCCUCCCAGGACACCACAGCUGAAUGGUGUAGCUGAGAGGCGUAAUCGUACCUUGUUGGACAUGGUUCGCUCUAUGAUGAGUCGAGUUUCGUUACCAAUCUCUUUUUGGGGGUAUGCCUUAGAGACUGCCGCCCAUAUCCUUAAUCUAGUCCCUACAAAGAAGGUUACCAAAACACCUCAUGAGAUGUGGACUGGGAAGGUUCCCAAUUUGGACCACAUCAAAAUUUGGGGUUGCGAAGCCUUCGUGAGGCGUGAAACUCAUGAUAAGCUUGAACCCCGAAGUGAAAGGUGUAUUUUCAUCGGCUACCCACAGAAAUCCUUCGGUUACCUUUUCUACAGACCCAGUGAGAAUGUGGUCUUUGUAGCACGAAGAGGGAUCUUUCGCGAGAAAGAAUUUAUAAGCCAAGGAGACAGUGGGAGGCAGAUUGAUCUUGAAGAAAUUCAAGAAUCAAUUGGUGAAGGAACCUCAGACACUAGCAAUCAACCUGAGGAAGAAACUCCUGUUGAUCCAGCUGACGAGUCUGUACCUCCGAGACGUUCCACACGGGUUAGGAACACACCUUCGUUUUAUUAUGGUUUUCAUAUUACUACGGAAGGUGAUACGUUUAUUAGUGAUAGUACACUAGUAAAUUUGGAUGAACCUAGCAGUGUUAAGGAAGCCAUGGCAGGCCCGGAGUCUGCUAAAUGGAAGGAGGCUAUGGACAGCGAGAUACAGUCCAUGUAUGACAAUCAAGUUUGGAACUUGGUUGACAAUGUACCAGGCCGUAAAACAGUCGGGUGCAAAUGGAUCUUCAAAAAGAAGACCGACAUGGAAGGAAAAGUGCAUACUUAUAAGGCUCGACUGGUUGCGAAGGGUUUUACUCAAACUCAAGGUAUUGAUUAUGAUGAAACCUUCUCGCCGGUGGCCAAGAUUAAGUCUAUUAGGGUUAUGUUAGCCAUUGCAGCAUUUCAUGAUUAUGAAAUAUGGCAAAUGGAUGUCAAAACCGCUUUCCUUAAUGGAAAGUUGGCUGAGGAUGUGUACAUGAAUCAGCCAGAGGGUUUUGUCAAUGCAGAGUACCCUAAUAGAGUAUGCAAGCUUAAGAAAUCCAUUUAUGGAUUAAAACAAGCAUCUCGUAGCUGGAAUCUUUGUUUUGAUGAGAAGGUAAAAGAGUUUGGCUUCUUGAGAAGCGAAGAUGAGUCUUGCGUGUAUGUCAGAGCUAGUGGGAGUAUAGUUAGCUUCUUGGUACUGUAUGUGGAUGACAUACUACUCAUAGGAAAUGACAUCCCAACCUUGCAGGAGGUUAAGUCCUGGCUUGGGAAGUGCUUUGCUAUGAAGGACCUAGGGGAGGCUACCUAUAUCCUAGGGAUAAGGAUAUUAAGAGAAAGGAGUAGAAGACUAAUUGGACUUAGUCAGAGUAUCUACUUGGAUAAGGUGUUGAAAAGGUUCAACAUGGAGAAUUCCAAGAAAGGAGAUUUACCGAUCCAAAGCAAUACCAAACUGAGUAAGACUCAGAGUCCGAGUACAGAGGCUGAGAUAGCUGAGAUGAGCCAAUUACCAUAUGCUUCCGCAGUUGGCUCGAUCAUGUAUGCUAUGACUUGUACCCGUCCUGAUGUGGCAUUUGCUUUGAGCAUGGUCAGCAGGUAUCAGGGGAACCCUGGCAAGGCUCAUUGGACCGCGGUAAAGAACAUUCUCAAGUACCUGCGGAGGACUAAGGAUUGGGUCCUUACCCUUGGUGGCAGUGAUGACUUGAGAAUAUUAGGGUAUAGUGAUGCUGGUUUUCAGACUGAUAGGGAUAAUUUCCGCUCUCAGUCGGGCUGGAUCUUUACCUUAAAUGGAGGGGCAAUUUCUUGGAAGAGUUCCAAGCAGGAGACGGUGGCUGAUUCGACUUGUGAAUCAGAGUAUAUAGCAGCGAGUGAAGCAGCGAAGGAGGCGAUAUGGCUAAAGAACUUCAUCGGAGACCUUGGAGUUGUACCAGCUAUUAAGGAACCUAUAGAGAUUUUCUGUGACAACAAUGCUGCGGUUAUCUUAGCCAAGGAACCAAGAGAUCAUGGCAGAUCCCGACACAUUGACAGAAAAUAUCACUUCAUAAGGCACAAGAUUGAAGAAGGACUCCUUGUGACAAGGAGGAUAUCGUCAGAUGAGAAUCCUGCAGAUCCCCUUACGAAGGGACUGACGAGGGUUAAGCAUUUUCAGCAUGCGAGACGCAUCGGGCUGAGGGACGAUAUUAGUUUUACAGAUUAGAUAGUUUUCCUGAAACUUGUAAAAUGUAAUCGACGUUUGAUGAUGAAUAAAAUUUGUGAUUUAUUUAUGAGUAAAGUGUUACUAUCAUUGUCAAUUAUUUACUAUUGUUUCAGUUUUGCAUGUUUUGACUUCCAGAAUAAUUAAUUUGUUCAAACCUCCACAAUCGAUCAUACGUCGGAAGUAGGUAUGAAUCAAGAUUGUCAUGAAUUGGGUUUGUAGAUGCCUUAAAGGUGUUUAGGCAUGGCAAUGGUUGCUGCAACAUUCAUGAGUACUCAUAAGUUAUGAGUAUUGGUAUAAACCCACGCUCACUUGUAUCACUUCAUGGAAUUUAUCUCGAGUGAUCGUGAGACGAUAACAUCAUAUAAAUCUUUAAACCUAGAGAUAUGAGUUGUUACCUAUGAGUUGGUUGUGCAUUGAUUGCACGUAAACGCAUCAGUAACUUGAUGUUAUAAAACGUGCCUUUGUGUACAAUUCAAUAAGUAGUAGAACAAGCAUAUCAGUCGAAGUUUAUCUGUUCCUUCUAGAAAUAGAAGCGAUAUCCGGGCCCCUCGAUGAUUUUGUGUUGACCCAUAUACCAGGCCUGGUCAGAACUAAACCGAUGUGUUCAGUGAAGUUCUUCGUCAAACAAAUCGGAUAAUCGAGAAACAACUGCUAGACAAUAAGCAAGACAUAGUUCCAUGUGUUUGUCCGGCUGAUAUCAUGAGAACAGAGGAUUAUGUGAUCACUUAUCUAAAAUGGCGCUUCAUAGUUCGACAGAGUCUUCAUUGUUCGAGGGAGUUUUCGAGAGCUACGAUUGUUGGUUGGUUCCUGAAGUUAUAGGCAAAUAUAGUUAUUAGACUUAUCCAAGUGGGAGUCUGUUGGAUAAGGUGUCUAAGUCCAUAACUUAUUUGGUAUAUACUUGACCCGACCGGCAUGGUCCAUUUGGGUUGCAUCUCAUCCAAACUAUUAUGGAUAAUUUUAUGAGAGUUAUACACAUAUGUUUAUUAAUAUAUUAUGAGUUAUAAUAUAUUAAUAUGAAGUUACGUUAUUUAAUUAGUUUUAGUCUUAAAUUAAUCAUGAAUUAAUUUAGAGAUUAAAUGGAAUACUAAUUAAAUUAUAGGCUAUUUGUUUUAUAUAGUGUGGGCUAAUACUCAUUUGUUAAUGGGCUAGGCUUAUGUGGAAGUCCAUGGAUGAUCCAUGAAGCUUUUAACCCAUGGAUCCUUGGAAAAGGAAAAGACAUGGGUUAUUAGGGUUUCACCCUAACCAUGCAUACUAUAUAAGCAUGCUUAUGGAGCAUGAAAUGAAGCCUAAGAUNAGAUAGCCUAAGAGAAAGCUAGUGUUCUAGUGUGUGUGUGCAUGUGUGUGGCCGAAAAUACAAGAGUGUGUAUACUCUCUCAAAGUUUUCCAAGAGUUUGUGGUGUUUGUGAUUCCAUUUGAGGCAUUCACACUAUUGGUGCUUGGCCCUCAAACUCCUAAGAACCCAACACACCAAAAGGUAUGUAAUCUCUUCUAACUCUUUUAUGUUGAAAUGUUCCCCAUGCCAUGUUAGAUAGGUUAUAAACCUUGGAAAAUUAUUAUUUUGCAUGUAUUUAGACAAACAUAGAUCCAAGGUUUAUUAGGGUUGCAUGCACACUUAGGAAGUGUUAGAUUGCUCAAAACCCAACACCUUAUUGGGCCAAGAGGCCCAUUAAUAAUUUUGGACUAGGAUUUUGGGCCCAUUAGCAAGGGAAGGAUAAUUGGGCCUCAUGAAUGGGUUUGGAUUUUGGGUUUUCCUUUUUCUAAUCUAAGGUCCUAACAUUGGUUAUUAUUAUUAUUCAGCUAGGGAGGUUUCAAACUGUUAGAAGAGCAGCUUUUGUAUUCAGCAGACAGAGGUGAGUCUUCUCACCAUACUCAUGGGUCAAAGGCACCAAGGCCGGCCCAUUAUGUGAUUAUGAUAUAAGUGUUAGUCUUUCUGUGAUUUGAUAUGAUAUGUGAUUGUGUGUUUUGCAUGAAAACCCCGGGGGAGCCCGUGACAUUGGAUGUAAGACCAUAUGGGGUAGCCCAUGGCAGUCCUAGGUAAAGACCAUGUGGGGUAGCCCAUGGCACUCUUACAUGUUUUAUGUAUGCAUGACUUAUGUGAUAUGUGUGUAGCUUUAAUUAGCUACUAGGAUAUGUGUAUGUGUAGUGUAUGGUAUGCUCUGGGGAACUCACUAAGCAUUUCGCUUAUAGGUUGUUGAUUUGUUUCAGGUACAUCUGAGCCCAAGGGCAAGGGCAAAGCGUGAUGGCGCACCGUGCACUCGAUCUCUCUUUUCCACUGUUAGGGUUUGGGGGCACUCUGAUGAUUUGAAUAAGUUGUAAUGAAUCGUUGACUUGAAAACAAUUAUGUUGGGAUUUCAUGGUUUAUGCAGUUAUGUUUUGUUAACUAAAAGUGAAAAUUUUCAUUAAAAAUUUGGGUCGUUCCACAAAUAGUGGAGCACCAAUACUGGAAUGAAAGCCAUUGUUGUAAGAGAACUCUGCAAGAUCUUGUGGUCCGUGUAUAUGGUAGAGUGGACUCCAUAGAGUUAAUGUCUCCAGAUCUUGAGAGCGAAUACCACCGCUCCUAGCUCCAGAUCAUGAGUGGGGUAUGUCAUCUCGUGCGGCUUCAACUGCAGCGAAGCAAAAGCUAUCACACGUCCUCUCUGCAUAAGGACUGCUCCCUACCCGAUGAUAGAAGCAUCACAAAACACCACAAAAUCCUCAACUCCCUCAGGGAGUGUCAAAACUGGCGCCUCGCAAAUUCGUUGUUGUAAAGUCUCAAAUGCAGUCUGCUGCUCAGGGCCCCACCGGAAAUCCACCCCUUCCUCGUCAGACGAAUGAGGGCCGGAAGUCCACCCCCUUCCUCGUCAGACGAAUAAGGGGUACCACAAUCUUAGAGAAAUCCUAUAUGAAUCUCCAGUAGUACCCUGCCAAUCCCAAAAGCUCCUGAUAUCCGAGGGAGAUUUCGGAACCUCCCAUUGCAUAACCGCCUCGAACUUGGCCGGGUUGACCAAAGUCCCCUCCUGGUUAAUAAGGUGUCCAAGGAGCUAAACCUCUCGUAACAAAAACUCGCACUUCAAGAACUUGACAUACAACCGUUCUCGACUCAAAACUCCCAAUAACUCACGGAGAUGCUCCUCAUGCCGCUCCCUGGUCUUGGAAUACACCAAGAUGUCAUCGAUAAAUACAAUGACUGGGCGAUCGAGUAGUGGUCUGCAUACCCGAUUCAUCAGGUCCAUAAACAAUGUCGGCUUAUUGGUGAGCCCAAACGACAUCACCACGAACUCAUAAUGUCCAUAAAGAGUCUGGAACACAGUCUUCUCCACGUCCUCCUCCCUAACCCUGACCUGAUGGUACCCGAACCUCAGGUCUAUCUUGGAGAACCAAGACGCUCCCUGCAACUGAUCGAAGAGAUUAUCUAUCCUCAAGAGUAAAUAACGGUUCUUCACUGUUAACUUGUUCAACUCCCGGUAAUUAAUGCACAUCUGAUGCGCACCAUUCUUCUUCCUAACGAAGAGAAUCGAUGCUCCCCACGUAGAAGUGCUUAGAAGGAUGAACUGCUUGCCUAGCAGUUCAUGUAGCUGAGAUGACAGCUCCUGCAUCUUAGGUGGUGCCAAUCGGUACGGUGCCUUGGCGAUAGGGGCCGCACCUGGCACUAGGUUGAUCCUGAACUCGACCUACCUCUCCAGAGGCACUCCGGGUAACCCCUCUGGAAACACGUUAACGAACUCUCUGACAACCGGAACGUCCGACACCGAAACCUCAUCCUUGACCCGCAUAUCCACCACAUACGCCAAAUAACCCGCACACCCGUGCCGAAUAUACUGUCAAGCCUUGGCAGCUGAGCAAAACCCUGAUCCCAAUCUGGUGCCCUCUCCGUAGAUAACCAGUUCUCCCCCACUUGGGGUUCGAACUACCACCCGCUGACCCUCGCAGUCGAUCAUGGCACCGAAGCGACUCAACCAGUCCAUACCAACAAUCACACAUACAUCCCCCAUGUGAAUCGAAAUCAAGUCUAUCGAGAAGGAUACCCCGAAGAUCUCCAGAACACAACCUCGAUAGACUAAAGAAGCAGAAACCCCAUGUUCGUUGGCAAUAGAGACUCGCAACGGACACUCUAGCUCUCAUACAAGCAAACUGAACUCCCUACUAAACGAUCGAGAAACAAAUAACCGACUCGCGCACGAGUCAAAUAAUAUCAAAGCAGGUAAGGGAUAGAAACGUAUCAACAACCAAAUCUGGCGCUGUCUUGGCCUCCUCGGCUGUAAGCUGGAAGGCACGUCCCCGAGCCUUCGGAGGCUCUGCUCUACCCUGACUACUGUCAGUAAUCAUUAGUGUAGCCGGCACUGGAGCCUGCACCGACCUAGCAACGAGUCAUGGACAGUUGGUCUUCACGUGACCAACCUGAUCGCAAUGAUAACAGAUCCUCAUAUCUUGAACCGGGGUUGGCUAGCGACAAUCUCUCGUAAAGUGCCCAUCCUUGCCGCAUUUGCGGCACGCACUACCCAAUCUACAAACUCCUGAGUGACUCUUCCCGCACUUCCCACAAGUGCGGCCGUGCUAGCCUCCAGACCUAGAAUCAGCGGUCUUGGACCACUUUGUGCAAGCUGCGACUGCGUUGGGGCCUGACUUUGCUCCUGCAGCUGUAACUCAAUCUCCAACUCUCGCCGCCUAGCGACCUCCUGUAACUCCAAUAAUGUAUCACACCACUGGGUAGCAACAAACUGACGAAUGUCAGUCUUGAGCAUGCUCAAAUAUCAUGUCAUCUGAGCCUGCUCAGUGUAAGAAACCCAACAAAUUUGAUUUUUCAAUAGCAAAAUUUUAAGUCCAGUUAUAUCCAAUCAGACCCGAUCACACAUAAAUCAUGAUCUCAAAGUAUCUAGUCUACUCUAAUAAAUGAAGGUUUUUUUGACACUUGUCAUACUCUCAUUUAUAAGUUUUAUUCUAUUUUUUUUUUAAUUCCACAUAAUACUUUAAUGUAAUAUUUGCAAUAAAUAUAAUAAUAAAUGGAUAUCAAUGUUAUUAAUAAACUUACCUUUUAAUUUCAAAAUUAAAGCUAAUUAGUUUUUUUGUUUAUUUAUUUAAAUUAUUUAUUUAAAUUUAAAAAAUAAAAAACAUUUCAAUUAUAAUAAUUUAUUAUUUUUUCUUAUUUUCUUAUAAAUUCAAAGUUGUUAAAUAUUUAUUUUUUUAUAUUUAAAUUUUUUAAGUUAACCGAUAUAAUACAUGAGUCUCGCAACUAAUAUUUUGCUGCAUAAUAUCUUUUCAAGAAUCAACAAAUUAACAAGUCCACAUCAAUUGGCUACACUUUCAAUGCAAGUCCCUUUGAAUGAAACGUAUACUUUCAGAUUCCAUUUACUUUCUAAGAGUAACAUAACAGUGGCAUAAUAGCCAGAAAGAACAAUAAAACCCACCAAAAAAAACAUACCAUCAACAACAGUUAUUGAAAAUAUCAAUUAAUGUAUCACAUAUUAAAACUCAAGACACCUCUUUUUCUUCUUCCGACUUUUCUUCUUGAGAAUCAUCAAUCAGGGUCGCUCACUUGGCGCUGGCGAGCUCGGCGCGGAGCUUCUUGGCAGCGGUGACCAUGUUCAAAAGAGCGGGUUUGACUUCGCCAUACUUCCUUGUCUUGAGGCCACAAUCCGGGUUGACCCACAAGAUGUUGGUCUCCAAAACGGCAAGCAUCUUGUUGACCCUGUCAGCAAUCUCCUCCAUGGAGGGGAUUCUUGGAGAAUGAAUGUCAUACACACCGGGCCCGAUUCCAGCACCAUAUUUCACUCCCUCACGGAACACGGACAGAAGCUUCUCAUCAGAUCUUGAGUUCUCAAUGGUGAUGACAUCAGCAUCCAUGUUGAUGAUGGAGUGGAUGAUGUCGUUGAAGUUUGAGUAGCACAUGUGGGUGUGGAUCUGUGUGGUGUCAGCAACGCCUACAUUUGUGAUUCUGAAAGAGUGAACAGCCCAGUCCAAGUAGAAGGCGUGCUCCGCUUUCCUUAGCGGCAAUCCUUCUCUCAGUGCCGCCUCGUCGAUUUGGAUAACCGUGAUUCCGGCCUUCUCAAGAUCCUCAACUUCAUCCUUGAUUGCCAGAGCAAUCUGGUAGCAAGUUUCAAAUCUGGAGACACACAGAAAAUAUGUCCGUCAGUUUUAGCAACCUACUUUGUAUGUGUGUGUGUGUGUGUGUGUGUGUGUAUAUAUAUAUAUAUAUAUAUAUAUAUAUAUAUAUAUAUAUAUANNNNNNNNNNNNNNNNNNNNNNNNNNNNNNNNNNNNNNNNNNNNNNNNNNNNNNNNNNNNNNNNNNNNNNNNNNNNNNNNNNNNNNNNNNNNNNNNNNNNNNNNNNNNNNNNNNNNNNNNNNNNNNNNNNNNNNNNNNNNNNNNNNNNNNNNNNNNNNNNNNNNNNNNNNNNNNNNNNNNNNNNUGUAUGUGUGUAUGUAUGUAUAUAUAUAUAUAUAUAUAUAUAUAUAUAUAUAUAUUGGAUUUUGUGAUUUAUACCUGGGUUGGUCGUUACGGACAAAGGACCAGUUGAGAAUGGUGACGGGGCCGGUGAGCAUACCCUUCAUGGGGCGUUUGGUCAUUUCCUGGGCCAUGGAUGACCAGAAGACGGUCAUGGCCUUUGGUCGGCUGACAUCACCGUAGAUGAUUGGGGGCUUCACGCACCGAGAUCCGUAGGAUUGCACCCAUCCGUUUGCGGUGAAGGCAAAACCGGACAGCUGCUCACCAAAAUACUCAACCAUGUCGUUUCUCUGAAACAAACAAACAUUACAUGCAGUUUUUUAGCCAACCCCCUUUUUUAUGAAACCGAUUGAAAUGAAUUAAUUUAGAUUGUGUUUAUCAAAUAUACCUCUGGCUCUCCAUGGACAAGGACAUCAAUGUCAAGUUCUUCCUGAAGCUGGACAACUUUGAAGAUCUCCUCCUUGAUGGCCUUAACAUAUUCUUCCUCAGAGAUUCUAUAAAUAUAAACAUAUACUUUUUUGAGAUUUUUUUUUAUAAAAAGUAAGCGAAUCAGUUUGAAAUUAUAUAAAAGUAUACAAACCACUCACUUUUUAGCCUUGUACUCACGACGAACUCUCCUGAGCUCGAUGGUUUGUGGGAAAGAGCCAAUGGUGGUGGUUGGGAGGAUUGGAAGGUUGAGCUUCUUCUGUUGGGCAUCCAGCCUGGCACUGACAUUGGUGGCACGACGGUGGUCUGAGCCUCUCAAAGCAGCGGCCUGAGAAUGCAGGUGUCAGCAUCAACUUUUUUUUUUUUAACAGUAAUUUCAUAUAUAGAAAAGGAAGGGGGUUUUAAUCACUUACAGCCUUCUGCACGGAUUCAUUUGUGACUCUUGGGGAGGACUUCCUUGAAGCCUGAGCAGCAGCAUUGGCUGAGAAGUAGGCCUCGUCUUUGUGACCAGCUAGAGCCUUGGCCAAUGCAUUGACUUCAACAACCUUUUGAGCAGCAAAUGCGAGCCAUGAUUUGAUCUCAUCAUCCAAUUUAGUCUCAUUAAUAAGAUCGACAGCAGUGUGAAGGAGUGAGCAAGAGGUCGAAACCACAAGCUUAUCUACAUAUUUCACAUUUUCAUUUUAUGUUAGGGAAUUCAUUCGGGUAAAUGAAAGGAAAAGAUUAAUAUGGUUAAAACGAAAGAAAAGCACACCUUUGCCCACAAUGCCCUCGAGAGACUCAAGGACAGUGAGAGAACCAGCAAGAUCAUUAGCCCAGAUGUUCCUUCCAUCAACAACUCCAGCAAAAAGAUAUUUCCCAGAUGGGAAGCUGCUCUUGAUCAAUUCAAGAGUCUUUUCACCACGGAUCAAAUCAAAAGUGAAUCCAGCAACUCCAGGCAAUGAAGUUAGGGUUUUGAAUGCUUCAGCUGGAACAUCAGCAAAGUAGGUGGCAACAAUAACAUUAAGACCAGAGCAGGCCGAUUCUAGCUCAGAGUAGGCCUUGGUGAAAGCUUCCAAUUGGUACCCCUCAAGAUCCUUCACAAGGGUAGCCUCGUCAAACUGGAUCCAUGUAGCACCUGCUUCCUUCAACUCGGCAAUCACUUCCCUGCAGGGGUAAUUAUUGUUGUAAUGAUUGUAGUUUAUUGUGAAGAACAUGAAAAUGAUCGAGAGAAAAGAGGCAUACUUGUAGAUUGGAAGGAUUUUAUCAAGAAGGGACAGAAGAUCAAAGGUUUUCUCGACACCCUUUGCAGGUUUUGACAGCAAUAAGUAGCUGACUGGGCCAACAAAGACGGGUACGGUAUCAACUCCAAGCUGUUGCAUUACAAACAACCAACCAACAUAUUAACCAAAAAAGAUUACUACAUCCUGUUUAAAAGAAUCCGGAAAGAGCAUAUCAACAACACGUACAGCCUUAGCCUCCUUGUAUUCGGUCACAGCCUUGUGAGAAGCAUAAGAGAAUUGCACGUCAGGGCCCAACUCUGGGACAAUGAAAUGGCUGUUCGUCAAGGCAUCAGUAUUAUUAGAAUCGACAAGAUCCAAAAAACUAAGGGGCCAAUAUGAAACUUACUAGUUGGUGUCAAACCACUUGGUCAUUUCCAUAGCUGGGACAGAGGCGUUUCCUCUGGCCAUGGAGAAGUAAGUGUCGAAACCAAUCUCACCACCAUUCCAGUUGUAUCUUGAGGGGACAGCACCAAGCAUGGCAGUGGUGUCAAGAACCUGAUCAUAGUAAGAGAAGGUGUUGCUGGGGAUGUACUUGAUGCCAACACCAGACAUCUGUUUCCAGAUGGAUGAUCUGAGAUCAGCAGCCACCUUCUGCAAAUCCUCAGCACUGCUCUUGCCAUCCCAAAAAGAUUCAAGAGCAAAUUUCAGCUCUCUCUUGGGUCCCAUACGGGGAUAACCAACAAUGUGGGAUGCCAUUGUCCUGUUUCAACCACAAGUCAAAAAUUAAUCCUAAGAUGGCCAGGUACAGAAGCAAUCAUGCAAUGAUGACACAGCACCUACAACUUUAAAGUUGCACUAUACUCCGUAUUAGGUCAUUCUACCUCUAGAAAGACACAUUUUGAACCAGUAUAGACUUGAUCAAAUGAGAUAAUCAAAGGUUUCUUGCGUUGCACUAAUCAUGACCAUUGUCAAAAUUCUCUGCUUAUACUAAUAUCGACUAGAAAAACAUAAUUGGGAAUAAGUGCUGUCAUGCAGGAAAUUUCCACUUAAAUACCAACCGGUAUCAAUUUUAUUCUAUUCAUGUAAGAUUUGUAAGAGGAGCCUCCCAAAUCUCUUAUCACAUGCAUAUAAAGCUUAAGUUAUCAUGUCACGCUUAAAAGACAAUUGUUACAGAAAACUAAAGCAAAUGGAAAGUUCUUCUAUCUAUCGCAAAGCAAAAUCUCAGUAGAUCAAUUGCUCUCAAUAUCCUAGAACACCAGAUAAUAUCCAAUUAUCAUACCCAUGCGAGUACAAAUAUCAAGUAAAAGUCCAUGUACAGACAAAAAAACAUACAAAAUUGCCAGAUCGUGUGAUCUCGAUAAUCCAAUCGCUUAAUUCAUAUUUACUAAACCAAAAACUUCACAAUUAUCAUAAACAUAUCUAUCUGGUUCUACAUUGCAUAAAAAUGAUAAAAUAUCCUUGAUAAAUGACUAAAUGCUCUCUUCUUCACAAAUAGAUAACAUAAAUCUACAUAGAUAAUGGGAUAUGGGAUCAGAUCAUGGACGCUUACAUGCAGAUCUAGCUCCAUUACUUAACAUUUUAAAAAUCCAGUUUAAUCUUCAUAAAACAAAUUAACUAGUGCAAAACACGCAUGUUUUUAUCAAAUGCAGAAAGGGUAGCAGCAGACACAAGUCUAGAAGAGUCCAAAUCGAACUUAAUACAACCCAUUCAAGCAAUGAGUGACCGAGAGACAGGGCGUACCUGUAAACGGCGGUAGAAGAGGAAGUUACGAAUCAAAAGGAGUCUCGAAGGAGACUAGUUGUUUCGUAAUUCCGGUGAUAAGGGAGAGAAGAAUGGUUGACACGAAUCGGAGAGAAUGGAGAAUGGUGUUUAUUUAUAGAAACUUGAGGCGGGGUAGGCAGGGGUUUGGGGUGGGUGAGUGCCUGAGUGGGUUGUUGAGCUGGGUAGAUCAGAUCUCAGGAUCCCAACGUCCAGUCACGCGCCUACCAAAGUGUAAAUAUUACGACGAAAAGAAAAAAGGCUAAAAUAAGUAAGAGCAAAUUACAUCAAUGGUGUUAUAGUUUGGGUUAAUUUGUAUUUUUGAUCUUAAUUUAUUUUUUUUAACUCGAAUGAUCGAAUGAUCUCUACCAUUUGUUUUUAUUGCGUGUUUGGUCCCGAUCUUACCUAAAAAGACUGUUAUGUCCUUAUUAACUUCUUUUUAAAUUAAUUUUUUUAUUUAUGUAUUUUUUUAAUUUAUUAUUGUAUAUUUAUUAUUUAAAUUAUUAAAAAAUAUCAUGAGAACCACACCCGCCUCUCCCCUUCUAAACUCAAUAUCUCUCUCUUCUAACUCAACCCUAAAUCAUUGGAGUGGCUUGGAAGAUUAUAGCAACCGGAAACCAAAACAUUUUCGGAAACCUCCAUAUCCGCUGGAAAUCAUCAUGGCCGCCCAAAUUCUCCGCCGUCAACAACCUCUUGCCAUCGCCUUCCAACAUAUACUUCAUCUUCUCGUUUCCCCCUGCACCCAACCUCACCAUCUUCCCCAUCACAUUCUUCCUCCGGCGAUCAACAGUCAAAGGUUCUCCUUCCCUGUCAUCUUCUCAUUUUCAUUCUUAUAACUCAUUUGUAAGUUCAAGAUGCAUUUAGGGUUUUGAUACCCAUUUCUCAUUCUUGUAAAACCACUGUAACAUGAAGUCUCAUGCGUCUGGUUCUUCAGAACAGCUCGGAAACUACGAUCCAAGGUUUUGAUUUCACGAUGGCAGCUUUAUGUGGUCUAGAAAUCGUUCGCUGCAAUUGAAUCGUAAUGAGGAAUGGAGGACUGAUAUCUUGAUGUCUUUUUUUCUGCAUCUUGAUGUCGAAAGGGAAAACAGUGAAGCCACCACCUUCAGAUGUAAACUCUGAUCUGGUUCCUUCUUCUCCCUUCCUGUGGUUCCAACUUCUCCAUUCCCAUCAUUUCAUCAAAGCCACCACCAUGAUUUUCUGGAAAUAGGUUUCAUGAUUGCUCUUGAGUUUGGUUUAAUUUGGUAUUGAUUACAGGUUUUGAUUUUGAUUCAUCAUGUUUGUUCUUAUUUUUGGAUUUGUUUUUAGGGUAAAUAGCAUAAAAACACUUAGUUUACACCAAAAUUCUAAUUUGACACUGAUGGGACAAGGACCUCCGGCGGUUCUUCUGGUCUUCUACUGCGGCAGAGAUCUGCUAGUCACAAUCAGAGAAAUGCGUUAGAGCCGUCCCUGGGACUGUGCCCCGGGAGCGGACUCCGGCGAUCAAGUUAGAUCAACUGAGAGAUCUGAGAUGGUCCUCCAUAGCUGGAGAGCACCAUCUUGGUGCUGGUGGUGGUGUGUGGUGGCUGACGGCGGCAGGUGGCGGCUGAGCCACCCGACCGGAGUAUAGUGGCGGCUGAGCCAUGGGGUAGAUCUACUGGUGGCUGAACCACUUGGGGAAGAUCCAGGAAAAGGUCCCUCUCCAUGGAGGAUAUACUAUUCAUUAUAUAGGGGAAAAUUAGGUCAGGCCUUGGGCUAGCCCAAUUCAGGCCCAGCUAUCAAGGAGUUGGGCAAGGCCGCCUGGAGGCGCCGGGCGGGGCUGGCGGGCGCGCACCAGGAGAGGAUGGCAAGGGAGUGCCAAGCGAGGGAGCGCCUGGCCGAGNNNNNNNNNNNNNNNNNNNNNNNNNNNNNNNNNNNGGCUGGCAGGAGCGCGCCAGGCCAGGUUGGCGCGCUAGAGCAGUCUAGGCCACGCUAGUGGACCAUAUCUCAUCAAGUCCCCCUAGUAUGAUGUUAUUGGUACGCGGCCAAUGACAUCGGAUUGGACUUAGUCAUAUAAACCUACAGGAGAGUCCCCAGCAAGGCUAGCAAGGGAGUCCCCAGCAAGGCUGGCAGGAGCGUGCCAGGCCAGGCUGGCGCGCUAGAGAAGUCUAGGCCAUGCCAGUGGACCAUAUCUCAUCAAGCCCCCCCAGUUUGGUGUUAUUGGUAUGCGACCAAUGACAUCGGACUGGACUUAGUCAUAUAAAUUGUGCGUCGUCAAGUCCCCCUAGUCUGAUGCGAUUGGGUUGCUGACAAUCGGAUCGGACUAGAUAAAGCACCAAUACAAUAAAUAAUAAAGAGAAAUGACCGAACCUCACCCACGAGAGUCGUGGGGUUGUGCGAAGAGCCAAACAUUGCUUAUGUAGCUUGAGAUAACUUGAUACUCAAUUAUUGAGAGGAAUGCAAGCCGGUCGGUGAGAUGCAACGUAACUGUUGCUGCAAUCAUGCGGAUCGAGGCUGCUAAAGAGUGUUAUGCGACACUGAUGUCGGUGGAAUGUCAGACCGGGGUAGCUAAGAAGCGUAAGCUUGCCAUUCAGUCCCUGAGACUGUUAUUCGACGUGAUUGUUGUGGUAGCCAUGUGAGAUGGGAUGUCACCAGUAACCAUCUAUAUAGUCUGCAUUGCGACGUACCAACCCUAUUCCCCCCCCCCCCUUUUUUAGAGNGGAAUAGAUUCUGAGAGCUGGGCGACUAGGUUGCUAGCGAGGGUCACGUAGUAAAACUAUUGUCGAUAGCCAGACAACAGAAUUGUUGAGGGAUAGGCAGUGAGGCUAUAGGGUGGGGUUGCAUAGCAAGACCAUUUCCGAAAGCCAGGAAACAGAGGUGUCGUGGGGUACGUGGCGAGGCUACAGGUAGGGUUACGCAGCAAGACCGUUCCCGAGAGCCAGGAAACAGAGAUGUUGUGGGGUACGCGACGAGGUUACAAGUAGGGUUGCACAGCGAGACCAUUUCCGAGAGCCAGGAAACAAAGAUGAUGUGGGGUACGCGGCUAGGCUACAGGUAGGGUUGCACAGCGAGACCAUUUCCGAGAGCCAGGAAACAGAGAUGUUGUGGGGGCAUAGGUAGCAGGGCCGCUAUUGGGAUGACCUUCUUUCCGGAGAGUAUCCUCACUAUAGCAGGUUGUAAUGUGGAUAACACUUCAUCGAUCGUACGAGCACAAGAGAACCAUGAUGACUGUGAGAGAGGAAGCACCAAGAUCAUGGUGUGGAAGAAGCUUGUGAUGCGCGAAUUAGGAGAAUAGCUUGGGCUUAGCAGCCAAUGAUCAUGGAGGUGUCAUGCGGGAAAGCCUCACGUAUAACAGAUCGGGUUUGACUACUAACGAUCGUAGAUAAAUCAUGCGGAAGAGCAUCGCGUGGAAUGGAUCGGGCUAAGCUGCCAGCGAUCGUAGAUAAAUCAUGCGGAAGAGCGUCACGUGGAAUGGCCGGAGCAAGUUGCUAUAAUGGAGUCAGGCUGAGAAGCCAGGCGACUUGAGGCCAAGGGUACUGAACCUCGCAUGCGGAGCUUACCGCUAUAAUGGAGUCGGGCUGGGAAGCCAGACGACUCGAGGCGAGGGUACUGAACCUCGCAUGCGGAGCUUGCCGCUAUAAUGGAGUCGGGCUGAGAAGCCAGGCGACUCGAGGCGAGGGUACUGAAACUCGCAUGCGAAGGAAACUCGAGGCGAGGGUACUAAACCUCGUAUGCGGAGCUUUUCGCUAUAAUGGAGUCGGGAUGAGAAGCCAGGCGACUCGGGGUGAGGGUGCUGAACCUCGCAUGUGGAGCUUGCCGCUAUAAUGGAGCCGAGCUGAGAAGCCAAGCGACUCGGGGCGAGGCUACUGAACCCCGCAUGAUUGGGCGUAGCACCCUACAAUCUAUGUGUCUAGCUCGUGUGACCAGUCUGAGUUAAAGCAGAAUGGUACCUGGUGCUUUGUUGCAUCUCUAGUCAUACUAAUAAUUGAUGUCUCGGUGUCUUGGUUGUUUGCGGAGAGCUAUGUGGCACUGUAGGGGUGCAAACGAGCCGAGCCGAGCCCGAUCCAGGCCAGGAUCGGCUCGGGCUCGUUUAAUUUAUAUGAGGCUCGAGCUUGGCUCGAUUCGAGCUUUCUUGUACUGAGCUCGGCUCGAGCUCGUAAAGAAUUAUACAAGCUCGGCUCAGACUCGGGCUCGACUCGUUUUUUAUCUGACGUGUCUAAAUAAGCUUAAGCUCGGCUCGAGCUCGUUUACUAAUACCCUAAAUCCAUAAUUCCCCUAAUUGUUUUUUAUUUUAAUAUAUAUAUAUAUAUAUAUAUAUAUAUAUAGUCACANNNNNNNNNNNNNNNNNNNNNNNNNNNNNNNNNNNNNNNNNNNNNNNNNNNNNNNNNNNNNNNNNNNNNNNNNNNNNNNNNNNNNNNNNNNNNNNNNNNNNNNNNNNNNNNNNNNNNNNNNNNNNNNNNNNNNNNNNNNNNNNNNNNNNNNNNNNNNNNNNNNNNNNNNNNNNNNNNNNNNNNNNNNNNNNNNNNNNNNNNNNNNNNNNNNNNNNNNNNNNNNNNNNNNNNNNNNNNNNNNNNNUGGUUGUUUGCGGAGAGCUAUGUGGCAGUGCUACCUAGAGCUCGAUAGUGCAACUAUUGUUAAGAGGUGCGUAGCGAGACUGCUGUCAAGAACUGGUUCGUAAGGCCGCUAAGGUCCGGGGAGCGAGCUGCUAGCGAUAGGUGGGCAGCGCGGCCAUUGAAAGCUGGGCAGCGAGACUACCGAGGGUUGAACCACGAGGAUGUUCUUCCAAUCUGGAAUAUCAGUGCCACCCCGAAUGCACUGUCAUGCAUAGCAUUAGCUUUUCAUGUACUUUAACUCUGCUCCUUCAGAAUAAAAAUGACUUCUGCAUAGUGUCGUGCCAACCCUUCCCCCCUUUUUUUUCUUAGAUAAGGCGAGGAAAAGGGAAAUGACCAUCAUAUAGCUGCUAAUAAGAGCGGGGUAACACUGUUGCUGAGGGUUAUUUCGUAAUGCGUCACGAGUAGUAGUAGCGUACUACUCUUCCCCCUCCUUUUUUUGAAAAUGAUGAGUGGUGCGGACCGCAUCUUCUAGAAUCGGAUUUAACUUGACUUAAUUGGAGCACACAAGUUGUCGAUUUUGUGUAAAGCCAGCCCAUCUAGAGAUAAUUAGCCAAAGUAUGUUGUAUUUCUUUUUGUGAGUAAACGACUUCGUGUUGCUUUCCCUUUGCCUUUCAUUUUAUUAUUUGUGACAUAUUAGUGCUAGGCUCACCGUGCUUCCCUUUUUUUUGGAAUAGCCUCAAAUUAUGGAGCAAUAAACCUUAGAGGAGCCCAAAAUAAAUAUAUGAGUCUAAAUUAUUAGCCCAUUUAAUCGUCCCAGCUGAAAAAUAAUAGCCCAAGAUCGAGUUAUGGGCUUUUUUAGGAAAUAAUCAGCCCAAAACAAAAUUGUUGGAGCCACUUGCAAAUUUGGGCCAAUGCCCCAAUUCCCUUUAUGUCAUUUAUGUGAAACGGAUCGCGUAUCUGGAGGGAAGUGGGUCACGUCGGAGCCUGCUUGGAAGAUAUGGGCAUGUGCCCUGAUUUCUUUUUGUCAUCUAUCUGAAACGUCGAUAUGUCACUGAACAUGAAGAUGAAAAGUCGCAUCGGGCUUUAGGCCGAUAGAUUGACGAUGAUGAUGGUGAAGCAAUAGAUUGAAAUCAGCUACGUAAGGAAAUCAGAGCUUCAAUUCGCUGACAACAUUGUUCUGGUAGGUGCCAGUGCUGGAGACGACCAGUGAUUUGGGGUGGUUCGUCAGUAACGAUGGGGCGACGUUGGAACAUCGGUGAGUACGCUGGCGGUGUCGGCCAACUGCGUUAUUUGUUGAAAGUCGGCUAGCUAGGGCGAUUGUGGGUGGUGUCAACAGAUGAAGGCGAUUAGAUUGCAAGUGGUUCGGUAGUUGAGGGUCUUCAAUGUCGAGAUACAAUUCGACGGUGAUGGUAGGCGCAGAGUUGGCAGUGAUUGAUCGAACACAGAGGCAACGAUCGAUUGUUCUUGGGUUCCGGUUGGCGACAGAUCGAGAAACAGGGUCGGCGUCUAAUCCAUUGUAGCUGGAGUCGACUGGUGAUGGUCGGUUGGCUGAGCGACUACUACCGAUUGGAGAUGUUUUGGGCAGUCGCUCGGCAUCGGACUCGAAUGCGACUGGUGGUGAUGACUGUGACUGGCAGCGCCGAAUCCUAAAGCUGCCCGCCGUCUGUAGGCGGUCCGGCGAAGCCGACAAUGAUUAGCGAUCUUGGUGUCGGUGUUGAUCCGACGGUGAUCGAGAGGGUCGUGACCAACGACCGGAGGAGGUAUAGACAGCCUCACUCGAAAAAAGCAAAAGGCUGGUGGGGCCCGCCUUCUUUUUUUUUUACAUAAGGGAUUGGACACAACUGUCAUUUGUCUGGUGCACUGUGCACCUUUAUCCUUUUUUUUAUUGUUGUCGGUUGAAAGUCUUGUAACGUCUUUUCUUUUGCUGUUUACGAUGUUUACGAUGAGCUGUAAAAGACUUUGAAUAUGCUCUUUAUAUCUUUUUUUCCUUUACAGUUUAUUUCUUCUUGUAGAAUCUUGUACACUUCAUCUUUACUCUCUUCUUUUUUUUUUAUUUUUUUUAUUUUUUUUUUUUAUUAUUGAGCAGUAAAUUUUGGAGAAGGUAAAUUAAAUUUUUAAGGUAAAAAUGCUAUCUCUUAUGGAGUGUACAAUUAUGACAACUAUGCUUAUAAGCAACUGUUAACAUUUGUAAGAAAAUUACGACAAUCCUUAGCUCAAAAAGGGGAUUUUCUUUUCAAUUUGAACAAAAAAGAAUGGUGUAUGAACUGAGAUUUGAGUAAAGCCCAUGAAAAGUUCUUCCUUUUUUUUUGAAGGUUUUGUAAAAUGUACAAGCCACACGGUUGUAUGUACAAAUAAAUAUUACAGGGAUGGGAUUUGCAUAGAAGAUUGAGCUCAAGGGAUUUUCUGAGAAACGUACAAGAAACUUAGCCAUUCUUACAAGCAUCUGUUUCAAGGAUAGGAGGUGUUAAUAGAAAAUCUCUAGAUAAAAACGAUUUUCUAGUAAUAUCAGUUAAAAAGCCCAUGAAAACUUUUCUUUUCUUCUCAGACUUGCUGAACAAACACAAGAAUAUGAACAAAAACGAAUUUGAGAGGGAUUUCUUCUUGUAAAACUUUAUUUUCCCCUCUGCUUGCUCAAAAAGCCAUUGAAAUAUGAAAAAGAAACAGAUCUCAUAAAUUUUCGUUUUCUUUUUUGGAGUCUCCAAAGAAAUACCAACUUAAAUGAAGGUAAAUAACCACAAAGAAUUUCUCUUCUUCUCAAGUUGUUUGAUAAAACACCAAAAUAAAAAACGAAAAUGGGUUAAGAACUCAUAAGAGUUUCGUUCUUCAUGACUUGCUUCAACCCAUCAAAGUAUGAACGAAAAAAAUGGAUCUGAUAAUAUCUUUUAAAACUUAAAGUUGUUCAGAUGAACUAAAGCGAAAUAUCACACCAUAUUUGAGCCAAAAAAACGAGACAGAUCUUCAGAUAUGAACGAGAAAAGCUCAACAUAUCAAGAGAUCUGGACUAAAAAGUAAGCAUAUCAAAAGAUAUGAACGAUGGUUAAGCAGAUCUGAAGAGAUCUUGGCAAGAUCCAAACGGGUCUGAUCAGAUAAGAGAUAAGAAUGAACAGAUCUGAGAAAACCUGAUGUGGAACUCAACAGAUCUGACCAAAUCUAGGAAAAAUGAGCUUGGAACCGAGGCUUUUGCUACUUGCUCGGGUCCGGGAUGGCGCCAAAUGAUGGGACAAGGACCUCCAACGGUUCUUCUGGUCUUCUACUGCGGUGGAGAUCUGCUAGUCACAAUCAGAGAGAUGCGUUAGAGCCGUCUCAGGGACUGUGCCUCGGGAGCGGACUCCGACGAUCAAGUUAGAUCAACUGAGAGAUCUGAGAUGGUCCUCCAUAGCUGGAGAGAACCAUCUUGGUGCUGGUGGUGGUGUGUGGUGGCUGACGGCGGCGGGUGGCGGCUGAGCCACCCGGCUGGAGUAUAGUGGCGGCUGAGCCAUAGGGUAGAUCUAGUGGUGGCUGAACCACUUGGGGAAGAUCCAGGGAAAGGUCCCUCUCCAUGGAGGAGAUACUAUUCAUUAUAUAGGGGACAAUUAGGUCAGGCCUUGGGCCAACCCAAUUCAAGCCCAACUAGCAAGGAGUUGGGCAAGGCCGCCCGGAGGCGUUGGGCGANAGCGCCUGGCCGAGCCGGCAGGAGAGUCCCCAGCAAGGCUGGCAAGGGAGUCCACAUCAAGGCUGGCAAGGGAGCGCCAGGCAAGGCUGGCAGGAGCGCGCCAGGCCAGGCUGGCGCGCUAGAGAAGUCUAGGCCACGCCAGUGGACCAUAUCUCAUCAGACACCAUGUUUUUUUUGUCUCAAAUUUGACACUGUGUUUUCCAAUUUGUUACAAUUCUGACCAUUUGACCGGUCAACCAGGUUACAUGUUGACGUGGGAUGAUGACGUGUCAGUCUUGAUGACGUGGCAUGCUGACAUGAUAUGGUGGCGUAUCAAAAUUGAAUUUUUUUCCACAAAAAACACUAAGUUUUCACUUUUUUCGAUUUUGACACUAAGUUAAAUUUUUUCUUUCAAUUUUGACACUAUGUUUUUUUUCCAAAUUGAACAUUAUUUUUUUCAAUUUUGUUCGAUGUUGACAAUUUUCUAUUUGAAACUAUAUAAGUAUUUUUUAAUACAUUUAAACUGUAUAAAUAUGUUUUUUUUUUCCAAUAAAAAACCAUAGUUUUGUAUAAAUACAAGGUUCUUUUUAUAUUCAAACCAUAAUUUUAUGUAUAAAUAUGUAUUAGUUAUAUAAAAACCGUAUUUUAUAUCAAAUACACAACUUUAAAAUGAGUUUAGAGGUUUGGACGCGUGUAGUCAAUCAAAACCUUGAUGUCAAGUUUGCAACCCUUGAAUUUUUUUUAUCUUAUUAGAAACUUAUGGUUAGUUUGUUUCUCAUUAUAUAACUAAUGCAUAUUUAUACAUUAUGCUUUGAAUGUAUAAUAAUAAUAAUAAUAAUAAUAAUAAUAAUAAUAAUAAUAAUAAUAAUAAUAAUAAUAAAAUAAACUAAAAACACCUUGUAUUUAAAUAAAAUAUGGUUUUAAACGAAAAAAAAUAUAUUUAUACGAUUUAAAAUGUAUUAAAAAAUAUAUUUAUAUGGUUUUAAAUUGAAAAUGGUCAAAAUUGAACAAAAUUUGAUAAAUGAUGUUCGAUUCGGAACAAAAAAAACAUAGUGUUAAAAUUGAAAAAAAAUUAAACUUAGUGUCAAAAUCGAAAAAAAUGAAAACUUAGUGUUUUUUGUAGAAAAAAAUUUAAUUUUGACACGUCAACAUAUCAUGUCAGCAUGCCACGUCACUAAAACUGACACGUCAACAUGUAACCCUGAUUGACCACUCAAGUGGUCAGAAUUGUAACAAACUGGAAAACACAAUGUCAAAUUUGAGACAAAAAAACACAAUGUCAAAUUAGAAUUUUGGUGUAAACUGAGUGUCGUUUAUGCUAUUUAUCCUGUUUUUAAGAAUAUGACCAUGGUUGUUGGUGGCUGGUGGUGGAUGGCAAUUGUUUUAGCAGAGAAGGAGGAGGAGGUUGUCAUUAAUAGUUGUUGGUUAUUUUAGUGGUGGUGGGUUUAAUCAGGUGGUGGCAUAAAUGGUGGUAGUUUACUUCGGUGGCAUACUCCGACAAAAAGGAACUGGAUGGAAGAUUGAGUUUUAGAUUGAUAAUAAAUAAUAAAUAUACAAUAUAAAUUAAAAUAAAUACAUAAAUAAUAAAAUUAAUAAAAAAGAAACUAAUAAAGGAAUAAUAGUCUUUUUAGGUAAGACAGAGACCAAACGUGGAACAAAGGUUCUGGAGUAACUUCUUCUACUAACAAGAUCUAACCCAAGGGACCAAAACAAGCUCGUAGCAUAACCUAAAACUAGAUCCAUAUUAAAGAACCAUCAAUAUUGAAGCUUUAUACAUCCAAAAGAAAGAUCAAGGCGAUAAAGGUUUGGAUCUACAAGCUCCAAGACAACCAACACUUCUCCAAUGAGCUCCUUCUUCUCCAAGAUGCACCAAGAUCACUCCAAAACACUCAAAGGCUCAAGAAUCUCACAAAUAGGGUUAGGUCUUCGAGGGAACUACUUUAGAGGGUGGAGGUUGAAGGUAAGAAGGGUUUCCAAGAGGUUAAAGCCUUUAAAUAGGGUCCAAGACCCAAAAAUUAGGGUUUACCGUGCCAUGCGUAUGCCAAGCAUACUCUAGGUACGCCCAGCAUACUAGGGUGAAUCACCGUGAUCAUUUAAGCCAUGUACACCCAAUGUAUACGUUCUACCUUAUUCAUGUCGGAUUAGGUGUCUAAGCGUAUAACUAUAGUUGGUAUAAACUUGAAUUGAUAGUAGCAAUGUCCUUUUGGGUUGCCUUCAAACUUGGCAGUUGAAUAGGAUAACUGUUGGAGAGAGAAGAAUGAUUUAUUAAUUUAUUACUUGGUUAAUAAAUUAAUUUGAAAUCAAUAUAAAUGAUUUAUUAAUGUAUUAUGGAUAUAAUAUGUUAAUUAGAAAUGAUAUUGUUUAAUUAAUAUUUAAUCUAAAAUUUAUUUGGAAUUAAUUUUAGGAUUAAAGGAAUUAAUUGAAACUGCAGGGACUAAAGGUGACAAUGUUCAAAAGUUGAGCAUUGAGCAUUCUAGAACCUCCCUUAGAGGUGGGGAACGAAAUCUAGAGUGUACUAGGGUUUCCUUGGGCUCUAAGGGUGCCUUGGAAGCCUUAGGGAGGAAGUUAAGGGAUUAGGGUUAUCUAAGAUACACCUGCCUUAUCAUAAACCUUUAUUAUCACCUAUAUAAACCCCUAUAGGGUUGGAUUUCGUCCCAUGCACUCCAAGAAAGGCUUAGAGCCAAAUUUUCACUUCCCUUCUCUCUCUCCAUAGUAAUCAUUAGUUGCUAGGUUUGUUUGUGAGCCAUUAGAGGCGCGACACUUGUGGCGCUUGCUACCAAAGUUCAAGAUCUUCAAGGAUUUGAUUGUUAUUACAAUAUAACAAUAAAGGUAUGUAUCCUAACUCUAAUUAUAUGUUAAUUUCAAAAAUUAAAUGUGCCUCAUAGGGUUUCUAGUUUUUGUGUUCAAAGCUUGUAUGUCUAAUAGUGAAAACAUAGAUCCUCAAAUUAGGGUUGCAUGCACACAUAUGAUUGUUUGCUAUGUAUAAAACCCAUCAAUUCAAACUUCUAAAUACCAUAACUUAAGCGUCCCAAAUCUAUUUCGACAUUCUUUAUAUGCUCGGAGAGGUAAUGAAAAACCCUAUAAUCUCAUCAAAUCUCCUUCGGCUUAAAACCUUUCGAACUUAGAUCCUUAAUUCAAGAAAAGGUCUAAAGCAUCGUGUAACAUCCCAAAAAUAGAGGGUAAAAUUUUCAUUUUUAAUAUAUUGAUUCAAACAUACAUUUACAUUUAUCCAAACAUUAAGGUGUUCCAUAUUAAAACAAUUAUUAGAGUAAUUCCCAAAAUCAUAAGUUGUGGAAAAACAUAGGUGUGUGCGCUGCGAUCAAGCCGGGUCAUUCCCUUGCGAACCGGAAGUACAUGAAACCAUAAACCACAAACUGUACGCACAAAGCUUAGUGUGUUCGCCAAAAUACCACAUACCAGGCAUAACUAUGAGCAAACAUAUCAAACAUAUUCAAUCAAUCAGUAAAAGUGUUAUGUGCCAACCAUAGUCUUGACAGUAUGCCACGAGCCGUGUCACACCCCCGAACCAGACGACGGAAACGUCUGGGGGCUUGCACGUGACUUCAUCUUAAAAUAUCAUUACAAUUAAUAUAAAUGAAACAUAACAUCAUCUUCACCAUGCAUAAAAUAAUACAACUGUCAUUGUUUACAUCAAGUACAAGGUUUUUAAAUUAUAUGCCCAAAACAUGCAAUGUAUGAUGUUUAACCGUACACAAAAUAAAUCUCAUAUUCUUGUUGAUUCUUCCGCUUAACGAGUUCCUGAUAAUACAAGUAAUUUUAAAAACGUCAACACAUAUAAUGUUGGUGAGUUCAUAAGUGUAUUUGAAUGAAAAGUUUUGUAUAGUUCGUAAAACACCAGAAAAUCCGAUAUUUUCUACAAUAUAGUUGGAAAAUGGUGUAUCAAAUCAAGUAUUAAUGCAUGUGUGGUUUCCAUUGUUGAAAAUAUGUAUGAAAAGUAACCCGGAGAAUCAUGUAUGUUUCUGUUGUAGGUAGAAGGUAGUGUAUAAAUGUAUUUUUCCCCAGAAAAUCCGAUAUUUUCUGAUUAUAAAAGCAUUAUGGUCUUAAACCCCAAGACCAGGUAUUAGUGUAUGUAACGCCCGUAGACCCGAGCUAGUCAAUUUAGAGAUAAUAGAGGUUGAAAACGACUUUUCGACAAAAGAUUAUUUAGAAUAAAUAAUCUUAACCAAGUUGUAGAAUAUGUCACAAGGUUUCCAUACAUAUAAAGAACGCCGAAAUCCAAGUUAUAGCAAAGAAGUUAUGACCCGUCGAAGUUUUACGGCAAAAUCGACACGGCACCGGGAAGCGUAAAUAGUGAAUUUACGAUACAGGGAGUUUUAGCCUUAGCGAUCUAAAUGUAAGUCGUAGAAUACGUUAAACCGAGAGCGUCCAUAAAAAGAACACCCAAAUCUGACUUCGUAUGAAGAAGUUAUGAUUUUUCGAAGUUUCGGCUUAGCAGUGUACAACCCGAAAUUCGAAUAUUAGAUCGAGCAGUUUUUGGCCGACACAACCUAAACGAGAAUCCAAGAUCUCGUUAAUAGUAGCAUAACGAUAAAAAGACAGACGAAAAAGGACGUCGGAUGAAGAAAGACCAAUCGUGUCCCGGUUUGUUAAUAAUAUUAAUUUUAAAAUAAAGUCAAAAUUAGCCGACGGAGUCUAAACGAAAGUUGUAGAAUACGUUCCCACCUUCGCGUGGAUAUAAAGAACUUCGAAAACGGAGCGUGUACGCGAAAGUUACGAAUUUUUAAAGUUUGUACUCGAUUUUGCGAGAUCUGAUACGAAGUCGCUGACGUGGUGCUUUCCCAGCCGUCCGAUGAUAAUCGCUGAAGUCGCCUCAGAUUGUGACACGUAGCCCCCUCGCUACGCCCUGCAUCCGGUCUCGUACGCGCCGCGUUUGCAUCGCCCUGCUCGGUCCAGGAGAAGCCACGUCGCACCACCGAGCCUUCGCCACCUGGUCUUCUUAUCCGAAGUUAUGCCCCGCGUAACCUUCUGAACGCCCCGCGUAGUGCGAAGCCUCGCACCUAUAAAAGGGGUGCAAGGGUAGCCGGUUUUUCACACCAAAAUCUUCUUCUCUCUCUAGUUUCUUUCUCUCUCUAAGAUCCCAAACCACCCCUAAACCCUAGGAAAAAUCCUUAGCACCCUAAGGAAGCCCCGAGGCUCCCGGAGUCCCGAGAAAAAGGGUCUUUCGGUUUCGAAAUGCUGCUCCGAGCAAAGCCCGAUUUUCUUUAAAAUCCGCUGUAAGUGAGUUACGUUUAUGCAAUUUUUAAUAUAGUUUUCAAAUAAUUAUAGUAAUGUUAUUAGGUCCUUAAAAUAAUUAUUUGGGCUAUUAUUAUGAGUUAUAUAAGUAUCGUUUAACGCUUAUAUAAUAGUAAUAAUAGUCAGACUAUUAAUUUGUCGCGGUUAUCGUUAGACUAAACCCUAGUGGUAUUAAUACUAGGUUUUAUCGAAGGAAAAUUGUUUUGAGAGUAUCGAAGCGUUGUCCGAGUGCUAAGUCACCACCUUUCAAGUGAGUGCAUGGUCUCUUUCAUCUUACACAUAGAUAUGAAGUAUUUUAUAUAAACUACGUGCUAGGUGUGCAUAUUAUCUGAAUACUUAUUGUCUAUGCUGGAUGAACGUUUUUAUACAUGUUUUAAAUGAUUUGAACAGUAUACGUAUUUUAUAUAUACAAGUAUGUUGGAUAUGACAUGGGUAGAUGAAUGAUGAGAGAUAAAAGAUGAUGUGAGUAAACAUUGGCAGCUAUAGACUUAGUGCCUAACAAAUAACAUCGGCGGCUAUGGACUUAGUGCCUAUUGGACAAACACUGGUAGCUAUGGACUUAGUACUUGUUAGGAAUUGGUAGCUAUGGACUUAGUACCUAUUAGAUAAAGACUGGUAGCUAUGGAUUUAGUACCCNAAAUAGCUGAUUCUUAGGGUAGAUCCUUAAGAAUAAAGAAGAUAAUGGGGAUGGGUAAUUGGGUUGAUUGUUUGAUUGUUUAAACAUAAUAAUUAUAUUAUUGUGGGUUGAAAACCCUAUAUACUCACCAGGUUUCUCAACCUGACCCACUCAGUUUAUUUAUAUCACAGGUGUUAAUAUGAAGUCUCAUUACACUGAGAGAUUAAAGAGAUGUAGAUAAAUGUAAGUUCUGUUUAUGCUUAUGUUUUUGUAUUGACGAUGACAUCCCACACGUUUUAAAAUGAAUAAAAUACGUUUCUUCGAAAAUGUUUUGAUAAUGUAUUUAUCGUGUUUUUCUGGGAACAAAUUCCGCAACAUUUUUUAUGAAAAGUACUCUGAUUUUUAUAAAGCAUAAACAAAAUCGGUCUUUUCUGGCCAUGGAAAAAAAUGGGGAUGUCACAGUUGGUAUCAGAGCAUUAGUUUAAGCGAACUUGGAAUAUAGAUUUAUUUCUAGACUUAAUCUUAGAAUGCUAAGCAAUGAUCGUGUGGAGUGUGUCUAAUAGAUUUAGGUAAUACACCUAAGCAGACACAAGCACUAGCUUAUUUUAGGAAUGAUGCCUAAAUUGCAAUGAUCGUGUGGAGUGUGUCUAAUAGAUUUAGGUAAUACACCUAAGCAGACACAAGCACUAGCUUAUUUUAGGAAUGAUGCCUAAAUUGCUUUUACGCGCUAAAUGAUUUGUUAUGCUUGAUGCUAUAGUUUGAUCGGAUCUAUGGUCUUGUAGCACCUGGUUCCUGGUAUGUAAAUCUUAUUGAGAAUUUUCCUUCUUUUUAGCCUUGGACGCGGCGAGUCAUAGGUCCGAAUCGCGGAGUAAGGACGGGACCCAGGACAUGUUUAAGUUGGCGACUCGGCGAGUCCAUAUUCCGGACUCGGCGAGUCACCGCUGUUGGAUGAAACCCUAUUUUUCAGGGGUUUCACCCUAUUUAAACGAUGUUUUGUGCCUCAUAUCAGCCCCCAUUGCGUCAAGAACACUCCCUCUCGAAGCUNNNNNNNNNNNNNNNNNNNNNNNNNNNNNNNNNNNNNNNNNNNNNNNNNNNNNNNNNNNNNNNNNNNNNNNNNNNNNNNNNNNNNNNNNNNNNNNNNNNNNNNNNNNNNNNNNNNNNNNNNNNNNNNNNNNNNNNNNNNNNNNNNNNNNNNNNNNNNNNNNNNNNNNNNNNNNNNNNNNNNNNNNNNNNNNNNNNNNNNNNNNNNNNNNNNNNNNNNNNNNNNNNAAGGGCUCGGAUCUGUAGUGUUUAUGGACCCCCAUUGCUUGAAGACCUUGGAUCUACCAUUUUAANNNNNNNNNNNNNNNNNNNNNNNNNNNNNNNNNNNNNNNNNNNNNNNNNNNNNNNNNNNNNNNNNNNNNNNNNNNNNNNNNNNNNNNNNNNNNNNNNNNNCUUCGUGCUAUGUGGGACUCUGAAUAAUGGGAAUUAGCCACUAGACGAAUACGUCAUGUCACAUGUGAUCAGGGUUGAAUAAUCUUAAAGUACCGGAUUCGAUCCUACUGCGCAACUCUUGUUUGAGUCCAACCGUUGUAGGGACGAGUCGGGUACUCGAAGGAUUAUCUGAGCCUCGUCACGUGUGAUGGUAUUCGAGUGAUGGCUAAUUGGCAUUACAAGGAGGUCUGCAGCAGCUGAGGACUGGAUCGAGUAGAGUCGGAGAUUUCCCUAGGGCGAGCCUAGGAUGAGUAUAGCAGUGAUCAGCAGUAGUGAAAGGGAUCUGGUGGAGUCGAGGCAUUCCUUGAAGAAGGUACGGAUAGAUGUGGAAGGUAGUAUGGGCCUGUACUACUGAAAGCAGAGGAUCCGUACCCAAACCAAGGAAGGCCAAGAUAAGACCAGGGAACUUGUAAGUAGUUGUGAUCCCUCAGGAAGUAUCAGUAUCUCUAAUGUUUGUUGUGAUGUAUCGAGAAUGGUGGUACUUUGAUCGAGGCCGGUAGAGAGGGGUCAGGUUCGGGAUCAGGUUCCGAGCCGGUAGAUGAGGGACUAUGCGAGUUCAUCGCGUCAGAGAUCACCAGAGGCAUCCUUGAGUCGACCCCCAUCCUCUUUGGGUCGAUCAAGGAAGGGAUCAUGGAGUUGAUGGAGGAUCGCCUUCGGGCAUUCAGGAGUGAUAUGGCAUCUAGCCAGUCGGGAUCUCGCACACUGUCCUUCAAGGACUUCAGGGGCAGUGGUGCGCCGGAUUUCCAUGGGGUGAAAGACCCCAUUGCUGCCAGGCGAUGGAUUGCAGACAUCGAGUCUGCACAGUUGACUAGCUUCUGCCCCGAGGGGUCGAAGGUGAGGUAUGCAGCAGGGUGUUUACGGGACCGAGCCCGGGAUUGGUGGGAGUCAGUGGGUGACUCGUUGGGAGCCUCAGCUAUCGAGGCUAUGACCUGGUCGGACUUUGUGACCAGGUUCAGGGCAGAGUUUGCGCCGGCUNAGGGAGUUUCUAGACAUGAGACAGACGACAGAGACUGUGGUGGAGAUCACCGCCAAGUUCCGGGAGAGGGCUUUGUUGGUGCUACAGUAUGUUGGUGACGAGGAUAUGAGGAGGACCAUGGCUCCAGUGGUGAGGAGUCGAGCAUUUCAGCUGACUACUGAGGAUGCACGCGCCGCACCUGAUGUGGUGACGGGAUCGUUCCAUGUGAACGGCCUUCCAGUUUAGGUGUUGUUCGACUCGGGUGCGUCCCGAUCAUUUGUUUGUCUUGCGCUUAAGAAGAAGUUUCAUGAGUCAUCGGGCGAGUUAGACUGCCCUUUGGAGNNNNNNNNNNNNNNNNNNNNNNNNNNNNNNNNNNNNNNNNNNNNNNNNNNNNNNNNNNNNNNNNNNNNNNNNNNNNNNNNNNNNNNNNNNNNNNNNNNNNUUUUAAAACGAAAUUUUUGGACGUGAAAAUUGGGUCGUUACAGGUCUGUUGUCGACCGGAUCUGGAAACCUUAUGAGUUUAGGAUUCUAAACGUACGAAUACGAUAUUAGAACUAGCAUAUAAAUGUUUCGNGGACGAUUUAAAACGUCAAUCCUAAAUUAAGAUCUAGAUUCACCUUAUUCGGUGUAUAGAUCAAAAUGGCAAGAACCAGCAGUAGAGCUGGGAAUACAAAUGGGAAUAGGAAUCAACCCCCGGUGAUUCAACAAAUACCUGUUAUAGUAGAAGAUGUACCCGGGCCAAUCACCACGGCUGGAGUACAAGCCAUGAUUCGGGCUAUGUUAGCUGAACAAAGGGAAGAAAUGAGGCAGAUUUUGAAUAGGGACGAACCUACUAUGCCCAUUGAGCAAACCGAACUGAUUCUCGAGCAAUCGGAGGAAGGGAACUACAGCCGCCAAGUGAGUUAAGUGGGGACUCAAGGUGAACGAAGGGAUGGCCCGGAGAGGAGAAACGACAAGGAUGGGCGAAUGUAGAAGAAUUUCUUGGGUGCGAAACCACCAAGUCUCUCAGGAAGCCCGAAGUCGGUUGAGAUUAUGCAUUGGAUCUCUGAGAUGGAGAUGGUGUUUGAGAGAUGCAGUUGUAGCGAGAAACAGAAGACUGUCUUCGCAGUAAGACAGCUAAAAACUGGAGUCUUGAGCUGGUGGAAGCUAUUGGCAGAUACGAUGCCACGAGGAGAAGCCUUAAGGAUGUCAUGGGAGAGUUCUUGGAACAGUUAAAAAUGCAGUACUACAUAGAGAUAGAUCUGAUAGACCUAAACAACGAGUUUCAGAACCUAAAGAAAGGGAAGACGAGUGUUGAUGAGUAUGCCACCGCAUUCACCGAGAGGAUGAAGCUAUUUCCCUACUUGGUUCCUACUGAACUCUCCAAGAUUGAUAGGUUUGCUAACGGACUGCCCACAGACUUUGGCCCAUUGGUCAAAAUGGCAACUACUUUGAAAACAAUCGUUAGAGAAGCUAAGAACGUAGAGACCCAGAUAAGAGAAAAAGGUCUAGAAAGAGAUAAGGCAGGAGAGAAGCGGAAGUUUGAAGGAUCUUCAAGGUCCAUCAAGGAGAGCAAAUUCUCAAAGCUUGGAGGAGGAGAAGGAGGUGAAGUGAGAUGGUGUGAUAAAUGCAAGAAGAAGCAUUGUGGGAAGUGCAACGAAGAAGUGACUUGUUACAAGUGUGGAAGGACUGGUCACUAUUCCAAGGAUUGUACACAUAAUGAUAAGGUAUGCUACGGAUGUGGAGGCAAGGGGCACCUGUCUAGAAAUUUCCCGACGAAAAACGAAGCAGCAAAGCCAAACACACCACCAAGGCCAAGGGCAUUCCACAUGAUCCUCGACGAAGCGGAAAACAAAGCAAGGAACCAAGGAUGAGGAAUCCAUACCCGAAGAUCGAGUUAUGAGGUAGCCUAAGAGAUAGAACAAUAUGAUGUAGCCUAUUAGAGGCACAGUCUAGGGUGAACUUGAACACCUAUGUAAUAGUUUCAAGAAAUAAUGAAGCCUUCAUUUCAUUAUCUGAUGUGUUAACUGUUAUGUGAUUUUCUUGUAUGGUGACUUGGAAAACUGUGAGACAAUACUUGGGACGAGUAUGAGUAGGUGUGAAAGGUAGUAGAUGCAUAUACUACCGGAAGCACAGGACUCACGCUUGGAUCAGGGAAAGUCACAAGGUUACCAAGAAGCUAGUAAUUGAUACCGUUUUAUUCAAAUAUGUCGUUACCAUUGUUUCGGUAAAGACUAAGAAGAUGAUUGUUAUUCUGACCCUAGUGGUCAUAUCGAAUUGAGUCCGAAUACAAUAAGUAUGUUACGUGGUUCAGAGAACCAAGUUCGAUGUAACAUCUGACUUAAGUCAUAGGAUUGAAGUAAAAGAUAAUCGAAGUGAUCGGUAGAGGUAUCGUGACGGUUGCUUGUAGCUAGAAAUGGUACCUUUUAAAAUGUGAUUAUCUCACAUUAGAACAUGAAGGAAGGUAUAGUCUGUUUUGGAAUUUAACUCUAAGAGACCUGAGUCUAAACGUGCAUCACAUGAUGGUAGGUCAUAAUUUGGAGUCUAACAUGCGAGAGAGAGCAUGUGCACGGUCAAGUACUACUUACAGACAAUAAGUCUAAGAGAUAGUCUUGAAGGAAUAUAGAUAUUAUAAUUAUUACCUAGGAUGAAGAGAUGACGUAUGGAGUCAUUAUACGAGCCCUGUUCGGUUGAUGAUUUCGGGACGUAAUCAUCCUAUGGGGAGAUAAUUGUAAUGCCCGUAGAUCCGGGUUAGUCAAUUUAGAGAUAAUAGGGGUUGAAAACGAAUUUUCGACAAAAGAUUAUUUAGAAUAAAUAAUCUUAACCAAGUUGUAGAAUAUGUCACAAGGUUUUCGUUCAUAUAAAAAAACGCCGAAAUCCGAGUUAUAACAAAGAAGUUAUGACCCGUCGAAGUUUUACGACAAAACCGACACGACACCGGGAAGCGUAAAUAGUGAAUUUAUGAUAGAGGGAGUUUUAGCCUUAGCGAUCUAAACGUAAGUCAUAGAAUACAUUAAACCGAGAGCGUCCAUAAAAAGAACGCCCAAAUCUGACUUCGUAUGAAGAAGUUAUGAUUUUUCGAAGUUUCGGCUUAGCAGUGUACAACCCGAAAUUCGAAUAUUAGAUCGAUCAGUUUUUGGCUGACACAACCUAAACGAGAAUCGAAGAUCUCGUUAAUAGUAGCAUAACAAUAAAAAGACAGACGAAAAAGGACGUCGGAUGAAGAAGUUAUGAAUUUUUAACGGACCAAUCGUGUCUCGGUCUGUUAAUAAUAUAACUUUUAAAAUAAAGUCCAAAUUAGCCGAUGGAGUCUAAACGAAAGUUGUAGAAUACGUUCCCACCUUCGCGUGGAUAUAAAGAACGUCGAAAACGGAGCUCGUACGCGAAAGUUACGAAUUUUUAAAGUUUGUACUCGAUUUUGCGAGAUCUGAUACGAAGUCGCUGACGUGGCGCUUUCCAAGCCGUUCGAUGAUAAUCGUCGAAGCCGCCUCGGAUCGUGACACGUAGCCCCCUCUCUAAGCCCAGCGUCCGGUCUCGUACGCACCGCGUUCGCAUAGCGCUGCUCGGUCCAGGAGAAGCCACGUCGCACCACCGAGCCUUCGCCACCUAGUCUUCUUAUCCGAAGUUACGCCCCGCGUAGUGCCAAGCUUCGCACCUAUAAAAGGGGUGCGAGGGCAGCCGGUUUUUCACACCAAAAUCUUCUUCUCUCUCUAAUUUAUUUCUCUCUCUAAGAUCCCAAACCACCCCUAAACCCUAGGAAAAAUCCUUAGCACCCUAAGGAAGCCCCGAGGCUCCCGGAGUCCCGACAAAAAGGGUCUUUCGGUUUCGAAAUGCUGCUCCGCGCAAAGCCUGGUUUUCUUUAAACUCCGCUGUAAGUGAGCUACACUUAUGCAAUUUUUAAUAUAGCUUUCAAAUAAUUAUAGUAAUGUUAUUAGGUCCUUAAAAUAAUUAUUUUGGCUAUUAUUAUGAGUUAUAUAAGUAUCGUUUAACGCUUAUAUAAUAGUAAUAAUAGUCAGACUAUUAAUUUGUCGCGGUUAUCGUUAGACUAAACCCUAGUGGUAUUAAUACUAGGUUUUAUCGAAGGAAAAUUGUUUUGAGAGUAUCGAAGCGUUGUCCGAGUGCUAAGUCACCACCUUUCAAGUGAGUGCAUGGUCUCUUUCAUCUUACACAUAGAUAUGAAGUAUUUUAUAUAAACUACGUGUUAUGUGUGCAUAUUAUUUGAAUACUUGCUGUCUAUGCUGGAUGAACGUUUUUAUACAUGUUUUAAAUGAUUUGAACUCUAUACGUAUAUUAUAUAUACAAGUAUGUUGGAUAUGACAUGGGUAGAUGAAUGAUGAGAGAUAAAAGAUGAUGUGAGUAAACAUUGGCAACUAUAGACUUAGUGAACGACCCAAAGAUCAAACAACUUAUCAAACAAUGACUGUAAAUAAGAACAAUAAAGAUUCACAAAGAAAACUAUAACUAAGAAUGAUAAUCUCACCAAGAGAUUAUCGUAUGCACAAAGCGGCUAUUAGGGUUUGUGAAAGGCGUGCCUAUCACAAACCGGUACAAACGAAUAUAUACAACUAUUCUAGGCAAUCCCUACAAAUCAGGGAUAUACCAGCUAACUAAUAGAUGAUAACGAUGGAAACUAGAUAAGUACUAAAUCUGUUACAAAAUGUUGAAUAUAAAACUAUACACUGAACAACUGGUACGUUGACGCUGAUGCUGACACUGAGUUAUGUGCUGACGCUGAGUGACCAGUUUCAAACAUCAUCAUAUUAUAACGUUCGACCUUACAAUCUCCCCCAAUAUGAUGAUGUUCAAAACCAGCUAGACUAGAACACCUCUGGAAAAAAAUUCUUCAUACUCAGCUUCAGCUUCUACUUUCACUGGCCAGUAAGGACUAUCCAGCAGCUCCUGUCUUCUAUUCAGUAACUCCAUAGCAAUUAGUAUAUGAAACACUCCAGAAAGAUCUUGAUGACUCAUUCACAUUUGUCUUAAGCCAACAAGAUGAUUUGUUGGAGCCCUUGGAAUCUCUGCAGUUCGCUGAAAACACAUUUUUAUGUUCUUGUCAAGAUAAAACAUUCCAUGUUCAGGAACAGAAAUGAACUGAUGUUGAACCGGAUCAACACCAAUGGGAAGAGAGUUGUUUAAUUCUUCAGCACCAAAAUUUAGAACCAACACAUCUUCACCAUCAACCUAAAAUCUGGUUCUUCUGUUUCUUGGAAUUGAGGAACUUGAACCUUGCUGCUGAGAACGCUCUUUAGGAACGAGAUCAAGACGCUGAACUUUCUUAAUCAGUGAAUGAAGAGCACAAGUCAAUUCUAAAGAAAGAGCUGAAGUUUGCUUGGAUGCCAACUCGAGCAAUUCCAUCCAUUCAGAGAGUCCAUAUCUGAUCAGCUCGUCUCUCUUGACAACUUCAGUGUACGGAUGUUCCCCUCAGAACCAUGCUCAAUAGAAUCAGUUUCUCCUCCUUUUUGAGCAUCAUCAUCAUUUGGGCCAGGGGAAGGAGUUGACAGAAGAACUCCCUUCAGUUGGUUGACAUCAGCCUCAAUACGUAGAAGACGCUGACUCAUGUCUCGAGUCAGUGUAAGAAGCUCAUUAAACGCUGAGGUCGGGAUUUGAAUGAGCUGAGAACCUGUAAUUUCUUAUGAUCGAUGCUGCUCCCCCUAAGAAGGGUGCUCCCCUUGAGAUGGUUGCUCCCCCUGAGCAGAUGGCUCCCCAUGAGCUGAACGAAUCCUUUCAGUGACAGAAAUGGUAUGGUGAGAAAGUUAAGGAGAGAUAUGACCACCUUCUCGACUAGGAUCAGCUUGUAUUUCAGCAUUAGUGUCGUUGAUAUCAGCAGCUCCUUCAUUAGUGUCAGCGUUUAGUGAAGGAACAGUAUAUGGAUUCGCAAUCUAUUCUCGCAUCCGGUCAGAGAUGCCGAUGUCAUUUGCCAGAGGAUCAUCCCGAUACAUCCGUACUGACAUGCGUGGGCACUGGAUGGCGUUUCCAGAGUGGGAGUAGUAGGCUUCAGCGAAAAAUUUAUCCAGGACAAGAGCAAUCCAUCGUGGAAAUGGAACAUGAUUAGCUCGUACAUUGGCACGAAGAAGUUGGACAAGAUGAUCAAAGAAGAAGGCCCCAUAAUCAAGACGUUUGUUGAGAAGAAGGGAGCAUACAACUUGUUGCUCAAAGGCACUCAGUUGAUCACCACUACGAGAUUUGUGACCCACACAUUUGCAAAGUGUCCCGGUGAAGAACUUCCAUCCUGGAGUCAUACAUUGACGCAGAAUGAGAGCUGGUCGAGCACCAGCCUUAGAGUGAUCAUAGCCCAGUUGAUCAAAAGGCAUCGACAGCGUUCAAUAGUUGGAAGCUUAGAGAAUGGUUCAAAAAUUGGUAACCUGAGUGCAGCACUGAGGAGAUCAGCGGUGAUGAAAACUGAGCGACGGCCACGCCCAAUAGUGUCGAAGAUGAAGUUGUUUUCAUUAUUAACCGUUGCGGUGUAGUAGAACUCACAUACUUGUUCGGGAAAGAACUCUGAUGGAACCUCACUGAUAGCGUAUCAAAGUCGGCAGGAUACUAGAAAAUUGACAAAAUCAUCAAGUCCAAGACCGCGAUGAACAUCUGGUAUAUCAGGGUUUAAAACGACAUUUGUGGCUUUGAUAUAUAUGGGAAGAGGAGGAGAGUUUGGAGCUGGGAUGACUCUUCGUGAAGUGGAGGAGAAGGUAAAUAGUGAUGCCGCCAUUGAAGAAAGUUCGGAUUUUAGGGUUUGGAAGAGAAAAGAAGGAAAUUUGAAUUAUGGGAGGAAGGUUUGGGAGAGAGGUGGGAAAGAAGUUUAAAUAUGGGAUGAAACGGUUUUAAAAGGUAAUGAUUAUCUUUUUUGAAAAUAACUGCGUAUCGUAACAAACUAUCAAAUCAAAAAAUAGUCGUUGGGUAAAAAGAGUCGUUGUACUGAAGACGAAACGACAAUCAGUGUCUGCGGAAGCGCUGAGAUCAGUGUCACUAAAAGUUACAUGCUGAAAGAUAGUCUGUCGUCAAUUCAAGGUACAACUUGCUUGUUUAAGGUUAGCAAGGUGGUUGGUGCGUGUGAUAGAUGUUGGUUUAAUUAUCUAACCAUCGGCACAGAGUGUUGAGUCUUUAUCAGUGAGUGGUGCUUCUUACUGAAUCAUUAGACACUGAGUGAGAAGAAGGUGAAGAGAGGAUUGUUGCGUGUGAUAGACCUUGGUGUUUUGGUCUAACCAUCGGCAAAGACUGUUAGACUCUCAUCAGCAUGUGUUUUGUCACACUGAAUCACAGAAUCAGUGUAAGAUUGGUAAGAAGGGAUUGUUGCGUGUGAUAGACCUUGGUGUUUUGGUCUAACCAUCGGCAAAGACUGUUAGACUCUCAUCAGCAUGUGUUUUGUCACACUGAAUCACAGAAUCAUUGUAAGAUUGGCAAGAAAGGAUAGUUGUGUGUGAUAGAUCUUGGUGUUUUGUCUAACCAUUGGCAAAGAGUUUCAAGUUGUUAUCAGUGUAUGGUUUAAUACAGUAAAUCAUUCAACUUUAGUUUAGAAGAUUUGUAGAAGAGAUAGAGAUAAAAGAUCAUACAAUGUACUCAGAAUGGUAAACAUCAUCAUCAGCAAAAAAAUACAUUAGUUUAUAAGACAAUAGCAAACAUUAGUAAAACAUUUUUUAAUCCAGAGUGAUCAUUCCAAGUUCUCCAAUAAUGUGAGCAAUAGUUUGAGUAUCUAGGGCCUUGGUGAAAAUAUCAACUAGUUGAUCUGAAGUCUUGACAUGUUCUAGAACAACCUUGCCCUUCUCAACAUUGUCUCCGAUGAAAUGAUGUCUGGUCUCGAUAUGCUUUGUCUUUGAGUGCUGAACAGGAUUUUGUGUGAUCUGAAUGGCACUGGUGUUAUCAUAGUAUAUAGGAGUCUUUGUGAAUUUAAGCCCAUAGUCUAGAAGCUGAUUCUGAAUCCAUAAGAGUUGGGCACAACAUCUUCCAGCUGCAACAUACUCAGCUUCUGCAGUCGAGAUAGCUACUGAUGUUUGCUUCUUGCUAGACCAGCUGAUAAGUCGAUUUCCAAGGAAAUGACAUCCGCCUGACGUGCUCUUCUUGUCUAAGUUGCAUCCUGCAUAGUCGGAAUCAGUGUAUCCAAAAAGUUCAAAUGCUGAGUCACAAGGAUACCACAGUGCCAAGUUCUGAGUGCCCUUUAAGUAUCGAAAAAUGCGUUUGACUGCAAUGAGAUGAGACUCCUUGGGAUUAGCUUGGAAUCUAGCACAGAGAAUGGUUCCAAACAUGAUAUCAGGACGACUUGCAGUGAGGUAGAGAAGGGAUCCAAUCAUUCCUCGAUAAAGAGAGUGAUUAACAUCAGCGCCGGUUGGAUCAGCAUGUAGCUUAUCAGUCUUGGACACCGGAGUAGAAGCCGGUUUGCAGUCGCUGAGAGAAUACUUAACUAGCAUGUCAGCAAUGUAUUUACUUUGACAAAUUGAAAUACCUGAUUUUUGUUGCUGAACCUCAAGACCUAAGAAGAAAGUCAUCUUCCCCAUCAUACUCAUUUCAAACCUUUGAGACAUGAUCUCAGCGAAUUCCUUGCUCAGCUUCUCAUUUGGAGAGCCAAAGAUGAUAUCAUCGACAUAGAUUUGAACAAGAAUCAUGUCUGAGCCUUUGUUUUUGAUGAAGAGUGUAUUAUCAAUUGCUCCUCUUCUGUGGUCAUUUUCAAGAAGAUAUGAUGUCAGUGUCUCAUACCAGGCCCUGUGAGCUUGCUUCAGUCCAUAUACAGCUUUAUCUAGUCUGUACACAUAGUCAGGGUGCUCUUUGUCUUCAAAGCCUGGGGGUUGUUUGAGAAAUACUUCUUCUUCUAACACACCAUGAAGAAAUGCUGUUUUGACAUCCAUCUGGUAGACAAUGAAGUUCAUGUAUGAGGCAUAUACGAUAAACAGUCUGAUUGCUUCAAUACGGGCAACUGGAGAAAAAGUCUCCCCGUAGUCAAUAGAUUCAAUUUGAGUGAACCUCUGAGCAACAAGUCUUGCUUUGUUGCGAGUAAUAAUACCAUCUUUAUCAACCUUGUUGUGGUAGACCCGGCGUGUUCUGGUGAUGGUCUUUCCUGAUGGUCUGGGAACAAGAGUCUAAACCUUGUGCCUUUCGAACUCAUUCAGCUCGUCUUGCAUGGCUUUAAUCCAGUCAGCGUCUUGAAGAGCUGAGUGUAUCUUUUCAGGUAAGAUCAUUGAAACGAAAUUAACAUACAUGCAAAAAUUAUUAGAUACACGAGAUCUGGUUCGGACACCAUCAUGAAGAUUCCCAGUAAUUUGAUCAACAGGGUGAUCUCGAUGUUCAGGAGCUGAUUCCAAUGGAUUUGACACUGAAGUGUUAUUACUGAAAGGAACAUCAGUUGCAGGAGAAUCUUUAGCUUCAAGGGUUUCAUCAGCAUUGGACAAAUGAGUUGUCGAGCUGACCGUAGUACAUGGAUUUACAGAACUUGGGUCUGAAACGAUAGGAUCAGGAAUAAUAGCUUCUUCUUCAGUAUGAGAAACUUCAUCAUAUGGGAAAGAGAGAAGCUCUUGAAAGAUACAAGAGGAAUGAGCUACUUUUUCAUCAGUGUAUGAUUCUUCAUCAAACUUUACAAGAAUGGAUUCCUCAAUGCACUGCCUGUUCACAUGAUAAACACGAAAAGCCUUUGAAAUAGAUGAAUAUCCAACAAAAAUACCUUUGUCAGCCUUAGGCUCAAAUUUUGAUCUGCGAUCGCGCUGAUUGAGAAUGUAGCAAACACAUCCAAACACGUGAAAGAAGGAUACGUCUGGCUUUCGACCUUUCAGCAUCUCAUAUGGUGUCUUCUUGUGAACCUUGUGAAUUAGAGAGCGAUUCUGAGUAUAACAUGCUUUAUUAACAGCUUCAGCCCAAAACGACAUAGGAAGACCAACAUGUAUCAUCAAGGUUCUUCUUACCUCAAUCAGUGUUCGAUUUCUUCGUUCAGCAACUCCGUUUUGUUGAGGUGUGCGAGGAGCUGAAAAUUUCUGCCCAAUGCCUUUAAAAUCACAAAAGUCUUCAAGAUUUGAAUUCCGGAACUCAGUGCCAUGAUCACUCCUUAGCUGCUUAACUUUAAGACCAGUCAGUGUCUCGUUUUGACGAAUUAGGGAGAUAAUUUCCUGUGCAGCAUGACCUUUCUUCUUCAAGAAAAUCACCCAUGUAAAUCGAGUAAACUCAUCCACAACUACCAGAGUAUACUUGUUUCCUCCUAGGGAACGAACAGGAAUAUGUCCAAACAAGUCCAUGUGAAGUAAAUGAAGAGGAACGGAUAUGCUAGAACAUGACUUGGGUUUGAAUGAUGACUUGGUUUGCUUUCCUUGUUCACACGCUGAGCACACCUUAUCUUUGACAAAACUGAAUUUUGGGAGACCUCUAACCAGAUCUUGAUUGGAUAUUUUUGACAGAUUCUUAAAGUUCAAAUGUGAGAACCUUUUGUGCCAAAUCCAGCUGAGCUUGGUUUGAGAUUUGGUAAAGAAACAUUGCAUCAGUGCUUUGUCACUUGAGAACAUGUCGAGAACAUAUAUAUCAUCUUUUCUGCUUGCUGAUAGUGCAAUGUUCUUGUCAGUGUUGAUGACUCUUCCCUCCUUCUAUGUAAAAUGAACUUCAUAAUCAGCAUCACACAAUUGGCUGAUUGAGAUAAGGUUGUGUUUGAGCCCCUUUACAUAUGAAACAUUUUGAAACACCACAUUGUUGCACUUGAAGUUCCCAUAUCCUUUAGUAAACCCCUUUCCAUUGUCUCUGUAUGUAACUGCAGGACCACUUUUCUUGACAUAGUCUUCCAGGAGAGACUUGGAUCAUGUCAUAUGUCUUGAGCAACCACUGUCUAAGUACCAAAGAUGCUCUUGACCCUGCAGUGCUGAGAAACUAGUUAGAACACACUGACCCAUUGUAAAAUGGGUCAUUCACAAAGUUAUUCGACAAUAAAUUAUAACACUCUUUAGGAAGACAGUUCAAAGAAUUUGAUUUAAGAGUCCAUUUUUCAUUUCUAACUUUGAUGUUGUCAGCUCUUAAAGAUGUUUUAUCANUGUGCAUUCACUGAUCUUCUGAGAAGUAUCACCACAUCUGUAACAAACUCUAGUACCAAAGUUUUUCUUGGUGAGCAGAUUUCUAGAUCUAACACAUUUGGAUUUGUAAGAUCCACCAAGUGAACUUUGAGUCCUUUUGUUUGACAUUGAAUCGCAACUGAAUUCAGUGUCAGAUGGAUUAUGAUCAGUGAUGGAUGAGGAGCUGACAUCAAUAUUAGAUUUGGACUUAUUCACUGAAGCACUACAAUCAGGGUAAUGCUUAAGUUGUUCAUGAACAGCAUGAAACACUCCAUUUGAGAUAGGAAAGGCAAUAAUAUUUUUAGUGAGAAGAGUUGGUCUCACAAGAUGUGCAGGGUAAGAGGUAGGAUCAGUUCCGGUAAUUUCAAUAUCACAUUCAGUAACACCAUUAGAAUUAGUAACACAGUAUUCAUCAAUUAGACUCUGAUUAAUAAAAGUGUUACUGAUAAACUUGUAUUUGAAAUUAUCUUUCAACUCAUUCAUGGAAUAAAAUUCAGAUUCUUUUUCUUGAGAUUUAAAAACCUUUUCAGCUUCAGCAAAAUUUCCCCCAAGAAUUUUCUCACAUGAAUGAGGUAUUUGAGCAGCAAUGACAUAAUUAGCAUUUUUGUGAGAUUUAGCCCAAAUUUGUAGUACAGUUUGUUCUUUGUUCAAGAGAUCUUUAACAUUAUCAAUUUCAAUAGACAGAGAGGAGUUUGAUAAACUAGUGACUCUUAGAUUUUCCUGAGUAGUAUCAAUAAUGUUAUUUUUCAGGGAUAAUUCAGUUUUAAGAAGAUCAAUUUGAUUUUGCAAAUCCCUUAUUGUUUGAUUCUUCUUAGAAUUAAGAACACCCAAAUACUCAAACAUUUUGAUUUUUUCAUUCAUUGAAUAGGAAACAAAAUUUUGAACCUGAUACAUUGAAGGAGAAUCAGUGUUGUGCUUCCUGGAAUUUUCAACUGCAUCAGACAUAUCAGCAUCAAACGAACUUGUGCUGACUUCACAUUCAUCAGCAUCUUCUGUCUUAGCCAUCAGACAUUUAACUUCAUCAUCUGAUGACUCCUCAUCAGUCUUCCAUUUUUCUUCUUCAGCGACAAGAACUUUAUGUUCCAAGUUCUCUGCUUUCAGCUUUUCAACCAACUUGUUGUACUUCUGCUUCCAGUAUUCGUCCGAGCUUUGGGUUCUUUGCUUGCAUUCUUUUGCAAAAUGAUCAGUGCUACCACAGUUAAAGCACUGAGCUUUCCCUUUCUUUUCAGUAGCAUGUUUCUUGUCAGCAUCUGAUUUUUUAGAAGAUUUCCCUUUCAUCUUCUUCUGAAACUUUGAGAAAUUACGGCCUGAUUUCUCAAAAGUCUUCACAAUGAAAGCCGCACUAGCAACAACCUUUUCCAGAUCAUCAGUAUCACUUUUAGAAGAAUCAGUGUCUGAAUGGUUUUCAGUGUCUGACUCAGACUCUUGCCUUUUGUUUGAAAACAGUGACACUGAUGACUCACGCUGAGCAUCCUUCAUUAGCUCCUUUCUCUGGAGCUUUGAUUCCUCAUAGUAUCGAAGGUUUCCAUAAAGACUUUGUAAAUCCAUUGUGCUGAUCUUCUCACUAUUCUUCAACACAUCAACAUGAUUCUCCCAACCUGCACCCAAAGAAUCCAAAAACAUCUGCACUAGAACAGUUCGAUGCUUCAACGGAUCUAGUCUCCGCAGAUCAUUGACAAGAGUAUUAAACUUGUUAAAGGUUUGAGUCAGGGUUUCACCUUUCUUUGCAAAGAAAUGUUCAUACCUUCUGUUUAGAUCAUUUAUCUGAGUAGCCUUGACUUCCUCAGUGCCUUCAAAAGAUACAGUCAACAUGUCCAUCAUUUCUUUUGCUGAGAUGCAGUUCUGAACCAGCCCAAAGAUAUUGUAUGGCAAAGCAUAGCUGAUUGCAGCCCGAGCAUGAACAUCGAGACCAUUCUUUCUUUUGUCAUCUGCUGUCCAGUUUUCUCUAGGUGUUUUCUUCAUGACACAAUCAGGAACAUUGUUUUUCAAGGGCUAAUACAUCGGAACAUAUGGACCAUUGUCGAUGAUGUCCAACAUGUCUUCAUCUGCAGAUUCUAAUGCAUAGAGAGAUUUGAUUUUCCACAUAGCAAAAUUGGUUUCAUCAAAUGGAGGAAUUUUAGCAGAAGGAUGAUUUGAUGAGUUUAAAGAAGAAGAUGAUGAAGCCAUUUGUUUGAUAAGAGAACACUGCUCUGAUACCAAUUGAACGACCCAAAGAUCAAACAACUUAUCAAACAAUGACUGCAAAUAAGAACAAUAAAGAUUCACAAAGAAAACUUUCACUAAGAAUGAUAAUCUCACCAAGAGAUUAUCGUAUGCACAAAGCGGCUAUUAGGGUUUGUGAAAGGCGUGCCUACCACAGACCGGUACAAAUGAAUAUAUACAACUAUUCUAGGCAAUCCCUACAAAUCAGGGAUAUACCAGCUAACUAAUAGACGAUAACUAUGGAAACUAGAUAAGUACUAAAUUUGUUACAAAAUGUUGAAUAUAAAACUACACACUGAACAACUAGUACGCUGACGCUGAUGCUGACGCUUAGUUAUGUGCUGACGCUGAGUGACCAGUUUCAAACAUCAUCAUAUUAUAAGGUUCGACCUUACACUUAGUGCCUAACAAAUAACAUCGGAAACUAUGGACUUAGUGCCUAUUGGACAAACACUGGUAGCUAUGGACUUAGUACUUGUUAGGAAUUGGUAGCUAUGGACUUAGUACCUAUUAGAUAAACACCGGUAGCUAUGGAUUUAGUACCCGAUAAAUAAACUAUAGCAACUAUGGAAUUAGUGCUUUAUGAACGAGCAUUGGCAGCUAUGGAUUUAGUGCCAGUCCUAUAACCCUGGAAGCAAGGGACCUUGGAAUAAACGAAUGCAUGAUAGAUGACUCUUAGGAUAGAUCCUUAAGAUUAAAGAAGAUAAUGGGGAUGGGUAAUUGGGUUGAUUGUUUGAUUGUUUAAACAUUAUAAUUAUAUUAUUGUGGGUUGAAAACCCUAAGUACUCAUCAGGUUUCCCAACCUGACCCACUCAGUUUAUUUAUAUCACAGGUGUUGAUAUGAAGUCACAUUACACUGAGAUAUUAAAGAGAUAUAGAUAAAUGUAAGUUCUGUUUAUGCUUAUGUUUUUGUAUUGACGAUGACAUCCCAAACGUUUUAACAUGAAUAAAAUACGUUUCUUCGAAAAUGUUUUGAUAACGUAUUUAUCGUGUUUUUCUGGGAACAAAUUCCACAACAUUUUUAUGAAAAGAAGUACUCUGAUUUUUAUAAAGCAUAAACAAAAUCGGUCUUUUCUGGAUGUGAAAAAAAUGGGGAUGUCACAGUGUAUGUAUGUUUUGUAUCGACACGAUUUGAAUUUGUAUUCCGUAAUGUUCUAAUGGCAUUGAUCUCUAUGUGAGUCGUUACAACCAGGCUUGAUAAUGACUAAUUCGCCUGUCAUGGCGUCUUUUGGACGCCGAUUUGUCGAAAGUAAAGUUUGUCACCCUAGACUGGCCGAGUCUAACUAAAGCAAAAAACUCAGGUGUGGGGGAGUCACCAAAAACAAAGUAAAACAAAAAAACAAGGUGUAUGAACUCACAUUGAGGUUUGGAUUCGGUUUUGAUGAAGAAUGGAGAGAAGAUGAUGUUGUUUUCAGCCUAGCCUACUUCCUUGACGAGUACUUUGAGUUCUAAGAGAUUCAAGAUACAUGAAUCACGGUUUGAAGAGUUAACGAGUAACAAGUUUAUCAUAGAGAUGAAGUUAAACCUUUUGGAGUGGGAGUAGAUUACCUAAAUGGAUGGAUUUGAUGAAGAGUUCUUGAUGCAUACAUAAACCCACAAAAAUUCGGAAGGGUGAAGGGAGGAUUUUCUUAAGUUAGAAAUGGAGAGUGUUUGAUGAAUUUUGAGUGAAGAGUGUUGGAUUAGUGUCUAAGUCCAUAACUAUUUUGGUAUGUACUUGACCCGAUGGUGCAUGGUCCUUUUGGGUUGCCUUCACCAAAGCAACUUGAUAGGAUGAAUUAUGGAGAGAAAGGAUUAAAUAUGAUUUAUUAAUAUAUUAUGAGAAUAAUAUAUUAAAGGAGAAAUCAUAUUGUUUAAUUAAUAUUAGUCAAGAAUUAAUAAGAAUUAAGUUUGUGGCUAAAAGACAUUAAUUAAACUUAGGGGACGAGAACUGUCAAUUGUGUGAUAGUUGAAUAUUGGGCUAAUGGACUCCAUAUUAAAGGGGUGGACGAAUUCUAUGGGGAAACCCAUUAGAAAUCGUCCAUGGGCCUUUAAGAAAGGGGUUCAUGGGUUGCUUAGGGCUUAAGCAUCCAAAUUAGAGUUUCCUUGUUAGAUAACCCUAAUAGUCUCACUAUUUAAGGAACCCUUAAGCCCCAAAAACGUGGAGAACUAGUUCUCUAGGGUUGCCACACGUUUUGGGCAGCCUCCUUCUCUUCUCCUCUUCAUCCUCUUUCUCUUGGUGUUUGUGAACCAUUAGCAGAAUGACAUUUGUGACUCUAAGCUUUCUAAAGUCAUUACAAGAAGGAUUUAAGAUUGUUAUUGCUACAUAACAGUCAAGGUAUGAUCUAAACCCUAAUUUAUAUGUUAUAUUGAUUAUCAUAUACUAGAUCUAGGGUUUAUAGUCUUGGAUGAAUUGCAUGUACAAUAGAGAAACCUAGAUCCAAGCAUUAGGGUUUGCAUGAGCACAUAGGAUGUUCUUAUGGCUAAAACCCAUCAGNAAACACAUCAGUGGUAUCAGAACCUUGAUUGGUUUCUAUUGUAUUGAUGCCUUGUAUGUUUGUUCAAGCUUAAAAAAAUCAAUUUUUUGCCUCCUGCCUGAUGAACUCGGCAAGACCCAUUGUGGACUCGGCGAGUAGGCUCCUACUCGGCAAGUCCAUAGGGGUACUCGGCGUGUUCGAGCGUCAGAAAGAGGGGAUUUCAGGAUUUCUUGUUGUUUUACUCAUGGAUACUUGCCUUAUCUGUUUUAGAUCAUUAAAAUAUGAUUUUAUACAUAUCUAUGAGUAUAUCCUUGAUUAAACAAAAGAUAAUUACCAAUUGAUUAUAUAAUAACUUCCUUAUAUGAUUAAAGUUGAUUAUUUGUAUUAAUUGGGUAACUUAUUUUGCAAGAAAUUGAAAUUAGGUCAAAUAUAGAUAAUGAUAAAAUUAAUUGUUUAAUUUAUAUUAUUUGUUAUUUGAUCCUUGUGUUAUGAAAAGUUUCAAUUUUUCCCCUUUAGGUUUUAUAGUUUAAAUUUGAACUCAAAAGUUUUGUUUUGAAAUUUAAAUAGUUGAAACCCUAAUGUUUUGAAAAGGUUUCAAGACUUGUCCUCAAGUUUUGGAAUUUUAAUUUUGAUUAAAAGGUUUGAUUUUGAAAUAUUUAAAUUCUAAACNNNNNNNNNNNNNNNNNNNNNNNNNNNNNNNNNNNNNNNNNNNNNNNNNNNNNNNNNNNNNNNNNNNNNNNNNNNNNNNNNNNNNNNNNNNNNNNNNNNNCAUAUUCUAUAAGUGGCAAGAAUUUUAUAUUCUUUCACUUGUAGAAAGGAUUAGGAGUUAUGAAAUGAGUAUAAUUGGAAAUGUGUUCAUUUGAUCUAUUUCACAAAGUAAGAACCAUAGGUAAACAUUGUGUGCAUGCUAAGAGCAUGGGACAAGUGUUGUAAUAAUUCAAGUAAGAAGUUGAUUACCCGAAACAACAAAUAAUGAGUAAUCGAUAUGGUGAUAAAUAAAAGGUGUUUUAUUUAUACUCAAAGGUUUGAGGCCAUAUGGGAUUAGUAUUAUUCUUGUGUUUCACUUUGCAUGUUUUGACUUCCUGAAUAAUUUAAUUGGUUGAGAACAGUCAAAUUAUUCGAACGGGCCACAGUCGUUCAUAUGUUGGAAGUAGGUAUGAAUGAAGACUGUCGUGAAUUGGUGUGUGGAUUGUCUAAAGGAUAUUAGACAUAAGCAAAUGUUUGCUGCAACGUUCAUGAGUGCUUAUGAAUAUGAUUUGAGCAUUGGAUUAAACCCACGCUCACUUGGAUCACUCCAUGAAUUGUAUCACGAGUGAUUGGUGAGACGAUAACAUCUUAUAUUCUUGAAACCGAGAUGUGUGAGUUGUAUCUUGCAAAUCGGUUGCACAUUGAUAAUAUGUAAACGCACUAGUAACUUGGUGUUAUAAAACAUAUUGUUGUGUGUGAUUCGGUGAGUGAGUGCAAGCAAGCAUUGUAUCAAAGUUUAUCCGUUCCUUUUAUCCAAAGUAGGAUAAAAGCGAUAUCUUUGGGCCCCUCGAUGAUUUAGUGAUGACAAACGUAAAUGCUCGGCCGGGCUAGGGCUAAUUUGAUUUGUUCAAUUAGUCAGUCGUCAUAAAUCGGAAAUCGAGAUAUAGUACAAAGAGAAUGAUUUGAAAUCAUAUCUCAUACGAUAUCUAGAAUGGAGGAAUAUAUGAUCCCUUAUCUAAGGACACGCGUAUCUGAUAGGAUCAGAGUUGACAGCGGCUUUGGAAAGCUACGAUUGCAGAUCAGGAUCUGAAGUCAUACGCAGAAUAGUUAUUAGACUUAUCCAAGUGGGAGACUGUUGGAUUAGUGUCUAAGUCCAUAACUAUUUUGGUAUGUACUUGACCCGAUGGUGCAUGGUCCUUUUGGGUUGCCUUCACCAAAGCAACUUGAUAGGAUGAAUUAUGGAUAGAAAGGAUUAAAUAUGAUUUAUUAAUAUAUUAUGAGAAUAAUAUAUUAAAGGAGAAAUCAUAUUGUUUAAUUAAUAUUAGUCAAGAAUUAAUAAGAAUUAAGUUUGUGGCUAAAAGACAUUAAUUAAACUUAAGGGACUAGAACUGUCAAUUGUGUGAUAGUUGAAUAUUGGGCUAAUGGACUCCAUAUUAAAGGGGUGGACGAAUUCUAUGGGGAAACCCAUUAGAAAUCGUCCAAAGGCCUUUAAGAAAGGGAUUCAUGGGUUGCUUAGGGCUUAAGCAUCCAAAUUAGGGUUUCCUUGUUAGAUAACCCUAAUAGCCUCACUAUUUAAGGAACCCUUAAGCCCCAAAAACGUGGAGAACUUGUUCUCUAGGGUUUCCACACGUUUUGGGCAGCCUCCUUCUCUUCUCCUCUUCAUCCUCUUGCUCUUGGUGUUUGUGAACCAUUAGAGGAGUGACAUUUGUGACUCUAAGCUUUCUAAAGUCAUUACAAGAAGGAUUUGAGAUUGAUAUUGCUACAUAACAAUCAAUGUAUGAUCUAAACCCUAAUUUAUAUGUUAUAUUGAUUAUCAUAUACUAGAUCUAGGGUUUAUAGUCUUGGAUGAAUUGCAUGUACAAUAAAGAAACCUAGAUCCAAGCAUUAGGUUUUGUAUGAGCACAUAUGAUGUUCUUAUGGCUAAAACCCCUCAAAGAGAGGUGGUGAUUGGUGGCUUCGGCCGAGAUUUAGAAAAGGAAGAGAGAGAAGGAUUCAAGGGUAUUACAUGAAGGUUAUUAUGCUAGGUUUUGUUAUAUGAUGUGCAUUAAACCUAUAUUACCUCAAUGUAAAGAUGAGGUGUCAACACCUAAUCCACAUUAUCUUUUACUCUUUUUUUUUUAAUAAAUGGGACGAGAAUGGGCUUAAAAGGAUGGAGAUGAAAUGGUUUUGGACCCAUUCUUGGCUUGUUCGAAUUUGUGGAGCCCAAUAACAUAGUUUUGGCCCAUUGGGCCCUUAUGAGGGUUCACGGCCCAAUAUGGUGAAAGGAAUAGGUUUAUGGCCCAUUAGGGCUAAUUAAAUCAUUUAAGGCUCAUCAUGGCCCAUUAGAGGUAGAAUGAAUCAUUCUAGGCCCAAAUGGCCAAAAAUGUUAUAGUUUCAUGAAUUUGGUCCAAUUAGAUCCCAAUUAGGGUCCCUAAGCCCAAAAUAGACAUCUUGAAAGUUUAUCGGCCCAAAAGGCCCAAUAAGAGGAUCCUAGUCCAUAGUGAACUUGAACCGGGAUUUCUAAGGUUUUCAACCCAUAGUUGAACAUAUGAGGUUUUUAUAUUAGGUUAUGAUCUUCUUGAGUGAGUUUUGAUUUAAAUGGAUGAUUCUGAUUGAGCAUAGAGUACAAUAUUCACUCAAAGUACAUGCCUUACAAUAGUUGAAUGUUUACAUGAGAGUAGAAUUUCCUUGCAAAAUGCUAGUUGUGACAAGCCGCCUCAUGGUCUUCUUUGCCAGGCUGGGGGCCACAACCUUGGGUCUUACAAAAAAGUGCCAGGAGCCACAUUCGGGUCUUCCAUGCAAGCAUCACAAAGACAACUAGCAUACAAUUAACUAAUUAACUGUCAGAGUUUAGACUCUGGUCUUGCAUACAGUUUUCCAGGAGCCACCUCUUGGUCUUUCAUUCAAACUGCCAGGGGUUACCCCCAGGUCUUCCUACAAUACAUAAACCAAAUAGGCCGGCAUUGGUUCCUUUGACCUAUAGAACAGUGAGGAGACUCACCUCGAAUGCAGAAGUUUACUGAAAGAAAUCCCUAUUUGCUACCCUAACGAUUCCUCCGGACUAUCAAUACCAAGAUAACACCCAAUUAGCAAUUGGGUUCCAAAAUAUGAUCCAUAAUCCAUACUUGGGGUAAAAUGACCAUUUUACCCCUAACCCAACUUGAACCAAACUAAGGCCCAAGUCCAAAAACCAUAAAGGCCUAAAACCAAAAGUUCCACAAAGGCCCACUAAUGGCCCAAUUUUCCAAAUUGGGCCUAACCCAUAUGGGCCUUAUCCUAAAGCCCAAAAAUUCCCUUAGUCCAAAAUUUGAUCUCAGAUGGCCCAAAAGGCCUAAAGAAACAAAACCCAAAACUGAAAAGACACCACAAGGCCCACAUCCAAAGUUAAGUCCAAGCCCAACAACCAAAAACUCCAUUGAUCAGAUGAACACACAGAGUUCUAGGGCUGAACGCACGACAUUCGCCGCCGGACAAAUUGACAGGGACUCAAGAUGGAAUGUGUUGCGUUCCCAGGGGCCUCGCAUGGCGUUCGCAGCUAAGUUCCAAAUUCUCAUUCUAAGGACUUAAUCCAUUAUGUCCAACAUCUACAACCCAUAAUAGUCUCAUAACAGUGGCUUCACCCAUAAAGUCGAAGGCUUUAAGCCUUUGCGUGGAUCAAAAAGGUCCAAUCUUGAUUUUAAGUACACAAACUUCACAAAAUGACCAAUAACUCAAACAUGGGGGAACUUAAUGCAUCACAAAUCCAACUUUAUAUUAAAACCAAAUCAGAAAAGGCAAGAUCUACAAAUCCUAGGAUCUUGGAGUGACUCAAACUCACAAAGAGCUCUCAAAGGACCAUAACAUGCAUACUUCACGUCCUAACUUAGAUCUUAUGAUGUAGAAGCAUCAAGUUGAGAACUUUAGACCUUUAGACGCUAGAUCUAUCUGAUUAAAGCUUGGAUCCAAAAGCUCCAAGCCAACCAAUGACUCUUCAAGAAGCUCCUUCUUCCUCCUUAAGCACUAAAACCACUAUGAAGCUCAAGAAUCACUCAAAUGGAGGCUAAGGUUUCAUUCUUAGGGUUAUAGAGAAUGGAGGCUGAAGGAAAUGAGGGUUGGAGGUGAGUUAAGGUGUUUAAAAAUGGUCCAAGACCCUAAAUUAGGGUUUCCAUCUGAUCAUACAAAUGCCCUGCAUCCCAAAUCCUCCUACGUCCGCAAUUCCCAUGUACGCCAUGCGUACAUAUUUGGUACACCCCGCGUACCCGGUUCGACCUAAACCCUUCUAACUUCAAAUGGUCAUAGCUUCCUCGUUAUAACUCCGAUUUUGACAUUCUUUAUAUCCACGGAAAGGUGGCGAGAAUCCCUACACUUCUAACAACUCACCUUCACCUUAAAACCUUCUGAACAAAAUCCAAAAUCCAUAAAAGACCGAAUUAUCAAAUUAUGAUUAUACCCUUGACCUCCGAAGACGCAAUCGAACACUUGGAUCACUUAAACUAUAACACUCACACUCGAGAAGGGCCAAAUUCUUCAUUUCCCAAAGCACUAAGCCUCAUGACUACUAAAUAUUGGGUCGCGUCCCUGAAUAAAGAAGCAAAUCCAAAACCAAGUGUUACACAUCGCUUUUACCAUUAUACCCUUGGACUCCCAAAACACAAACUGAGAGCUUGGAUCACCCAACUGAUAUAUUCCACACCCAAUUGGGUCUAAAACUCAAACCCUAUAAUGCUAGGGCCCUAACUUUAUCCAUUUAAUGCCUAUUUCCCGAAAUAAGAAGCUUCUUGAAACUAGAUGUUACAACAUUAGGAUUAGGCUAAUACUCAUUAGGGUUUAGGUUAGGCCAAGAACCUAUUUUCUAUUCCUACUUAUAUAAUUAUAUUAGGUUAACAAACAAUAUCAAGCUAUCUAUUAUCUUAUAUGGUAUCAUACCUCAGGUUAAAACCUUAUUGUUGACCACAACCCGCAACUGCCAUCCUACACCUCACAUGACCUUCUCUAAUGGUUGUUUGAGGUGCCUUCAUUAUGCUCAAUAUUUUUCUCUUUUCUUCUUUUUCCUCCUAAAUAAUAUUACAGUCACCAACACCUAAUCAGAGCUCCAUUAUCGUCUUAUUCUAAUGCCUUACUAGUUUUGCCGCCUCCUCAUAUGACCCUUGCCUCCGAGUCUUCUGUCUCCAUCUCGGAUGACCUACUCUUCUCUGUAUUCCUUUUUCUAGAUCAUACUCUUCAUAUAUUGUUGUUGUCUCUCUCUUAUGACAUCUUCUUCGUCAGACAACCUCUUAUUUGUAAUCGUCUCUCUCUCUUUGUCUUUUUUUUCUCUCUCUCUCCCUCUCUCUCUCUAUCUCUUUCUCUCUCUCUCUCUCUCUACAUUGCAGUCGUCGAUCUCGCCAGAAUUGGCUUCGUCCGACGCAUCUCGAUCCGUCUUUCUUUCUCGUUUCCUUUCUCCGGCGUCCUCUGUUGUCAGCAACAUGAUCAUCGUCGUCGGCGUUCCUCUCUUCUCCUACAAUGGAAUCGCCUAUAAUUGUUGCUUCUUCUCUCUUCUUCUCCGACGAGCAAUCGUUGUUAGUCGCCAUCAUCAGAGUUAUGCCACCGCCGAUGUUGUUGUCUUCAUCUAUAAUUUUUAUGUUUUAUUGUUUUGUUUUUUCAGUUUAAAUCGACUCUUCCUUAUCAAUCCGGGGAAGGAUGUUAGUGACUAGCAGGGGCAGAUCCAAGGGGAUCCCGGGAUACCCCUCAAAAUUUUUUCGGCAGUGUAAUUUUUGUUUACGUAUCCCUCAAAAAAAAAUUGGUAUAGUGUAUAUAUACACAUCCCUCCACUUAUAAACACAAACAAAUAGUUGGUCUGCUGGUUAAGACUUUGACUUAUUCAAGCAAAGGUCUCGAGUUCUAUUCUCGCUUCUUACAUAUUCCUUGUUUAAUUUUGUUUUAUUUUCCUAGCUAUUCUAUCUCACAUCGCUAAUCACAUGUAAACUCAACCAUUUUUUUCUAUUAUAUAAACAUGUUAUGCUCAUGCUUUAUUUGAUAUCUACUUUGAGUCUCACAUCGAUUGAAGUAUCAAAAUAUACUUCAACUUCAUGUUUAUAUAACAAGACUUGAGGUUAGCUAAAGAUUUGAUUAAGAUUUUGGUUUAAAACUGAAACCGAACCCAGGAAACCCAAGUACCCCAGGAAAAAAAUUAGGUUACCCUAAAAAAAAUUGGGAUACCCCUUUACUUUGAUCCUGACUCCGCCACUGGUGACUAGGAUUAUGCUAAUACCCAAUAGGGUUAGACUACUAUUCAUUAGGGUUUAUGUUAGGUCAAAAGUCUAUUUUAUAUUUCUAUUUAUACGGGGUUAAAUCAUCAUUAUAAUCACGCAAUAUCAAACUAUCUACUAACUUACAAAGUUUUGUGGUUUGUAUAUGAAAUUUGGUUAGCGCAUGUAAGUUGUUUUGUUUAUUUGAAUAUAUAUGUUUGUAAAUAUGUCAUAAUCAUAUAAAUUCCAUUGUUUUCUUAUAAUUCAAUUUAACUAAAUGUGAUAAAACAUUAACGUGAAUAACGUUAUUCCACCAAAUUAUUGUAAGGGGCUUUCUCGACUUCUCUCCUCGCAAUUGAUCAUGUGUAUAUGUAAAUUUGUAAAAAGUUCGACAAAAAUAGCAAAAAUGUUAUGAUAUAAAAUUAUAAAUGUCUAACUGAUGGCUUUUGUUUAAUCGACAUAUAAAUAUGAUUUACAUUCUACCUUCUAUUUUUUUUAUAUUAUAUGAGGGUAGAGAUUGGUGGUGGGAAGUGGUUGACGAGGAUGUUAGUAGUGAUAUUCCAUGACAACCUCACUUGUUUGCAUGAUGGAACCUCUUUCAAUAUGAUUUUAAUUAUGCCAUAAAAGUAAAUUGAAUCUAAAAUAAAUAUAUGUUAAAUUAUAUUUUAUUAAAAUAAUCCAUAUUUUAAAAUUCUUGAAGGUUGUCAAGACCAGCAAAUAAUCAUGACCUAUUUAACACAAAUAAAUUAUAUCAAUUGAAGAGGUCAUGUACAUAUAAAUUCGGUUUAUCAAUUCGUGCUAGAAAUUCAUGUUAACGAGUAAACACUAAACAGUAAACAUAACAUACGAUAAAAUAAUUUCAUUGUUUUAUGGUAAAUAAUUUCAACACCUAUAUAAAAAAAUGUAAAUAUUUUCAUAAAAUGCCCCGGAUACGAAAACAAAACGGAAACAAAACAUCUAUGGGCUAUUCUUGCCAAAAACCACACCACUUCACUAUUCAUAAAUAUGGUCACUUUAUAUNGGCGAAUAGUUUGAUCUCUUUAGAGUUAAAACCAUUUUGCGUUCACUUCGAGAAAUGAAUAUUAAAUGACAUCUAUUUUUCAAGAGCAUUACCAUACCAUAUUAAAGGGAUGUUUGGCUAAGUUUUUUUAAAAUAACUUAUUAGGUUCCACACCACUGUAAGUUAAAAAAGAGUUUUGAUGAAAAUAACUUAUUACGGUGGGGAACCUCUAAUAAGUCAUUUUUUCAUAAGUUACCCUACACUUACUUAUUAACUUAUAAGCUAAUAAGCUAAUAAACAAUAAACUUUUUUGCUAAACACCCCCUAAAUGUUUAUUACUUCCUUUUAUACAUACCAAAACCACUUGUACCGUUUAUCGUCCUCUUUUUUUUUUCAUUUUCCUUAAUUCCUUUAUUAAUUUAAUGUCCUGCUAAGUAAAAUGCUAAAAUAUAUAAAUAAUAGUUUAUAAAAAUAAACCUUUAGAAUAUCAGAUAUUGUGAUUCAAAAGUCGAUAAAUAGGCCUUUGAGAAUGCCAAAAUACUCAGGUGUCAACUUGUUCAUUGUGAUUUUAAACCAAGUUUGGUCACAAAUUAAAACAUUUUCAACAAUGGUAUGUAAUUCAAGGCUUCAUAUUGAUUUAGGUUCUCAAAACCUUAAAAUAUUGAACAAAAUCUAUAUAGAACCUUAUAAUAAGGACCAGAAUCACCAUAAUUAGAAAGUCCAUGUGAUGAAACUUGAUAUUAUAAGGACCAAUGAUGAAAAAUGUUGCAUUUUUAGGAUAAACAAGAUGAAAAAUAUACAAACUACCUUAAUCAUGUCAAAUCUUGUGUUUAACUGUUCUUUAUUGCAAAAGUAAGAUACCAAAAUAUACAAACUAAUAAUAAUACAAUGCUCUAACUGGCCUUCUUGGUUAAGUUCUUUGAACCUGCAAAGCCAACACAUUAAAGAAACAUAGUAAAAACUUUUUUAGGAACAAACCUGAUAUAAUAAAACCUUCACCCAAUAUAUUUAUAAGAUAAAAAUACAAAAAGUUAUAAUGAUGAAAUCAAUUACAAGUAAGGAUUAAAAUAAAAACCUGUUAAGAUAGGGCCUUUACCCCAUCCAGUCUCAAAUUGAUCCAUUUUUUUAUGCAUAUUGAUAUCGACAUUGAUAAAGCCUCUAUUAAAAAAUGGUUUUUCCGAACCUAAAGUAUAUGUAGAUUAAGAUACACAUGAAGUUCUAGCAACCUUACAUGGUUAGCCCCAACCCUUUCAGAAGUUCUAAUCAAAUUUCCAAUCCAUUCAUCUUCAAUGACCAACACUAUGGUUUAUACGACCUUCUUUUCAAGUUUCUAGACAUCAUAGGGUAGCUUCAACAAGAAGCCUUCUGCAUACAUAAUAAGAAAAUUAACAAUGAAGACCUAAUAUCAUUAAUCAUAAAAGAAGAUCAAAUAUGAAGUAAUAAAAACCCCAAUUCUUGGACUGAAGCGACAAAAAAACUAAGAAUGGGAUUUACCAGUUUCACUUGUCUAAAAGUUAAUCUUCAAGGGAAGAAGAGCCAUAUAGAACUUCUGGUUGGCUAAUGGUCAAUUUUCAAUGAGUUGAGGAAGUGAGGAAAUAGAAAGCAAGGUAUUCUUAGAUAGAUGGAGAAGAUUAGGGUUCGUGGAUUGAGAGUGAGGUUUUCUACCAUUCCUAGAACCAUCACAUCCAUAAGAAGAUCCAAAAAAAUCAAGUUUUUUGAAAUCAAAGCAUGUCUAAGUAAAAAAAUGUCACCUGAAAGUGGAGCAAUGAAAACACUUUGCUGACAUAUCUGAAACAACAAAAAUCCGAGUUUUCUGUUACCAAAAAAUCACAUACAAAUUGAUCAUAUGUCUAAAUAAGGGGAAAGGUAAACAAAAUCUUGAAGCUCUAUCAUUUGAUGUGUAGCAAAUAACAACUCCAAAUAAUAUCUGGGUGUUUUGAUUUGCGAUUCCAACUCAAGAUACAUACAAAUAAGAAGUAAUAGGAAGGAGUCGCCUGAUGCGGUGGUGUCUAAUGGUUUUGACAGCGAUGAUGGUUGAUCUUGUGAAUACAAUGGUGGAUGAUGUUAUUGGUGAAGACAGGUGAGAAUAUAGGGUUGCAAGAUAACCUGAACGAUUCGAGAUCAUCAUUGUGUUUAGAGAGAAAAAAAAAGGAUUCAAGAAGAGGAUUCUUACUUACCUAUGGUAGAAUUUCAGAUCUUCAACAUCAAAAAUAUAACAUGCUAUACUUUGCAAAACCUCCAUUAACAAUAGAUUCACGGUAGGCUUUAUAACAGAUGAUGUAACAAAGAGUCAUCUGCAGGAGGGAUAUUUGAAUCAACAUGUAUUUUUUGAUGGUUUCAAAAUUUGAAUUAUCCAAAAUUCAGGGAAGGAGAUAGAAUUUGCUGAGAAAUAUAAGGAUUCAAAACGCGGGUUAAAAUUUAAUAUUAUUUUAUUGAUGACUACUUGUACUAUUAGCUUAAUGAUUUGAACGUCUUAAAAAAUUAAUAUUAUGUCACAACUAGCAUUUUUAGCUAGGAAAUUCUAUCCUCAUAUAAACAUCAUCCAUUGUAAAAGCAUGUACUCUAAGUGAAUACAAUACUCUAUCCUCGUUCAAGAUACACCUCAUAUGUUCAACUAAGGGUUGGAAACCUUAGCAAUCCCGGUCCAAGUUCCUUAUGAACUAAAAUUCUCCUAUUGGGCCUAGAAGCCCUAAGUGGGCUCUAAAUAGACCACAUUCAUAAAACUUUAGUAUUUGGGCCAUGUGGACCUAAAAUAAUCUAUCUUAUCUCUAAUGAGCCUUGUUGGGCCAUAAAAUAUUUCAUUUUCCCCAAUGGGCCGAAAAUUUAUUUUUGGGCUUCAUAAAUUCGAGUAUGGGCCCAAGAUGAUUCCUUUCCUCUCUCCUUAGCCCAAAUAGGCCCAUGAUAAAAAAAAAAAAAAAAAAGAGAUAAGAAUGGUGAAGGAAAUAAAAACAAAAAUUGGAAAUUAUGGGAAAAUUUGUGAGGAUGCCACCUACUUAUUGCAUGGUGGAUAUCCAUGCAAUGUCACCUCACUUCUCUUCUCUCUCUCUCUCUUCUAAAUCUCGGCCUAAGGCCAUUUUCCCUCACCAAAAAUCAUUCAUGUUUCCUUUCACUCUCAAAAACCCCAAGAACUCUUCCAUUUUCUCCUUAAACCCGUGAGUGGGUGUGUGUGCACAAGAAAGUUCAUCAAACUCACAUACUAGGUAAGUUACUUCACCCUCAAGUUGUAUAAAUUCAUCUAUGAUCAAAUCCUCCUAGAAACAUCACAAAUCUCUUGAUUAUCCUACUAGAAACAUCAUAGUUUUGAGGAUCCUCUCAAGAAGCAAGCUAGGCCGAAAUCUCUCACUUUCUUCAUCAAAAACCGAAACCUUCANNNNNNNNNNNNNNNNNNNNNNNNNNNNNNNNNNNNNNNNNNNNNNNNNNNNNNNNNNNNNNNNNNNNNNNNNNNNNNNNNNNNNNNNNNNNNNNNNNNNNNNNNNNNNNNNNNNNNNNNNNNNNNNNNNNNNNNNNNNNNNNNNNNNNNNNNNNNNNNNNNNNNNNNNNNNNNNNNNNNNNNNNNNNNNNNNNNNNNNNNNNNNNNNNNNNNNNNNNNNNNNNNNNNNNNNNNNNNNNNNNNNNNNNNNNNNNNNNNNNNNNNNNNNNNNNNNNNNNNNNNNNNNNNNNNNNNNNNNNNNNNNNNNNNNNNNNNNNNNNNNNNNNNNNNNNNNNNNNNNNNNNNNNNNNNNNNNNNNNNNNNNNNNNNNNNNNNNNNNNNNNNNNNNNNNNNNNNNNNNNNNNNNNNNNNNNNNNNNNNNNNNNNNNNNNNNNNNNNNNNNNNNNNNNNNNNNNNNNNNNNNNNNNNNNNNNNNNNNNNNNNNNNNNNNNNNNNNNNNNNNNNNNNNNNNNNNNNNNNNNNNNNNNNNNNNNNNNNNNNNNNNNNNNNNNNNNNNNNNNNNNNNNNNNNNNNNNNNNNNNNNNNNNNNNNNNNNNNNNNNNNNNNNNNNNNNNNNNNNNNNNNNNNNNNNNNNNNNNNNNNNNNNNNNNNNNNNNNNNNNNNNNNNNNNNNNNNNNNNNNNNNNNNNNNNNNNNNNNNNNNNNNNNNNNNNNNNNNNNNNNNNNNNNNNNNNNNNNNNNNNNNNNNNNNNNNNNNNNNNNNNNNNNNNNNNNNNNNNNNNNNNNNNNNNNNNNNNNNNNNNNNNNNNNNNNNNNNNNNNNNNNNNNNNNNNNNNNNNNNNNNNNNNNNNNNNNNNNNNNNNNNNNNNNNNNNNNNNNNNNNNNNNNNNNNNNNNNNNNNNNNNNNNNNNNNNNNNNNNNNNNNNNNNNNNNNNNNNNNNNNNNNNNNNNNNNNNNNNNNNNNNNNNNNNNNNNNNNNNNNNNNNNNNNNNNNNNNNNNNNNNNNNNNNNNNNNNNNNNNNNNNNNNNNNNNNNNNNNNNNNNNNNNNNNNNNNNNNNNNNNNNNNNNNNNNNNNNNNNNNNNNNNNNNNNNNNNNNNNNNNNNNNNNNNNNNNNNNNNNNNNNNNNNNNNNNNNNNNNNNNNNNNNNNNNNNNNNNNNNNNNNNNNNNNNNNNNNNNNNNNNNNNNNNNNNNNNNNNNNNNNNNNNNNNNNNNNNNNNNNNNNNNNNNNNNNNNNNNNNNNNNNNNNNNNNNNNNNNNNNNNNNNNNNNNNNNNNNNNNNNNNNNNNNNNNNNNNNNNNNNNNNNNNNNNNNNNNNNNNNNNNNNNNNNNNNNNNNNNNNNNNNNNNNNNNNNNNNNNNNNNNNNNNNNNNNNNNNNNNNNNNNNNNNNNNNNNNNNNNNNNNNNNNNNNNNNNNNNNNNNNNNNNNNNNNNNNNNNNNNNNNNNNNNNNNNNNNNNNNNNNNNNNNNNNNNNNNNNNNNNNNNNNNNNNNNNNNNNNNNNNNNNNNNNNNNNNNNNNNNNNNNNNNNNNNNNNNNNNNNNNNNNNNNNNNNNNNNNNNNNNNNNNNNNNNNNNNNNNNNNNNNNNNNNNNNNNNNNNNNNNNNNNNNNNNNNNNNNNNNNNNNNNNNNNNNNNNNNNNNNNNNNNNNNNNNNNNNNNNNNNNNNNNNNNNNNNNNNNNNNNNNNNNNNNNNNNNNNNNNNNNNNNNNNNNNNNNNNNNNNNNNNNNNNNNNNNNNNNNNNNNNNNNNNNNNNNNNNNNNNNNNNNNNNNNNNNNNNNNNNNNNNNNNNNNNNNNNNNNNNNNNNNNNNNNNNNNNNNNNNNNNNNNNNNNNNNNNNNNNNNNNNNNNNNNNNNNNNNNNNNNNNNNNNNNNNNNNNNNNNNNNNNNNNNNNNNNNNNNNNNNNNNNNNNNNNNNNNNNNNNNNNNNNNNNNNNNNNNNNNNNNNNNNNNNNNNNNNNNNNNNNNNNNNNNNNNNNNNNNNNNNNNNNNNNNNNNNNNNNNNNNNNNNNNNNNNNNNNNNNNNNNNNNNNNNNNNNNNNNNNNNNNNNNNNNNNNNNNNNNNNNNNNNNNNNNNNNNNNNNNNNNNNNNNNNNNNNNNNNNNNNNNNNNNNNNNNNNNNNNNNNNNNNNNNNNNNNNNNNNNNNNNNNNNNNNNNNNNNNNNNNNNNNNNNNNNNNNNNNNNNNNNNNNNNNNNNNNNNNNNNNNNNNNNNNNNNNNNNNNNNNNNNNNNNNNNNNNNNNNNNNNNNNNNNNNNNNNNNNNNNNNNNNNNNNNNNNNNNNNNNNNNNNNNNNNNNNNNNNNNNNNNNNNNNNNNNNNNNNNNNNNNNNNNNNNNNNNNNNNNNNNNNNNNNNNNNNNNNNNNNNNNNNNNNNNNNNNNNNNNNNNNNNNNNNNNNNNNNNNNNNNNNNNNNNNNNNNNNNNNNNNNNNNNNNNNNNNNNNNNNNNNNNNNNNNNNNNNNNNNNNNNNNNNNNNNNNNNNNNNNNNNNNNNNNNNNNNNNNNNNNNNNNNNNNNNNNNNNNNNNNNNNNNNNNNNNNNNNNNNNNNNNNNNNNNNNNNNNNNNNNNNNNNNNNNNNNNNNNNNNNNNNNNNNNNNNNNNNNNNNNNNNNNNNNNNNNNNNNNNNNNNNNNNNNNNNNNNNNNNNNNNNNNNNNNNNNNNNNNNNNNNNNNNNNNNNNNNNNNNNNNNNNNNNNNNNNNNNNNNNNNNNNNNNNNNNNNNNNNNNNNNNNNNNNNNNNNNNNNNNNNNNNNNNNNNNNNNNNNNNNNNNNNNNNNNNNNNNNNNNNNNNNNNNNNNNNNNNNNNNNNNNNNNNNNNNNNNNNNNNNNNNNNNNNNNNNNNNNNNNNNNNNNNNNNNNNNNNNNNNNNNNNNNNNNNNNNNNNNNNNNNNNNNNNNNNNNNNNNNNNNNNNNNNNNNNNNNNNNNNNNNNNNNNNNNNNNNNNNNNNNNNNNNNNNNNNNNNNNNNNNNNNNNNNNNNNNNNNNNNNNNNNNNNNNNNNNNNNNNNNNNNNNNNNNNNNNNNNNNNNNNNNNNNNNNNNNNNNNNNNNNNNNNNNNNNNNNNNNNNUAAAUUUAAAAAAAUAAAGGAAAAUAAAUAAAUAUAUAAAAUAAAAUAAAAUAGUAAAAUAAAUUAAAGACAUUCAUGCUAAAUAAACUCGCAAAGAGCUAAACAAACAAUUACAUCAAAAUAUUCAAAAGUUGAGUUUUGUAACCAAGAUAGCCAAAUGAGUGAUAAUUUUUGUUAUUUCUAUAGACAAACCAAUUAAAAGAAUAUAAAACAAUAUUUUCAAAUAAAUUUUUUUAACUUAAAGUUAUUAAGAUAGAAUAGCUCAGUAUUCCUUGUCGACCAUAUUUCUCGUAUCGUUGUCAAUGUCACCACUUAAAUCACCUUUUUCUUCAUAGGAGUCGGGGGUUGGAUUUAGCGGAGUUUUGCCCGAUUUGUGUAGUGCUUGAUAAUAUGAAGAUUUUCUAAAGGGUUGUGUGGGUAGGAGGGACGACUUGACUCUUUCGUUGACUUUUCAUAGGACUUUUGCUUUAGACUUUCAUUAGGACCAACGUGUUCAUAAUUUUUUGGAUCAACAUGAUGAAUUUGUAAUUAUAGUAGUAUUUUAUGUUCAUGAAAGCUAUGAUAUCAAGGAACACUUUGAGAGAUGAAAAUACAUGCUUAAUUGUUGUUUCCUCUUGCCUUUUCUUUUUCCACUAGAUCAUUUCUCACCGGAGCAUUUUCUGUUAGAUUGGUUCCCACCAACAACGAAUCGAUUGGGUUUAUUGCAUUAAAGCCUCUUCCAUAGGAGAGCCACCACUAUCUACCAACACUUAAAACUUUUCAAAUAAUAUUUCUCAAGUUGUUCACAUAUUCUCAUUGACUAUCUCUAUAACAUACUGCAAUGUAAGAUGUUAGAAAUAAAAUUUAUAUUAGGUAUGUCUUUCAUACCUGUCUUUUUGACCAAAUUUAAUAUUUCAUGAAAGUUUAUAUUUGACGAAAAUUUUACGCCAUAGAUUUUAACAAAAAGCCUAACGUAUUGAAUUUGACAAUUUACUGACCGUCAUGAACCACCGAUUCAUUUAACAACAAAAUACUUAAUAAAGUUUGAAUUCAUAGUGUUUUGCCAUGUAAAUGAUAUUGACCAAUUGUUUAUUAAAAAGGUUUAAUGUUUAAGAAAAAACAUUAUUUUUUUUCUUAAAUGUGCGGUAGUAAUGUGAGAUUCAUCUAGGAGUGUUCGUUUGGAUGGAUCGGUUUGAUCCGAUCCAAUCAAGUAAAUCCAAAUUGAUUUCGGUUUUCAAAACAUGAUCCGAAUUGUCCAAACUAAAUUCAAAUCCGAUCCGAUCCGAUCUAAUUACAAUUCGGUUGGAUCGGUUUUUAUAAUUCGGUUUUCAAAACCGAAACAUUUUAAAACGACAUAUAAUUAUAAUAUUAUCCAACUUUACACAAGAAGCAAAAACAAAUAAUUUAGUUGUGAUUUGAAAUUUAUAAACAACUAACAAAGAUAUAUUAUAGUUAAAUAUUUUAUAGAUAUUGUAUAUUAAUGUUUUUUUUUAUCGGGUGAAACAUUUUGAACCUAUUUAAAAAAAUAAAUUACAAAAUUAAUAAAUAACUAUAGAUAUAUAUUAUAAAUAGAUAAAUAAUAAAUCUUUAUUCGGUUUUUUUGGGAUAUUCGGUUCUUAUUUUAAAAACCAAAACCAAUCCGAAAUCCAAAAUAAUAAUUCGGUUUUGUUGAAAACCAAUCCAAAAAUCCGAAUAUCCGAACCAAAUAGUCCAAUCCAAAUUGUCCAAUUGNNNNNNNNNNNNNNNNNNNNNNNNNNNNNNNNNNNNNNNNNNNNNNNNNNNNNNNNNNNNNNNNNNNNNNNNNNNNNNNNNNNNNNNNNNNNNNNNNNNNNNNNNNNNNNNNNNNNNNNNNNNNNNNNNNNNNNNNNNNNNNNNNNNNNNNNNNNNNNNNNNNNNNNNNNNNNNNNNNNNNNNNNNNNNNNNNNNNNNNNNNNNNNNNNNNNNNNNNNNNNNNNNNNNNNNNNNNNNNNNNNNNNNNNNNNNNNNNNNNNNNNNNNNNNNNNNNNNNNNNNNNNNNNNNNNNNNNNNNNNNNNNNNNNNNNNNNNNNNNNNNNNNNNNNNNNNNNNNNNNNNNNNNNNNNNNNNNNNNNNNNNNNNNNNNNNNNNNNNNNNNNNNNNNNNNNNNNNNNNNNNNNNNNNNNNNNNNNNNNNNNNNNNNNNNNNNNNNNNNNNNNNNNNNNNNNNNNNNNNNNNNNNNNNNNNNNNNNNNNNNNNNNNNNNNNNNNNNNNNNNNNNNNNNNNNNNNNNNNNNNNNNNNNNNNNNNNNNNNNNNNNNNNNNNNNNNNNNNNNNNNNNNNNNNNNNNNNNNNNNNNNNNNNNNNNNNNNNNNNNNNNNNNNNNNNNNNNNNNNNNNNNNNNNNNNNNNNNNNNNNNNNNNNNNNNNNNNNNNNNNNNNNNNNNNNNNNNNNNNNNNNNNNNNNNNNNNNNNNNNNNNNNNNNNNNNNNNNNNNNNNNNNNNNNNNNNNNNNNNNNNNNNNNNNNNNNNNNNNNNNNNNNNNNNNNNNNNNNNNNNNNNNNNNNNNNNNNNNNNNNNNNNNNNNNNNNNNNNNNNNNNNNNNNNNNNNNNNNNNNNNNNNNNNNNNNNNNNNNNNNNNNNNNNNNNNNNNNNNNNNNNNNNNNNNNNNNNNNNNNNNNNNNNNNNNNNNNNNNNNNNNNNNNNNNNNNNNNNNNNNNNNNNNNNNNNNNNNNNNNNNNNNNNNNNNNNNNNNNNNNNNNNNNNNNNNNNNNNNNNNNNNNNNNNNNNNNNNNNNNNNNNNNNNNNNNNNNNNNNNNNNNNNNNNNNNNNNNNNNNNNNNNNNNNNNNNNNNNNNNNNNNNNNNNNNNNNNNNNNNNNNNNNNNNNNNNNNNNNNNNNNNNNNNNNNNNNNNNNNNNNNNNNNNNNNNNNNNNNNNNNNNNNNNNNNNNNNNNNNNNNNNNNNNNNNNNNNNNNNNNNNNNNNNNNNNNNNNNNNNNNNNNNNNNNNNNNNNNNNNNNNNNNNNNNNNNNNNNNNNNNNNNNNNNNNNNNNNNNNNNNNNNNNNNNNNNNNNNNNNNNNNNNNNNNNNNNNNNNNNNNNNNNNNNNNNNNNNNNNNNNNNNNNNNNNNUGUAUGUGUGUAUGUAUGUAUAUAUAUAUAUAUAUAUAUAUAUAUAUAUAUAUAUUGGAUUUUGUGAUUUAUACCUGGGUUGGUCGUUACGGACAAAGGACCAGUUGAGAAUGGUGACGGGGCCGGUGAGCAUACCCUUCAUGGGGCGUUUGGUCAUUUCCUGGGCCAUGGAUGACCAGAAGACGGUCAUGGCCUUUGGUCGGCUGACAUCACCGUAGAUGAUUGGGGGCUUCACGCACCGAGAUCCGUAGGAUUGCACCCAUCCGUUUGCGGUGAAGGCAAAACCGGACAGCUGCUCACCAAAAUACUCAACCAUGUCGUUUCUCUGAAACAAACAAACAUUACAUGCAGUUUUUUAGCCAACCCCCUUUUUUAUGAAACCGAUUGAAAUGAAUUAAUUUAGAUUGUGUUUAUCAAAUAUACCUCUGGCUCUCCAUGGACAAGGACAUCAAUGUCAAGUUCUUCCUGAAGCUGGACAACUUUGAAGAUCUCCUCCUUGAUGGCCUUAACAUAUUCUUCCUCAGAGAUUCUAUAAAUAUAAACAUAUACUUUUUUGAGAUUUUUUUUUAUAAAAAGUAAGCGAAUCAGUUUGAAAUUAUAUAAAAGUAUACAAACCACUCACUUUUUAGCCUUGUACUCACGACGAACUCUCCUGAGCUCGAUGGUUUGUGGGAAAGAGCCAAUGGUGGUGGUUGGGAGGAUUGGAAGGUUGAGCUUCUUCUGUUGGGCAUCCAGCCUGGCACUGACAUUGGUGGCACGACGGUGGUCUGAGCCUCUCAAAGCAGCGGCCUGAGAAUGCAGGUGUCAGCAUCAACUUUUUUUUUUUUAACAGUAAUUUCAUAUAUAGAAAAGGAAGGGGGUUUUAAUCACUUACAGCCUUCUGCACGGAUUCAUUUGUGACUCUUGGGGAGGACUUCCUUGAAGCCUGAGCAGCAGCAUUGGCUGAGAAGUAGGCCUCGUCUUUGUGACCAGCUAGAGCCUUGGCCAAUGCAUUGACUUCAACAACCUUUUGAGCAGCAAAUGCGAGCCAUGAUUUGAUCUCAUCAUCCAAUUUAGUCUCAUUAAUAAGAUCGACAGCAGUGUGAAGGAGUGAGCAAGAGGUCGAAACCACAAGCUUAUCUACAUAUUUCACAUUUUCAUUUUAUGUUAGGGAAUUCAUUCGGGUAAAUGAAAGGAAAAGAUUAAUAUGGUUAAAACGAAAGAAAAGCACACCUUUGCCCACAAUGCCCUCGAGAGACUCAAGGACAGUGAGAGAACCAGCAAGAUCAUUAGCCCAGAUGUUCCUUCCAUCAACAACUCCAGCAAAAAGAUAUUUCCCAGAUGGGAAGCUGCUCUUGAUCAAUUCAAGAGUCUUUUCACCACGGAUCAAAUCAAAAGUGAAUCCAGCAACUCCAGGCAAUGAAGUUAGGGUUUUGAAUGCUUCAGCUGGAACAUCAGCAAAGUAGGUGGCAACAAUAACAUUAAGACCAGAGCAGGCCGAUUCUAGCUCAGAGUAGGCCUUGGUGAAAGCUUCCAAUUGGUACCCCUCAAGAUCCUUCACAAGGGUAGCCUCGUCAAACUGGAUCCAUGUAGCACCUGCUUCCUUCAACUCGGC